rnacentral:lncRNA from 1 species
UUGUUUAGGAGUGUAGCUAGCCUUAGUUGUGCUUUGUUGUUGUGCCUUAGUGUUUAGCCUUACACUAGACUUUAGGUGGCUUGCAUAGCUUAGUUGAGCUAGUGCUAAAAUAGCUUCGCCAUUUGUUUUACUAACCAACUAGAGUCUAGUUGAGUUUGUAGAAAAUUUAAAUAGGCUAUUCACCCACCUCUAGCCAUUUGGACCUUUCACCCAAUCGAUUCCGUAUUUUUCGGAUAAAUUCGGAAUCGGUUUGAAAUUCGGAGUACUAAAUUCGAACUCGGAGCAAAAUCGAUUUGGGGUUUGUUCGACGGUUUCCAUAUUUCCAUAUUAUAUUCGAAAUUUGACCGUUUUCAAAUUCGGCCAGAACCAAAUUUGAAAAUCCCAGCAGCCCAGCCUUGACUCUAACUCUAAGCCUAGCCCACGAAAGCCCACCAGCCAACCCUAAACCCUUCCUGACGCGGUGACGCCUCACCCUCUCGCGGUUCCUCUCCCUGGCGGCGCACAAGUCGGGACACUGCUCCGUCGGUCCGUGACGGCCGCUCGCCCCGCGUGCAAGGCCGCCGCUUGCCCCUGUGCAAGGCCACUGCUCCAGCUGAUCUCGCUAGCGCCCAGGUGUUGGCGACGCUUAUUAUAUAAAAAUAAAUAUCUUUUUAUAAAUAAAAAUAAAUAGAAAAUAGGGCUUUGAUCUAAUCUUUCCACGAGUUUUGGUAUAUAUGCUAUUUUCAGGUAUGACACGUGCAAAAGUGCAAAAGAUACAAGAAAUGCACAAUGCAAGAAUUCGUAUUUAGAAAAGACGCAAACCAACUCCAAUAGAGAAAAGCCCACCAAAGAUGAACUGGACCCAUCCGUAACCACGAGGAGGAUCAGGGCCCAGAGCACAACCGACCACGCGAAGGUGGUGGCCAGGGGGGCCCACCCAGGUUGCGGGAGCAACCCUGGUGGCGGUUCCCCGGCCCCACCUUCUUCUCGCGGUUGCAUGGCGGCAUGCACAGGACGGUUUCACCUACUACUAUAUUUAGAUCCCGCAAACCAUCCUAGUUGAGCUAUAAAUAGAUGGCUCCCCUCCAUUUGUAACACACACCAUCAUUUGGAGCAACACACCUCACAUUCUACACUUGUUCUCUUUAGUUUAGUACUAGUAGUAGAGCAAGUCAAAGCUAGCAAGGAGAGCUUGUCUCCUUGGAGGAUCAAGAGUGUCUUGGUAUGAAUACAAUUAUGCCUUCCUCCAUGAGCAAGUUCUUAUAUUCUUUAUACAGUUAUGCUUUUGAUCUAGAGUAUAGUCUUGUUCAUAUCAUGAUCAUAGUUUAUGAGAUAGUUCAUAGUUCUAGCUCUAUGUUCUUGAUAUGUUCAUCACAGUUCUUCAUCGUUCAUCAAGUUAAUAUGAAUAGAGGAAGAACUAGGGAUGAGAUAAUGGUUCUUUGGGUUGUAAUGGUCACCCUUAGCCGAACCCUAAACCUUCAGUCAUAUGCUGCUUGUAGUAUGUUGAGCUUUGUCAAAUUGUUGUGACCCAAGCGAGAUUAUGGUCUUACGCCCAUGAUUAGAGAUUCACUUACACCCACCAAAUAAAGCCGACUCUUACACCAAGAAGUCACGCACAACAUGCACCCUUCCAUCCACCAAAAAUUUUGCCAACUCUUAUCCUGAGAGUUGUGCCUUAGCUUUCCACCAAAUAAAAAUGCCAAACUCUCAUCCUGAGAUUUGCGCAUCCCGAAAUUCACUCCUUACUUUUUGUCCUCAUGACAUCUCUUUAAAUUUCUCUAAUUCCAUUCAUCAAGACAUAUGGGCUAUAGUUGAAAAAAAAAUUCAAAAGAAAAAAAAACCAAAGAGGCAUAGAUGGGAAAGAAAGAAAAAAAUCAAACAUCCCCGUCAUGAAAAAAAGAAAAGAGGCAAUAAUAUACACACGAUAGAGCCCAUAUGUUUUCCUCUCUCUCUCUUUUAUCCUUCAAAAUAAAAGAGAGUCAUGAUGCAGAAAGGAGUGACCAAAAAUAUUUAGAAUUAGGAAUUUCAUUAAUUCCACAAACAAUUUCCACACACUUGCACAAUCUCAAUCAAGGCGUAAGGCUUGUAUCUCCUGGUGGUCCGGUUUUUGACUUCGCAACAUAUGUGCUGCAAGUAUGCCCACCUUUUAUACCUACCCAAAAAUCCAGAUAAAGCUUUUAGAGGUAGGAAGAUCAUAAGAAGGCAUCAAUCUUCUAUGCCUUGGUAAGGAACCACUUACACAUAUGAGCGAUUUGAGAAAAUCAUUCAAGGAAUCACAAGCCAUGUUUUUAUUUGAAAAACUUACAAAAACCCAAGUGUCUUAAGUAAGAGCAAAGUCAAGAGGACUUGAAUCCAGGCUGUUCCAUAUUUCAAUCACCAAAGAUUUAUGUGGUAGACACUUUGAAGUUCACAAACCCAGGUGAAGCUUGGAAUAACCUGUAUGCAGGCUCUUUGACAAGGAUGAUGAACCCAUUUGGUCCUAAGUGCCUUCACUCGAGGACGAGCAAAGGACCAAGUGUGGGGGAGUUGUUGGCGACGCUUAUUAUAUAAAAAUAAAUAUCUUUUUGUAAAUAAAAAUAAAUAGAAAAUAGGGCUUUGAUCUAAUCUUUCAACGAGUUUUGGUAUAUAUGCUAUUUUCAGGUAUGACACGUGGAAAAGUGCAAAAGAUACAAGAAAUGUGCAAUGCAAGAAUUCGUAUUUCGAAAAGACGCAAACCAACUCCAAUAGAGAAAAGCCCACCAAAGAUGAACUGGACCCAUCCGUAACCACGAGGAGGAACAGGACCCAGAGCACAACCGACCACGCGAAGGUGGUGGCCGGGGGGGCCCACCCAGGUUGCGGGCGCAACACUAGUGGCGGUUCCCCGGCCCCACCUUCUUCUGGCGGUUGCAUUGCGGCAUGCAUAGGAUGGUUUCACCUACUACUAUAUUUAGAUCCCGCAAACCAUCCUAGUUGAGCUAUAAAUAGAUGGCUCCCCUCUCAUUUGUAACACACACCAUCGUUUGGAGCAACACACCUCACAUUCUACACUUGUUCUCUUUAGUUUAGUACUAGUAGUAGAGCAAGGCAAAGCUAGCAAGGAGAGCUUGUCUCCUUGGAGGAUCAAGAGUGUCUUGGUAUGAAUACAAUUAUGCCUUCCUCCAUGAGCAAGUUCUUAUAUUCUUUAUACAGUUAUGCUUUUGAUCUAGAGUAUAGUCUUGUUCAUAUCAUGAUCAUAGUUUAUGAGCUAGUUUAUAGUUCUAGCUCUAUGUUCUUGAUAUGUUCAUCACAGUUCUUCAUCGUUCAUCAAGUUAAUAUGAAUAGAGGAAGAACUAGGGAUGAGAUAAUGGUUCUUUGGGCUGUAAUGGUCACCUUUAGCCGAGCCUGUCAAUCCGAAGGGUUGGGGUCCCGGGAGGCUAGGGGGUGUUUCCAAGUACACGGGCAUGGUGCUCGGGUAUGCGGAGACCCAAGGAUAUGGGGGUAUCCCUCGGGCAGAGGGGUAGGUAGCAGGGUGGUGACAGCCCUGUCAUCCUUCGUAUUCCCGCACGUUCGGAUAUUUGGUAGGAGUCAUGUAAAGUCUCUAUUUGCUGGCAGACCAGCUAUGGAGAUCUCCCUAGUAUCUCAGACUUAGCUCUAACUUGUUCUUAUUAGCUAGAUGAUCUGCUAACAGAUCUGUUGUAUAACUUGUAUACGACCAUGCCUACUCGCGUAGUUGUUCUUUUAUUCUUUGUUUUCCCUUUAUUCCUUGAGGUUGCUCCGAUGUGUGUCCGCUAUCAAAUCAACUACAUACUUACCCCUGUUUAUACUAUGUCUACCAUGCAUUUCAAUAAGUAAUCAUGUUUAUAACCAAAGCUAGAUGCGUUCACAAUGCCUUCCUACGGGAAAUUAUAAAUACGACACCCCUGAAUACUCACGGGUUGAAAUGCUACAAUGAUAGUUCUGUGCGCUUGCAGAGUAAUUUAUUCCUAUAACUGAGCUAUCGAUUGGCGUACCUAAGUACCUUUACUUAAGAUUGUAAUCCUUGUGCACCCACACGGCGCCGGGCCACAGCUUUGCAUAUCGUAAGUAAGGAUGGUUAGGAAUGCCAAUCUAGCAAUUCUAAUCAUCAGUACCAGACUGCACUGCCUAGGCCAGCGCCAUAAAAGGCCUUGGUUUAUCUUUCUGAAGUGAUGGUGGUUAGGAUAUGCCAAGAACGUUUCUAAUGUUAUUAUUAAGGAUGGACUAAAACUCUAUCUUUAGUAGUUUCGCUAAGAAAUGCCAACACUAGGCAUUAAUUUGCACAAAGGAUUGGGUUGCUGCAGCAAGUAAAGGUACUUAUUUAAUUUGUUUUUUAUGUUGGACACUAGAUUGCAGCAGACUAAUGCAUUAUUUUUUUCUUUUUCAUUUUUUCAGAUUCUAAAAUGCUUGGAUCAAUUGUGACUGAUCUUGAGGUAGAUGCUUUAACUAAUGUUGUGGCUAAAUUCAAAAUUGAGGUAUGUUCAUUGACUGCUUGGUGCUUGCUAUGAACUGUACUAGUUGCUACAUCUAAUUUUAAUUAACUUUGCAAUAGGAAAAUAAUAAAGAGGAAGAUGAGCACAAUGAGGAGGACAAGGACAACGAGGAAGCAACAGAUAUUAAGAGUGAUCCAGACGUCAUGAAACCGACCAAAUUAUAAGAGAUUAAGCCUAACAGUGACCAUUUGCAUAGUCAAACCAUCCGGCUUAAGCCCAUAUAAUCCCGGUAGUCCGUGAAAUCUCGAAGAAUUUCCAUCCACACAUCGUACAACAGCCAAGAUCGUAAUAAGUUUAGCGGUCGUCAUCCACAAAUACAUCCAGAUUACAACAUUCAUAAAAUACAUCGGAGUGCUUAAAGUUAUUACAAACCAAGUUCACAGGUAGCGGAAGCUUCAUAGUUCGAAAAUACAACACACACACUUAGUCUGAUACAGUGCCAUAACUCGGUCAUUCCCACAAAAGCAAAAAAGAAGACAGAGUGACCAUCGCCCUUGGUCUAGUCAUCACCCAUGGCUGGGUACAGACAGAGGAUCCAAUAACCAUAGUACAUUUGACCAUCUGCAAAACAACAUGGGAGUAGAACCCUGAGUACGAGAAGGUACUCAGCUAGACUUACCCGACAUAAAUUAAAAUAAAGACUCUUCAAGGAUCAUGAAGGCUAUAUAGUGGAGUAGCUGACGACCAUUUUGCAUAACCGCAGGAUCCUAUUAUCAUAACCUACAUAAAUCUUUCUUCUUUUAAUUUGCUCAAGUUGAAGGUAUCAUUACCUAUUAUCUAGGUUUGCACCUACACUAUUACAAGCAAGUAUAAUGUUAUGAUGGUACCUCAUCAUAGCAUUCUUAACCAUUUAUCAAUAUAACCCAAGUGUUCCAUAGUCCUUACUAUGAGGACAGGGCUCAUGUCAAGUGCUCACUAUCCAGGAGCAAUGGCGAUUCGAAUCGAUUUCUAACCAGCUGGCGAGGUAUUCCCCACACAAACCACACUCACUGAUCAAGUGAGCUACAGAUCACCGUAUUGCACUAUCCAGGACCAAUUCGCGGGUUCGACAGGCACCGCCCGUACCCGAGGACCGUUCCGGCGACCGAGGUAUCCAAGGUAUACCAAGGUUGCGCGCCGCGCCCUCGUCGUUCUCCUCAACCAUCACCAAUACAGCGCGUACAUCGGGCCGAUUCCCGGCCCGGAUAGUGCUCAGGCUUCGCGGUCGGAACGACUUAUCCUUCUAGCUAAAUGUGGGGCAUGCGUUCAACAUGACAAGAGAGCCGUCAACGAUCGGUCCUUAAUCGACACAGGCAGGGGCACUAUGGUCAACCCACCAUAAGACCCUGCCCGGUCUCCAAUUCCAUUCCGCACUUGGUUAUUCUUUUCCCCAAAGCAACCACUGCUCAGUCAGGCAGGUAUCCACCUAUAUCUCGCAGGUGACAGGGAAUCACCCGACUUCUAUCGGACUAAGCAAGCUAAGCAUAGACUCCGCGCCUAUCUACAUAGGACAAGGUAGAUAAACGAGUAGGGAUAACAAGGAGUACAUAUGCAUCAACGGUAUCAAGCAAUUCCUAUCACUUAAAUGCAGUAUAUUAGAACAAGCAUAGUAUAUCAUGUAAGUUAGCGAGAAUAGGGAGACUUAGAAUGCUCCGGGGCUUGCCUUUCUCAAACAUGCUGGGUCGGUGAUCUGGACACUCCUGUAGUUCCUCUCCGGACUCCUGUGCUUCCGGAGGUUCCUGCUCCUGAAUCUCCUCUGGCUCCUCGGGUCCCACCUCGUUCUCCUGUGAGCCUGUAUGAUGCAUGUGUGCUCAUGAGUGGAGUGCGAGAUGCCCGAGUGGAUGCUUGUAUGAGAAGGUACCAAAGGAUCAUGACAUGAUGCAUAGGCGAUUUAAUUGGUCAUGUUCUUUACAAGGUAGUCAACAUCAUCUAAGAGUAGGCAAUUGAAUUAAACAUCUAUUGCAUUCUCUUCUACAAACAUUUUUCAAGUGUAACCAGCAACCCACAAGUUGCUUCAAAGAUACACCAAACCCAUUCUUUAUUCUAUUCAACCUAUAUAUAACAAUCAUCCAUUUGCAUAUAGUUCUAUUCAUCAAUAAAUUCCACAAAAAUUUGCAUAUAGUUCUAUUCAUCAAUAAAUUUGCAUAUAGUUCUAUUCAUUUUUCAAAAAUGAAUAGAACUAUAUGUAAUUUCAAGUGUAACCAGCAACCCACAAGUUGCUUCAAAGAUACACCAAACUCAUUCUUUAUUCUAUUCAACCUAUAUAUAACAAUCAUCCAUUUGCAUAUAGUUCUAUUCAUCAAUAAACCCAUUCUUAAUUUCUAGGCCCAUCAAAAUUUGCAUAUAGUUCUAUUCAUCAAUAAAUUCCACAAAAAUUACAGAAGACUAUCAGUCAAGCAUAAAGUCUACUGUAAAUUUUUCAUAAUUUUGUGAUACUUAUUUUGAGCUACAAAAAUCACAAGAUUAAUUAAUAAUAGGUAAGUAUAAUUACCCCACUGUGGUAUAAGUGUCAAACAGCAGAUUUCAUAUUUUUACAAUUUGUCUAAUAUCAUAAGAAACACCCACACAAAUUUCUAGAUUAAUUGCAUGAUCCAAUUAAUUAUUAAAAAUCAUAAACCACUGCCAUGCAAGCAUUUAAAUCACUAUAAAUUCAUUUAUACACCAAAUAAUGUAUAGCAAUAUUUUCCCAGUGAGUUAACAUACAUGCAGAGCCAACAAAUCAAGUUUCACAUUUUUCUGGGCUAUACUUUAAUUACUGGGCAUUUUCCAAGUUUAGCAAAAACAUAGAUUAAAUAUAUUCAUACAGAAAAGUUACUCAAACCUGUCAUGCAAUCAUACUAUGCUAUGGAUCUGGACACAGAGAACACACCAAAAUUUAUUUCACAAUUUUUGGAGCUAAAAUUCUCAAGAUAUGGAUUUUAGAACAUUUAAAUUAUUUUCCUAGAAAUUAUUUUUCUGAAAACAAAUCAAAUCACCCCAGGACCGGCUAGGUACACCCGGUGCAGUGCACCCGCGGUCACUGACGAGCGGACCCGCCUGCCAGCCGGGCCCGCUGGUCAGGACACAGAGAGGGGAGAGGAUCCCCGACGACGGCUCGCCGCCGGCGAUGCCUCCCGGCCAAAACCAACGGCACCAACGCGUUCGCCUCCCUCUUGCGACUCGAUCCCACCCCUCUACUCGCCCUGGAACCUCGCACAGCGAGCUAGCCACCGGCAAUGGCGGACCGGCGGCGCUGCCGCAGCGGUGCCGGCCACCACGCUCCGGUAGAGCGCUCGAGUGUGGCUUCUUGCGACUCAGGGAGCCACGGCGACCACAAUGCGCGCGCUAGCGAGGCAAGAGAGGGUCGAGAGGAGGAAAACCAGAGAUGCCGACGCCGCGGAGAGCUCCGGCGAGGCCGCGCACUCUCCGGCGAGCGAUUCGGCCCCCUAGGACCGCUCACCUGCGCGAAGAAGCUACGUCCGAGCACGCGAAGGCGACUGCGGAGCUCGGAGAGGUGGAAGGAGGCGCUGAAAGGUGACGGGGUGCCGGGAACAAGGCGAGCGGAGCUCGGGGAGCUCCGAUGGCGAGCGGCGGCGCGGUGCGCGCGGAGAGGAGGCGAGAGAGCACGAGAGAGAGCGAGGGGGCGCGCACCGGGUGGAGGCGAGAAUGGCGAGGGAGGUGGCGCUGUCCACAGCGAAGGGGGGGGGUCGUGGCGCCGGCGAGCAGCGCAUGCCGUCCACGCGGCGCCGUCGGCCUGACACGGUCGGGCGCGCGCGGCGCGGCCGUGUCCGAGCGCGCGGGGAGGAGGCGUGGACGCGGCGCGGGCAGGCCUGGGCUGGCUUCGCUGGCUGGGCCGGUUGGUUGGCGCCGGCCCGCCAGUGAACAGCCCCUCCUUUCUUUUUUCUUUUUUUUUGAAUUUCCUUUCUCAAAUUCUUUUCUAAAUUCAUUUGGACCAAUAUAAAAUUAUUUUCACCUCUUGCUCCCAAAAGCAAAGUUGUUCCAAAACAAAAACCCUACAACUUUGUUUUAAUAAGCAAGACCAAAUUCCCAAUAGAAUUUGAAUUACAAAUUAAAACUAGUUCUAGGUUUUCAAAUAAAUUCAUUUUGGGAAUUUUUUGUAUAAAUUCCAUUUCUCAAAUUCUAUGGCUCCAAAAAUUGCACAAAAAUAUUCUUAAUUCUUCUUACACAUAAAUCAACCUAGUUUGAAUAUUUCACAAUUUUAGAAGCAAGCAUCAUAUUUUUAGCAUAUUUAAAGCACAUGGGAUAAAACACAUAAAAUCAUAUUUUGGGAUGAAUGACAUGCUCAUGAUGCUAUGCUUGAUGGGAAUACUUAUGCAUUGCUUUGAUAAGGCUAAGUGCAUGCUUAACACCUAGGGUGUUAGACAUGCAUUUCCUAAUAAUUGUUUGUUGUAGACUUAUAUAUUUGUGUGUCAGUAUGAUGACACUUAAGAGUUUAUGCGGUCAUGUACUUGUUUGGCUAUUGACUGUUAUUGGAUGGUAUGGUAUGGUUCUGGACUUCUGGUAGUAUGGUACUGUACUGGCGGAGAGUGGACACGUGAGUGGUGUUCGUGCACCUGUUAAUCUUUUGCACUUGUUUAAGCUAUAAUGCCUAAGUUGUUUCCAUGCACCUGUUACUUAUUAGAUGCACUCUAACUAUGGUCAUACACUUGGUUAAGAUUAUGUAUUGUGGAUCGGUAUUCCGUAUUAAUUUCCGUAUACCGACCGUGUUCGACACAAUUUCGCUCAAAUUGGUUCGUGUUCGAGAUUUCGUAUGUUCGUGUUCGUGUUCGGCUUUAUCAUUUUCGUUUCUGUUUUCGUAUUUAAAUGCAAAAAUAGAAAACAAUUGAGCAGUUUUUCGACCAAGUUCGACCGUUUUCAUCCCUACUCAUAACAGUUAUCUGAAUCAAAUUUGUUCUCAACCGUAAGCAGGAAAGGCAGGUGAUAAAAGUCAUUCUUUAUGUGCAAGUUCUUCAUGGGAUAACCAAGGAAACAAAAGCUCCUUCGUUAAGAUCUGCUGGCGUUGAUGGAUUGCAUCUAUCAAAUCAGCAGGUGUGGAACAACUUUAUGCUAAAUGGUGUCCAUCAAGACUUUUAUAGGUUCUAUAGACAUAUAGUGCAACUCAAGUGUGAAGGGUGCAAUUGUUCUGAGUUUGACAGUUUAAAUGGCUGAAAAACUGAAGCAAAAAGUGUUCUAUCUGCAUAUCGGAUUUCUCUGCAUUUGAUGAUCCUCCCUCCCAAUAAUGGACAUAUAAAUCCUAAUAAACGAAUCUAAUUUUGUAUGUCCUUUUUUAAAUUAUUAUUUAGCAAAUCAAUGUAUUGCUAAUUUAUUUUUUGUGUCCUCAUACUAUUCUUCGGUUUGCAAAUGUCCUAUGACCUUUUCAACUAAUUGAGCUUUUUCAGUGUGCCUGCACAAUUCCAGGUCCUCAAUGUUUUAUCUUUAAUGAUCGUAUAAUCAGUAUGUUGGAAUACAUCCUACACAAGCCUCGCUCGCCUGAUGGACAGCUUUGCCAAACAUUGAAAAUUCUUUGGCUGAUAGCAAAAUGCGCCUCCAUAUCCAAGUGAAACAUGCAUAUUUAUGCUAACAUUAUCCUAUGAAGGGCUCAAAUGACAACCCAUCUAUAACAAAUUUUCCUAACCUUUUUUCCCAUGUAUAAUCAUAUGAUGUGCUAAAAUUCUGUUUCUGGGUACCUGCUACUCCCUCCAUCCCACAAAUAAAUGCAUUUCUUUGACUGUUAUGAUUCAUGUUUGAUCAUUCGUCUUAUUUAAAUUUUUUAUGCAAAUAAUAAAAUAAAUAAAUCAUUAUAAAAAUAUAUCUAACAAUUAAAUAAGUCAUAAAAAAAUAAAUAAUAUUUAUUAAUUUUUUUUGAAUAACAAGAACGGGUCAACCUGAAUUAUAGAAGUAAAAAGAAAUGCAAUUAUUUGUGGAAUGGAGGGAGUAGUUUAUUUAUUUGUGAGGCCUGGAAGCACAAACAACAUAGGGUAUGUUUGUGGCAUCCCAUAUGUGGUCAGGGCUCACUUGGGCCAAAAGAUAGGUGUUUGUUUGAUUGAAGAAGGCUUGGGGCAUAGCCAACUUGGGCCAGCCGUACAGAGAUAGCCUGCCAAGCUUUGAAAGCCCAAAUCGGGCUUCCCAACUGAGUCAGGCUCUGGCCAGCGCUUGUACUCGUUCGAGUGACCUCCCGGUGCCCUCUGACCGACGUGACGCCUCGACGCAGCAAACUCUCCAGGGUGCCGUGCUGCGCCUGGAUUUGGGGUAGCAGCACCGUCGCUGCCGCCGGCCCCUUGAGCGGAGGCGCCGUGGAUUCGGCUGUGGGCUUGUUGAGCGGAGGCGCCGGUGCGGGGCGAGGGCGAGGCGGCGGAUGAGGAGCGGUGGGGUGAUUCGCAGAGGGUCCGGGAAGUGGGGCUCGUGGAGGGUGAGCGAGUCAACGCAUUCGAGAAGCUGGUUGAUCUCGUGUCGGAGUGGCAGGACACGCCGGCGAGCCUGGCGGCGGAGCGAGUCGGGAGCCUACCGGGGGUGUUGCAGCAAGCUUUGGGGAUGUGGGGGUGUUGCAGCAAGUCCUCAAGCGCAGCGUCCGUGGCUGUUGUCUUCUUGCCGAUCGACUGCGCGUGAGGGCGAGGGGAUCCAGCUCGUCGGCAUCGCGGCUCGUCGGAGCGCACUUCUGGCCGGGAGCAGCGGAGGUCCGGUUGCGGCGGAGGUCCAGGAGCGUGAGGUGCUUCAGCGCGCUGCUGGCCUCCAUCGUGUCGCUACCUCCACCUCUCUCGAGGUACAAGAUGAAGCCAGCGAGCCCACACCUCCUAGCUGCUCGCCGGCGAGCCCCCACUCCCCUCCCCUCUCUCUCCCUCAACCAGCACGAGGCUCGUCCCAUGCUCUGGUUCACGCCGGAGUGACGCUCAUCGUGUGCUCGAUGAAUUGCCGUAAAAGAUGGUAAAGUUACCUUUGUAAAAAGGAGGUGACUCUACCCAACCAAACACAACUAGAUGCUAACCAGGUUUAGAUAGUGUAAACAACCAAACAAUUCUAUGUUGGUUUGGUGGAGUCAGACUUAGGUUAGCCUGGUUUAUUUGGCAGCGAGGUAACCAAACACACCCAUGAUUAGCCGGCACCUAGCACCGACGCAGGACUCCGGACGCGGGUUUUCCCCAUUGAGGCUUUUACACAUGUGCCUCUUCCUCUCCGAAUUCCGUCCAAAUCCGCGGGGCCCCUUUUCCCAUAGCUGAGGCUUGGCUGCAGUGGAUGGAAACUAAUAGGGAGAUGACGGGGUCCAGCACGUCUCCGUCGGCGGCAUGCGCAGCCGCGAUCUCUGCGGUGCUAGACGACGACGACCUCCUCCGCGAGAUCCUGCUCCGCCUCGCCUUCCCCACCACCCUCGUCUGCGCCGCCCUCGUCUGCAAGCGCUGGCUCCGGCACGUCUCCGAACCGGCCUUCCUCCGGCGCUUCCGAGAGCGUCACCCGCCCGCACUUCUGGGCUUCUACCUCAGGGAAAUGGGCUCAUGGCGCCCGCAGUUCGUGCCCGUCUCACAGUCCCCUGAGCUCUCCGCCGCCAUCCGCCGUGCGAGCGUAACCGACGGUCAAUUCUUCAUCAGCGACUGCCGAAACGGGCGCCUCCUCGUCACGGAUUUCGACCCCACAUCCUGCCGACAAGCUGUACUCAGCCCGUUGCAGCCUACGUGUGCAAAGGCCAUCCUCCCACCGCCACCGAAGCAUAGUCUCAUAUGGUUCUUCCUCUCCGAGAGAGAGGAGGAAGGCAGCAACGACGGUGCCGGUGCCAUCGCUGUAUUGAUGCUGCCUAUCGGUACGGAAACAAAACUCCAAGUGGAUUUGCUCACUCCACGGUCUGGCGUCUGGGUCGUCCGUCGCAGUGAAGUAAUACUUCUCCCGGAGAAUUUGCCUCCGAUUGCGUACACGCUGCCGCCGGUCCGAGGCAAGAUCUACAGCUUGACCAAGUCCGGGCAAGUUCUCCGGUUGGAUAUGGCCGCCAGCACGAGUUCUCUUCUCCGGCUCCCAGACAGAGUGAGGACGGACAACUUCAUGAUAUCAAGUGGAGAGGAUGGUUCUAGGCUAUUCCUCAUCCACGCCGACGGGUAUCAGCUCAGCGUCUGGCACCUUCCCACCACCAGCAGCGAUGCAAAUGACUGGCUGCUGGUGUAUGACAAAAUUCGUGUGCGUGAGGCGUGCAAUCGUCUUGAGGAUGUUCUGGUGAUGGCGGUUGAUGACAGUCUCGAGUUUGUGUUCCUCUGGCUGCGAUCGAGUGCGGUUCUCAUGCAUAUGCAUCUGCCGAGCAGGAAUGAGAAGGUAUAUAACGAGUUGAAUGUGCGUGAUGGGUACUUCUUAGAUAUCAAUCCCUUCAUGAUGGUUUGGCCUCCGGUGUUCCCAGUAUUGAGGGAAGAGGCUGAUCUGGCAUGAUUUACACUAUUGUAUGCAUUUCUUUCACUAUAUAACUUCCUAGGCCAAUCUUGAGGAGUGAUCUGGUAUGAUUUACACUAUUGUAUGCAUUUCUUUCACUGCCUAUUUAAAAGAUUUGAGUGGGCAAUCACUGUCACAUCUCUUCUAGGUGGUAUAUAGUACUUGUGAUAUAUCUGUUGAUUCAGAAUUUCAUAACUGGCUAUGACUUCUGCAGAGUGCUUGGAUCUCAUAUUGUUUACCUUAACCAGAUCACGCUUUAUAAUUCCUAAACACCCUAUAAUGAGGAUACAGAAUAUAAACACAGGUCAUGUCUCGCUAUAUGGUGUACAAUGUUUGUUAUUAUUAAAAAUCUGUUGAAUCAAACAUUGUUAUCUGUGGAAUAUCUGUAACUGCUCAGGAACUAAUAUGUGCCCUUGGGAGUCAUGCAGCAAAUGUAUCAACUUGAGCCUAGAGUUCAGGUUGUAAUAGAAGUUAUUUCAAAUAUAACUUUAUAUGAGCUCGAUCUUGGACAAUUAACAUAUCAUUCUGAAUUAAAAUGUCACUAGAAAUUAAUAUCCUUUUUUCCUGCACCAACAUAUAGCUUUUUUGAACUCUUUUAGGAAAAUAGAGCUUUUUUAAAUUAUUGGGCACGUAUUUUAUUUGAAGAAUAAAUUUAUAUAACAACUGAAAAAAGACAACAUGUAGGUGAACACCUAUAAGCUACCUACAACCUCAAAAGCAAUCAAGGAGCGACAGAAAACGCUUGUCGGAGAAACAACCAAACCACCAAACAAGAAAACCAAAGGCUGCAACCAAGAGCACUCACUAACUUACACAAGACAGAGGGCUAAUCCUGCAACCUAGAUCGCCAGAACUUCGAUGAAAAAAGUGCGCAGAGUCUGUGACCUGAUGACCACUGCAGCACCAGUUCUUAGAUAUCAAUCCCUUCAUGAUGGUUUGGCCUCCAAUCUUCCCAGCAUUGAGGGAAGAGGGAAUCUUGAGAAGUGAUCUGGUAUGAUUUACCUUAGUAUGACCACUCACCACACUUUGUAUGAAUUUCUUUCACUGCCUAAUAAAAGACAUAAAAGAUUUGAGUGGGCAAUCACUGUCAUAUCUCCUCUUCUAGGUGGUAUAGUAUGUGCUUGUGAUAUAUCUGUUGAAUUGUUGAUUCAGAAUUUCAUAACUGGCCAUGACUUCUGCAAAGUGGUUGGAUCUCAUAUUGUUCACCUUGAUAAGAUCACGCUUUAUAAUUCCUAAACUCCCUAUAAUGAGGGUGCAGAAUAUAAACGAAGGUCCUGUCUCGCUACAUGGUGUACAAUGUUUGUUAUUAUUAAUAAUCUGCUGAAUGAAACAUUGUUAUCUGUGUCCGUAUCUGUAACUGCCAAUGGCUAGCGAAACACUGGUUUAAAUUAGUGAAACAAUAAUGAUACUUAUUUUUCAUCUCUUUGUUUCUUUCUGGUAUUUUGUAAAGCUCUUAAAUUUGUUUUCUUUCUCUUUACUUAUUUUUUCAUGUAAUUCUUCUCUUUCCCUCUUCAUUGCUUCUAUUUCAUACAUCUUCUCAUCAUGCUCUAGUUUCUCUUUGUUUCUCAAUAUUUUGUGACUACCUUAGUACAUCAUUCACUUGAUUAUUCUGCACACCAUUAUUUUCAUGUUCAUUUUCAUUUUGAGUUAGAAUAUUUUUUGUCAUGUAGCUAGAAUAUUGUUUUGUUAUGAGCUAGAAUUUUUUUCCUCUAGAAAGUAGAACACUUAUCGAUGAGCUAUAAAGAUUUUAUUUUCAAGAUGGAACAUUUCAUAAAAAGGUUUAUUAUGCAGUGUUUUUUCAAAACUUUGCAUUGUUGUUGAAAAGAUUGUAUUUUUCCUAGACACAAAUUUCUCCUCAUGUUCAUUAUGGACUUGCCGUUUUUGUUCUCUCAGUCAUUCAUUUCUGUUUUAUGGGCUUUGUUCUCUAUUGAUCAUUCAUUUGUCUCGUGGGUCUUGGUUGGUGUUUCCUGGUAUCUGUCAAAGUGCCAAUCAUUCCUUGUUAGGCCGCUGGCCACCUCGGCACAACAGGAGGCGGAGAGAACUGCUUCGGCAAAAAGUAUAGCACAAUCCCGGAGGUGAGCACAGAUCAGCAUUGGGAAGAUGAUUAGACGAAUACGAGGGAGGAGCAUCGCUCGUGUCAGUCUGUCAGCAUUUCAAAUUUCAAGGAUGAAAAAUGAAAAAGAUAAAUUGGCAUCUUUCAAGCUGCAGGGUAAAUCUAGUGGCAUUUAAAUCAACCAAUACGUUUUCAUAUCUCCCGAGGAUUUUAUAUGACAACAAAAACUGACAAAUCAAACAAGUACAUUAUGUCAUGAAUAAUUGACUCAGGAUUACCUAAUGAAUCUCUAAUCAUCAUUGACGUUCUGCAAGCAUGCACCAUGCAUAACUAAUUUGUUACCACUUGUUUUAUUCUGACGAUCUGCUCAGAAUAUGGACAGUCUGAGAUUACAAGAUGAACUAUGCAAUGGUAACUUUAGGUUUCACAGUACACGGUGGACCUGGAUAUACACUCGUCAGAUCUCGUAUACAGGAGAAAAAAAAUUGAACCCUAACUGAUAAAUGGUAAUACAGAGAAACAAUUGGCAUUGAAAUCCAUUGCCAUAUGUAGUCAGAUUCCAAGCUGCAGUAUCGACGUGCCUCCCAGAUAUUCUCCAUCAGGAGUACAGGCGGCACUUUCCAGUUCCAGCACAUACUGUACACUCAUCGAUAUCACCCGCAACAUGUCGCAGGCAGUACUUGAUGCGAUCAUUCAUGAUAUCCUGCAAAGCAUAUUCAGCAUGGAGAGUGCAAUAACAUGUUACUGAGUAAAUAGAUCAACUCAUCAACGAGCCCUGUCCUUAAUUGCUCACAGUUAGACAAUUGCCUCCUGUAUUAUUAAGAAAUUGAUACCAGAAUUCCAGAACAUAGCCGGUAUAGACUGACGAUUAUACACAAGAAGAAUGCCAGCUGGUUAUAAUGUAAAAGUUGCUUUUUAUACAUUUACAUACAACUAUAGUUCAUUUCUGACACUAGUUGCUACAUAAGCCUUUAUAGCAUACAGUGCUUAAAUGCCCCUAGACCUUCAAAAUUAAUCACUAUGCAAAUAUGACAUAUCAAGGUCAACAAGGCCAUUAUUUACACAUAUUAUAAUUUUGUUUUGUAGAAAAUUUCAACAUUCUUCUUCCAAAAGAGGACAGCAAUUAUAGCGAUCUAUUUGUUAACAAAAUUCUUUGUCACAAAAUUCCACAAGAACUGUUAAGUGUUAAUAACUGCAAAUCAGAUUCACAUCAUAUGUACUUUGCUUCUCUACUAACAACUGCUGAAAAUGGUAGAAAUAACCUAGAGGGAACUCACAAGCACGUACCACCAUAAGCUCAUGCAGCCCAAGAGGGGCAGUGACAAGAUAGGGUAUAUUUGAGUGCUCCCUUGAUGCCUCUGCUGCUAAAGCAGGAAUGUCCUAAGAAAAUCAAACAUGGUGUCAGUGCAUAUGAAAAUCCUUGUCUGAACAUAACUAUUAUAUGCUGCUGCAUGUACAGGGUAGAUACACAUCUUCAUCCUAAAUAAACUAACACCCUUAUCAGUAAGCAUUGUCAACCUUACAUAAAUACAAAAAAAAGGGGAAAAACAUACUUGCUUCCAGUGUCGUCCAGGGGAAAGGAAAUAUGGACUAACAAUAACUCGGGAUGCUCCUUGUUGCACACAUUUUCCAAAUGCAUCCUUUAUAGUAGGCUCCGCUAGCUCCUGCGUUUUUUAAGAAACUGAAGGUAAAGCAACAAAACUUACUGAUCACAAAGAAAAUAAAGAAUUCUACGAUAACUGGACCCAAUAAAUACCAGCCAAUACCAAUUAACACUACAAAGAACUAGAAAUCAGGAAAUAUAGAAAAUAGCAGCAAAAGAGAUUAAGCAAUACAUACAUUUAGCAUGAAAAACACACCUACAGUUCAUCCAACAUUGAACAAUUAAUACACCAAGAGUUGCUAAAAAAAGAGCCCCAAGUACAUAUAAAUCACAGAGUGGAGGUAACUAUGGUGCUAACUGCUAUCCUGUAGAUUGCUAUAUGCCAGGUCACCUUUCAUUCAAAUCACUUAAUGUUGUAUUUAACUGAUUCCAAUCAGCAGCAUUAAUUUCACCAAAUUGAUGACGAAGAUGGAUAUAUUCUUUAACUUAGCUGAUAGGCAUUAAGUUCAACUGUUUUGUGGAACACAACAGGUACAUUACCAAAGGUUCACUGUAAUGGCACUAUGGUGUGAUCUUGUAACACUCUACGUCCAAAAACUGCUUAUAUGGCCUAACUCCGCACGUGGAAUGGGCCUGCCACCUCGCUUACACUUUCAUCCUCGCUUCGUGUAAAGGGGUUAACUCGGAGGUGCUAUGUUUGGAACAACAAGGCUUACAAGUUGGCCCUCACCCUCACAGACUACCAAUGUGGUACUAAACCCACUAACCACAACCACACAUAAGCCACUUGGGCCACAUGGACCAACUUCUCUUUUUAAAAAAAAAACGCAAGAGAGCUGUGUUUCAUUAUAUUAAAGAGAAAGGGUGGUCCUCAACAUGAUCCUCACUCAUACAGGGACCAAAUAUGAGUGAGGCAAAUUACAUAGACUCAAAACUUUUCCACAUAGCUCACAUACAACUCACUCCCCUAGGUUGCAAAAGUAAGUCCUAAAUCCUACAGUUUCUUCGCACCAGCCAAGCACCAUAAGCUGUGCUCAUCCUUCAGUUCCCACAAAAUUGUGUUAACUGAAGGAGAAACCCCUGAAACACACAAGCAUUUCUAUGUUUCCAAAUAGUCCAGACGCCAAGAAUAAUUAGAGUGUUCACUCCUUUUUUCUGCUCCUUCUUUACUCUACUCAACAUCAUACGCAACCAAUCUGCAAAGCUCCUUUCAUUUUGACAGGGGACUAAAUCUGUUAGCUCCAAAGGCUGGUGUAAUCUGAACCACACUUGUCUUGCCACCACGCAUGUUGUUAAUAGGUGUUGUAUCGUCUCAUCUUCUUGAUCACAUAGAGGGCAUUUAUCCGGAUGAGGGAGGCCCCUCUUAGCAAGCCUAUCUGCUGUCCAACAUUUGUUUCGGAUUGCCAACCACAGAAAUAUUUUGCAUUCAACUUCACAACUACUACAGGCUUCUAACGGGCCGGGGUGUUAUAUUCACUCCCCCUUAAGGGCUGACGCCCUCGGCAGCUCACCACAUAUGUGUCAGAUGUCCAGGAGCACCCCUUGGUACACCCUUCCAUGGGCAGCGUGCAGCAAGGGUUGAUGCUCUCAAUAUCAUCUGUAACACCCCACGUCCAAAACUGCUUAUAUGGCCUAGCUCUGCACAUCGAACGGGCCUACAUACACGUAGCACCUCCGGGUUAACCCUUUUACACGAAGUGAGGUGCUACGCGUAUGCAAGCCUGUUCCAUGUGCGGAGCUAGGCCAUAUAAGCAGUUUUGGACACGGGGUGUUACAGAUCUCCAAUAUUCUGUGAGUAGCUCUAAGCGACGAUAGUACAAUAUGAUUCAACAAUUUAUUCAAUUGCAGUUUGAAAAUCACAAUAAUUCUUUACAAGUGGUUUGAUGAUUCAAUCACCUAAAUGUUGCAUAAAGCAUCAGAAAAUGAAAAGAUGAGGGCCGUGACAACCAUAAUUGCUUCUCUUGACCAUAGAAAUCGAGUGGUUGAUGUUUUCUAUUCUAAACCAUAAUACCAUGAGGCAGUAACCUGAAUUGUUUCUUGGUAGAUCUUGGCAACAUGAUAUGUAUUGGUUUUAGCAUAAGCUGGAAAUUCAAAAUUGGCUAGCAAGUCAGUGUCAAGCUGUCAGUUACCUGUAUUCUGCAAAAGUUUUUUGGGGCCUGUUUGGUUUGCACCCAAAUGUUCCAUGUAUUAGCUAAGAAAUUUUUGGUUGCCAAAUUGGUGGGCAAGGAUUUGGCCAACUUUGGCAAGCACAAUGGACUAAGAUGGCCAAAUGGAAUACUACAUUUCUGUGGAGUUUGUUUCCCUGAUUAUCCAACAGUAUAGUAUGUAUUUAAAUCAAGCCUAUAAUCUUUUACACUACUUGAACCAGAAGACCAGCUGAGGGUCCCUUUGGUUGGGCUUUCCAACCUGCUUUUGCUUUUGCAAAAGCCAAAAGCCAACCAAAGGGCCCAAAAGUCAGAGCUGCUUUUGCCUAAAAGCAGUUUUUGCUCUAGUACAAAACUGAAAGCAGGUCCCGUGCUUUCAGCUGCUUUUGGACCAAAUAUUUACCCACCUGCCACUGGUUAUGAUAGGUACCGGUUUGUUCUUUUUCUCUUCUAUUCGCGUUCGCAGAGGAAAGGAGAAGUCGUGACCGCCCCUUGCACAUGCGUGGCUCCGCGGCAGCGCAUCCUCCCCACUCCGGCGAGCUCCCUCCCCACUCCUCCCAAUGUGAGCAGCAGCAGAGGAGCAGUCGCGGACCACUCUGGCAAGCAGAGGAGCGGCGGACAUGUGGCGGUCCCUCCUCGCUCGGCUCUAGCAAGGACCUCAGCCUCCAGAUCCAGCGGUCACGGGCAAAGCACCGGCCAGCUCCGGCCCCGGCUCCGGCGGUCGAUGGCGCGGUCCCUUCGCGCGGCCAGCCCUGAGAGCAGCACGGCUAGCCUUGGUGAGAUGCAGACUGUGAGGAAGAAGAUGCUAACAUGAGACUGACGAGUCGGGCCCGCUUGCAAGUGAGUGAUGAUAACAACAGUUUUUCUGAAAGCCACAGCUCCUCAACCAUACGGCUUUUGGCUUUCUCAAAGUCCACUUUACAAAGCAGUUUUUCUAAAGGCUACAGCUCACAACAGCUUUCCCAAAAGCCACAGCCCAACCAAAGGGACCCUGAGUAUCUCCACUCCGGUGUAAAAUUAUACUAAGGCCUUGUUUGGAUCCAAAAUUUUUUUGGAUUUGGCUAUUGUAGCAUUUUUGUUUUAUUUGGCAAUUAGUGUCCAAUCAUAGACUGAUUAGGCUUAAAAGAUUCGUCUCACGAUUUACAGGCAAACUGUGCAAUUAGUUUUUGUUUUCCUCUACAUCUAAUGCUCCAUACAUGUGUCCAAAGAUUCGAUGUGAUGGGUGAAAAGUUUUUGGAUGGGGAACUAAACAAGGCCUAAGAGGACUGGCAAUUAGUGUCCAAUCAUGGACUGAUUAGGCUUAAAAGAUUCGUCUCACGAUUUACAGGCAAACUGUGCAAUUAGUUUUUGUUUUCCUCUACAUCUAAUGCUCUAUACAUGUGUCCAAAGAUUCGAUGUGAUGGGUGAAAAGUUUUUGGGUGGGGAACUAAACAAGGCCUAAGAGGACAAGAACAAAUGUAUCAUUAAACAUCCAAGGGAACUAAAUCUAAACUUCCUGUUCGAGGGUGCGUAGGUGUGUGUAGAGAAACACCGCCAGGAAGGCUUGUAGUACAUCUACAAGUUAUAAUGUGGUACUAAUACAAGUCAGGCUAGGAGUACAAGGUUAAUGGGCCAUAAGCCCAAUAUAGGCUAUUAUAAUUAUAUUUUAACACCCUCCCUCAGUUUAAGCGGGAGUGUCACGAACACAAAGACUGGACCUAAAGUCAAUGAAUAACUGUACAGGUAACCCUUUGGUCAUAAUGUCCGCGAACUGAUGAGACGAUGAAACAUGGAGCACCCAAACCUGUCCCAAUGCAACCUUCGCACGGACGAAGUGAAUAUCUAUCUCAAUAUGCUUCGUGCGACGAUGAUGAACUGGAUUCUGGGCCAUGUAGGUAGCGCUAACAUUAUCAUAGUAGACGAUCGUCGCCGAUGAGAUAGGUGCAUGGAGCUCCUGAAGUAACUGACGAAGCCAAGCCACAGCGUGCGCAACAGCACGAUACUCAGCCUCCACACUCGAACGAGAGACCGUAGUCUGUCGUUUGGAGGACCAAGAGACUAAGUUGUCCGAGGAAGACACAGUAGCCUGAAGUGGAGCGCCGAGAGUCUGGACAACUAGCCCAAUCAGCAUUGGAGUAAGCGGUCAAGCUGGUGAUGCUGCCUGUGCCGAUGUGAAGCCCGGUGGACAGGGUGCCCUUGACAUACCGCAAGACGCGCUUGAGCAUCGCAAGGUGAGGCUCUCGCGGGUCGUGCAUGAAGAAGCAAACCUGCUGAACUGCAUAGGCGAGGUCCGAAUGAGUUAAAGUGAGGUACUGUAGUGCACCGGCGAGGCUGCGGUACUGAGUGGCAUCUGACACCGGUGCGUCGUCCGUAGCAAAGAGCUUGGCAUGAGUAUGAACAGGAGUUGCCGUAGAGUGACACUCAGCCAUGCCGGCGCACUGGAGCAGGUCCACAGCGUACUGGCGCUAAGACAGGAAGAGGCCAUCCGCAGAACGCGUGACAAAGAUCCCAAGGAAGUGAUGAAGAUCCCCAAGAUCUAUCAUAGAGAACUUAGAGUGAAGAAGCUCGGUGAGGCGUCGAAGAAGUGAGGUCGACGAGGCUGUCAGGAUGAUGUCGUCGACGUAGAGCAGCAAGUAGCCAAUGUCGGCACCCACUUUGUAAAUAAAGAGGGACGGAUCGGAGGUCGAAGCAGUGAAGCCAGACCGCUGGACAGAGCCGGAGAACCGCUAGUGCCACUCCCUGGGCGCCUGCUUGAGUCCGUACAAGAACUUUCGCAGGAGAAGACGUGGUCGGGAGCCGCCGGGUCGACGAAACCGGGCGGCUGCUGGCAGUAGAUUGUCUCGUUCAGAUGGCUGUGAAGAAAGGCGUUCUUCACGUCCAGCUGAUGUAUCGGCUAGGAGCGAGAGGCGGCGAUGCUGAGGACGACCCUAAUGGUAGUGGGUUUGACAACCGGGCUAAACAUCUCGUCGUAGUCGAUGUCGUACUGCUGCGAGAAGCCACGAACGACCCAUCUGGCUUUAUGGCAAGCCAGAGAGCCGUCAGCAUGAUACUUGUGCUUGAAGACCCACUUGUCGGUGAUGACGUUGGCAUGAGGCGGUCGAAGGACAAGACGCCAGGUGCCAUUGUCCAUAAGCGCCUUGUAUUCUUCAGCCAUGGCCGCGCGCCAAUUCACAUCGGCGAGCGCGGCGCAAGAGUUGCCUGGCAACGAAGAAGGCAGGCUGGGGGCCGCCGCGGUAAAGCCGUACCGCUGCAUGGGCGGCGGCAGGGAACCCAUCUGGGAACAAGUUGCCCGCGUAGGGGGCUCCUGUGGAGGUAGAGCCGGGGGCACCACGACCUGCUACAGUGGGGCCGAAGGUGCCGCCUGGGGCGGCUGUGAAGCCGGCGGCGGAGCUGGACGACGACUGUAGUGGAUGCCGAACCACUGGCGGGCAGGGGCAGGGGCGGCAACACCUACUAGAGGAGGUGCUAGAGCCGCAGCCUGCUGAGGAGCCCAGGUCAGCCGAUUAGCAGCGCUAUGCCACAAAAUGGCAAGGUCGAGUCCAACAGGGUCGCCAGCAUCGCCUGCGUCGUCUGUGUCAGAUGAAGCAGGCGCCACCGAGUUCCACGAGUACCGAACGUCGCAGGCGCAGGAAGUAUUUCCUGUAACAAAAAAUCAAGAGAAUCCGGUCGAGGCUUGGAGGCUGCGAACGGAAAGUGAGUCUCGUCACAAACGUGUCGCGAGAUGAUAAUCUUGCGAGUGGAGAGGUUGGGUAACCGAGAAAGACGCACUGUGGAGCGAGGAGUCAGUUUGUGGUGAGUCGUGGCACUAAGGUUCGUAUAGCACAGGCAACCAAAGACUCGAAGGAUAGAGUAAUGUGGCAUUUUGCGAUGAAGAAGAUGAUAGGGAAUACCAUUAUGUAUGGACGAUGAUGACUGCUGGUUGAGCAAGAACACGGCGGUGGAGAGCGCUUCGACCCAAUAUGAAGGUGGCAUGGCAGCAUGAAUGAGAAGUGUACGAACUGCAUUGUUCAGUGUGCGAAGCAUGCGCUCGGCUUUGCCGUUCUGAGCGGAUGUGUAGGGGCACGAAGUGCGGAGCAGGAUGCCACGACCAGCCAAGAAGGCAGCAUUGGCAUUGUUGAGGAACUCGGUGCCCUUAUCUGCCUAAAAACAGCGCACAGGGGAACUAAACUGUGUUUAAGCAUAAGCAACAAACUGAACAAUAUGAUCAUGAACUUCAGAUUUAUGGCGAAGGAGAUACGUCCAACAAUAAUGAGUAUAAUCAUCAACCAGCACAAGAUAAAAUUUAUAACCAGAAAUACCCGAAACUGGAGAGGUCCAGACAUCACGGGGAACGAGUUCAAAAGGUGCUGAAGUACUAGAAACUGAACUAGCAAAGGGCAGCCUAGCGUGUUUGCCUAGCUGAUAGGCAUGACAAAGGUGGCGGGCUGCUUUAUUACACUGGAUAGCUGAUAGCUUAUGUAGAGUAGUGACGACAGCAGGUGCAGGAUGACCAAGGCGAGAGUACCACAUCUCUGGGGAGACGACGGCGACAUGGCAACGAGGUGGCAUGCGAUGUGGAAUCGUGUAGAGGUCCCCGUUGCUAUUGCACCGAAGGAGAGUCGUCUUAGUCCGCAGAUCCUUGACAGAAAAACCAGAGGCGUCAAACUAAAUGGAAUAGUUAUUGUCGCGAGUAAAUUGUCGAACAGAUAACAGAUUACGAGUAAGUUGGGGAGUGAUAAGAACAUUAUCAAGAUAAAAAGGACAAUCAGCUAUUUGAAGGAGAGAAGUGCCACGACUAAGAAUAGGAAUUGAUUGACCGUUGCUGACCGUAAUAGAAGACGGUGGUGACGAGAGGUGGGAAAGUAGAAUACCGUCAUUGGAGGACAUGUGGGAUGUCGCUCCGCUGUCCAUGACCCACGGUGCAAACCCACCCUGAACCGCCAUCUGGUUGAGAGCGGCGAUCAGGCUGAUCGGAUCUCAGCUGGCUGGAGGCCCGUACGCCGGAGGGCCGCCGGCAGUGGAGAACUGAGGCGGCGCGAAGGCGGUGUGUGCCUGUGGAGAAGGCACAAGUGGUGUACACCACUGCUGCUGCUGAGGUGGCCACUGACGGCCUAGGGGUUAUAGCAAACCCAAGGACCAGCCGGCUGAGGAGCCUGACGCCCGCCGGAGCCUCCGCCUUGCUGCUCGUUGCGCCCGCCGCCGCUGUUGCUGCUGCUACCGCCACCGCUGCCGUUACCAACUCCAGAAUAUGCUAAAGCAAAAGGUAAAGAUGCCUACUCCUAACUUGGAUGCCAAGGCAAUGCAACUACUAAUGCAUAAAGUAAGAUACAUAGCAAUUAGGCUUAACUAACAUUGUCAUUCCAGAGAUAUAACCAAAAUAACCGUUGACCCAUCUCCCAGUUUAACGUUGACCCAUCUCCCAGUUUACAGUUGGCAAUACCUCUAAAGAGAUCGCAAAGCUUUAAAAUAUCUCUCCACCAGAAAGAAUCUUAUCAAUGGUGGCAUGGGGGAUCUCCCAAUUGGGGUAAUGAGCAUACCAAAUCAGCUUGACCCAAGGAAUUUCCUUGUUGUAGAAUUUGUCCAGAUGCUUAAGAAGCAAAGCAAAAUUUUAACUUCUAAGGUUGAUGAUGCCUAGGCCUCCUUUCUUUUUUGGUUUACAACAUUUUUUUUCAAGCAACUAAAGGCUUCAUCUUCGCAUUACUGUCAGAGCCUCUCCACAAACAAUGUCUUCUCGCUCUGUCAAUGUAUUCAAGUACAGACACUGGGAGUUGGAGGGUGCACAUUGCAUAUGUUGGCAGAGAGGAUAGACUGAGUUCACUAGUUGAAGUCUUCCAGCAUGAGUAAGGAAAUUGGAAGUAGCUGUAAUUUUUCUUUCCACUUCGUUCAUUAUGAAGCCAAAAUUAUCAACUCUGGGUUUAGUGGUGCCCAUUGGAAGUCCCAGGUAAGUGAAAGGUAAAGUUUCAAGUUUGCAACCAAAAACACCAGCAAGCUGUUGGGCCUUUUCAGGGAGGAGGUUCAGAGGGACUAGACAUGAUUUCUUGUAGUUAACUCGAAGGCCAGUUGACUGGGAGAAAGAUCCAGGAGCCCCCUCAGGAUAAAGACAGAUUCUAUAUUCCAUAACUACUUUAUCUAUUUGAUUCAAUAAGGUGGCAUCAGCCUUGUAUUGUCCUUUGAGAGUUUAAGUACAGGAUAUCCAAGUACAAAUUUCAGCAAUUAAAUACAAACAGACUACAUAGGAUGCUGAACAAAAUCAAUCGUGAUAAUUCUGAAUGAAUGAGCUGGCACUGAACAAUACAAGGUGCAAUGCAUAGCUCAAAAGCAGAGUCAGAGUUGGUGUCAUGUGGGGCCGUCAUUAUAGCCGCCGGCCCCAUAGACAAGGAGCAGCCAGUGCCUCCCCCAAGGUUGCGCAUGGCCUGGCACAGCCCGAGGAGACUGGCCUGGCUGAAGAGGCCUGAGUUAUGAAGGCAUUUAAGGAGAAGAUGAGGAGAUUAAGGAGGUAACAGCUAGCUGGUAGUUAAUAGCUGAGGGAAGUAAUUGCUGGCUCCAGUAACUAGGUGCUGGGCGCAGCAGCUGGGAGCUGAGCUCCUAUAUAUGUAACCCUGAACUCAGUUGAAUGAAUUAAGCAAUGAAGUGAUUAUCUCUAACCUCUCAUCUCCUGCUACCUCUAAUCUCACCCCCCUGCUGCCAGGCGCCAGGCACACCCUGGCGCCCCCAUCUCCUACCUCUAGCUACAACCUGCGCAGCCAAGGCCCUCCUGAGCUAGGUGUGGAGGCCCUUGACAACUUGGUAUCAGGAUUCCGGCGAUCCUCCGGCCACCAGUCCUCUUCCUCCACUGCGCCCUCCCAUCCUGCUGCUGAUACCUCACCCACCCACUCCACCGCUUCCACUGCGCCACCCAUGGCUGAACCUACCAUCUCCGACUUAGCCAAGAUGCUUGGGGACCUUACCAAGAGCAUGGUGACUAUGCAGCAGCAGAUCGUCACGCUACAGCAAGCCCAGCUACCACCAUCAUCUUCCAAUGGCUCCCGUGGGUCUGGUUUCGGUGACCACCAUGGUGAGCGACCGCCGCGGUUCCAGAAAUUGGAUUUCCCCAAGUUCGACGGGAAAUCCGAUCCUCUGGCCUUCAUCAACCGCUGCGAAUCUUACUUCGUCCAACAACGCAUCGCUGCCGAGGAGCAGGUCUGGAUGGCGUCAUACAACCUUGAAGGUGGCGCCCAACUCUGGUACAUCCAGGUGCAGCAGACCGAGGGCACGCCGUCUUGGCGCCGCUUCACCGAGCUCAUCAACCUCCGCUAUGGUCCGCCGCUCCGCUCCAACCCCAUGGGCGAACUGAUGGAGUGCAAGCACACAGGAUCGGUGGCGGAGUAUCAAGACCGCUUCGAGGCGCUGUUGCCAAGGGUCGGGCCACUUGAGGAAAGCCAGCGUGUCCAGGCCUUCACGGCAGGCCUGGGUCCACCACUCAGCCAUGAUGUGGAAAUGCAGAACCCCCAGACUUUGCUCGUGGCCAUGAGUCUGGCCCGCAAGCUGGAGUUGCGCGAGCAGAGCGUCGCCCGCGUCGCGGCCACGGCUCCGCCACGCCUCGCGGGACGUGGCCUACUGCAGGGGCCACAACAGCCCUUGGCGCUGCCCGCUCCCCCAGCCCACGCUACUCCAACCCCAUCGUUCGAAGGCCGCCAAGUUCGCCGGCUGUCGCCGGCUGACAUGGACGAUCGCCGACGCCAGGGCCUGUGUUUCAACUGCAAUGAAAAGUAUACACGCGGCCAUAAUCGCGUCUGUCAACGCCUAUUUUUCCUUGACAUCGCAGAAACCGACGACCAGGAGGACGACGUCGAGGCUGCUCUGGCUGCCGUGAACAUGGACAAGCCGCUGAUCUCACUCAGCGCGAUCGCCGGCAUCCGCACGAGCGAGACGAUGCAGAUCCGCAUCAACCUGGGCGGAGCGUCUCUGCUGGCGCUGCUGGACUCAGGCAGCACGCACAAUUUCGUCGCGGUCGACGCUGCAGGCCGGACCAACCUCCGGCUCAGGCUCCGCAGCGGCCUGAAGGUCACCGUGGCGAACGGCGAAAGGGUACCGAGCCCAGGCGUGUACCGCGCAGCCACCUUCUCCAUCGACGACGCCUCUUUCUCCACCGACUUCUAUGCCCUUCCGCUCGCCGGCUAUGACGUGGUGCUGGGCAACCAAUGGCUGGCAACGUUGGGCCCAAUCCUGUGGGAUUUUGGUGCCCUCACCAUGUCCUUCUGGCACCAGGGACGCCAGGUGUGCUGGAAGGGCGUGGCCAGUACCCCCAGCCCAAGACUGAAGGCAUGCAACGGCUCUGAUAUCAUGACAGCCCUGCUGGAAGAAUUCUCCUCCGUCUUCUCCGAGCCCACUGGCAUGCCCCCACCGCGCUCCAGGGAGCACUCCAUCAACCUCGUCCCUGGCUCUCCUCCAGUGGCGGUCCGGCCCUACCGCUACCCCGCCUCACACAAGGAUGAGUUGGAGCGCCAAUGCUCCGACAUGCUGGCCCAAGGGCUGAUCAGGCACAGCACCUCUGCAUUUUCCUCUCCGGUCCUGCUCGUGAAGAAAGCCGACGGGUCAUGGAGGUUUUGCGUGGACUACCGCGCCCUUAACGCCAUUACUAUCAAAGACGCCUACCCCAUCCCCAUCGUCGACGAGCUCUUGGAUGAGCUGCACGGUGCCCAGUUCUUCACCAAGCUGGACCUUCGUUCCGGGUACCACCAAGUUCGAAUGAACAUCGCCGACAUCGAAAAGACGGCGUUCCGUAAACAUGACGGCCUGUACAAGUUCCUGGUCAUGCCGUUUGGCCUCUGCAAUGCCCCGGCAACGUUCCAGGCCCUCAUGAACGAUGUGUUGCGGCCGUUCCUCCGCCGCUUCGUCCUCGUUUUCUUCGACGACAUACUUAUCUACAGCAGCUCCUUCGCCGAACACCUUCAGCACAUGCGUGCAGUCCUCACCACCCUACAACAGCACCAUCUCUUCGUCAAGAGGUCCAAAUGCGACUUUGGGGCCUCCAACAUCUCCUACCUUGGGCACGUCAUUUCAGCCCAAGGCGUCGCCAUGGACCCCGAGAAAGUGCAAGCAGUAGCGGACUGGCCCCAACCAAGAUCAGCACGGGCAGUGCGCGGGUUCUUGGGACUUGCUGGCUACUACCGCAAGUUUGUGAAGGAAUUCGGCACCAUUGCUGCCCCGCUGACCGCUUUACUCAAAAAGGAAGGAUUCACUUGGUCACCUGAGGCGGAAGCGGCUUUCACAGCCCUCAAGACCGCCAUCACAACGGCCCCCGUUCUGGUCCUGCCCAACUUCAACCACCUGUUCGUUGUGGAAUGCGACGCCUCAACCUACGGGUUUGGCGCAGUGCUGCUCCAGGACCAGCACCCGGUGGCUUUCUUCAGCCGCCCUGCUGCACCGCGUCAUCGCUCUCUGGCGGCCUACGAGCGUGAACUGAUCGGCCUCGUCUUGGCCAUCCGCCAUUGGAGGCCAUAUCUAUGGGGUCGUCCCUUCCUGGUGAGAACUGACCACUACAGUCUAAAAUUCUUGCUGGACCAGCGGCUGUCCACCAUUCCCCAGCAUCACUGGGUGGGCAAGCUCCUAGGAUUCGACUUCACGGUGGAAUACAAGGCUGGCAGCGCCAACACAGUGGCUGAUGCCCUCUCCCGCCGCGACACAGAAGAGGCGGCUGUCCUGGCCAUCUCAGGCCCCCGCUUCGACUUCAUCAGCCGCCUUCGCCAAGCUAAUCAGCAAGAUCCGGCGUUGGUCGCCCUCCAGCAGGAAAUCAGUUCUGCCCAGCACACUGCUCACUGGGCCAUCACCGAUGGCCUGGUCACAUUCAAGGGCCGACUUUACCUGCCUCCAGGCGCCCCACUCCUUCAGGAGCUCAUCACUGCUGUCCAUGAGGACGGACACGAGGGCGUCCAGCGCACACUCCACCGGCUCCAACGCGACAUCCAUGCGCCUAACCUCAGGGCGCUUGUCCAGGACUUUGUCCGGACCUGUGCCACAUGUCAGCGCUACAAGACAGAGCAUUUGCACCCGGCUGGCUUACUCCUUCCCCUGCCGGUGCCAUCCUCAAUCUGGACUGACAUAGGCAUGGACUUCAUCGAAGCAUUGCCAAAAGUGGGCGGCAAGACAGUAAUUCUCACUGUGGUGGAUCGUUUCAGCAAAUACUGCCAUUUUAUUCCGCUGGCUCACCCCUACUCAGCGGAAUCAGUGGCUCAAGCUUUCUUCUCCGAAAUUGUGCGCCUGCAUGGUGUGCCACAAUCCAUAGUCUCUGAUCGAGAUCCGGUCUUUACCUCACUGUUUUGGAAGGAAUUGAUGCGACUUGCAGGGAUCAAGCUGCACAUGACUACAGCCUUUCAUCCGCAGUCUGAUGGACAGACAGAGGCCGCCAACAAGGUCAUUGUCAUGUACCUUCGCUGCAUGACUGGAGAUCGCCCCAAGCAGUGGCUGCGCUGCUUACCUUGGGCAGAAUUCAUCUACAAUACUGCAUACCAGUCUGCACUAAAGACAACACCAUUCCAGAUCGUGUAUGGGCGUGAGCCACCAUCCAUCCGCUCCUAUGAGCCAGGGGAAACUCGCGUGGCAGCAGUGGCCAAGACCAUGGCAGAACGAGACGAGCUCCUGGCUGAUGCCCGGGCACGGCUGGAACAAGCACAAGCCGUGUACAAGCGCUCCUACGACAAACACCACCGCGACGUUCGCUUCAGCGUGGGCGAUUGGGUAUGGCUCCGCCUUCGACACCGCACUCCGGCUUCACUGCCAGACACCACGAAGGGCAAGCUGCGUCCUCGCUUCUACAGACCAUACCGCAUCACCGCCGCCAUCAACGAAGUCGCCUACCGCCUCGAGCUACCUCCCCGCGCCCGACUCCACGACGUCUUCCACGUCGGGCUGCUCAAGAAAUUCGUUGGCACUCCCCCAGCUUCGCCACCGGCCCUGCCUCCCAUUCACAAUGGUGCCAGUCAACCAGUACCAGAGCGCGCUACGCGCACACGCCUCGCCAGGGGCGUCCGUCAGAUCCUGAUCCACUGGCAAGGCGAACCAGCAGCUUCAGCGACAUGGGAAGACCUCGACAGCUUUCAAGCCCGAUACCCCACCUUCCAGCUCGAGGACGAGGACGAGCUGCUCGUCGAGGGGGGGAGAGAUGUCAUGUGGGGCCAUCAUUAUAGCCGCCGGCCCCAUAGACAAGGAGCAGCCAGUGCCUCCCCCAAGGUUGCGCAUGGCCUGGCACAGCCCGAGGAGACUGGCCUGGCUGAAGAGGCCUGAGUUAUGAAGGCAUUUAAGGAGAAGAUGAGGAGAUUAAGGAGGUAACAGCUAGCUGGUAGUUAAUAGCUGAGGGAAGUAAUUGCUGGCUCCAGUAACUAGGUGCUGGGCGCAGCAGCUGGGAGCUGAGCUCCUAUAUAUGUAACCCUGAACUCAGUUGAAUGAAUUAAGCAAUGAAGUGAUUAUCUCUAACCUCUCAUCUCCUGCUACCUCUAAUCUCACCCCCCUGCUGCCAGGCGCCAGGCACACCCUGGCGCCCCCAUCUCCUACCUCUAGCUACAACCUGCGCAGCCAAGGCCCUCCUGAGCUAGGUGUGGAGGCCCUUGACAGUUGGCUACGCAUAUAAUACACAAAUUAGUAAUGAUAAAAGAAAAACACGUAACACUUACAUUCAAAACAUGCUGGUCCAAAUUUCCCAAAUCCAAACAGAUUGUGGGUCACAUAAUAUUCAAAUUACAAGUUGAUUUACUGAUGCUUACUUUUUUGAGAAAAUUGUAAACAGGCACAGUACUGAUUUGCAUAAAAAUUUUGGAUGAUGCUAGAAGCUAAACGCAUUAAUAAAUUAGAUAUUUCCAUUUCUCACAAAGAAAAAACAUAAAAAGGCAUAAAAAGGCUGGAACAAUGAAAAAUACCAUAUGAGCAGGCUCAACAAUCCUAUAGCUAGUCUUCGCCCGGAACAUCUCAACAAAGUCAUCUGCAUUUUUCAAUAAAUGAAUCAAGACACAGCAAAAGCACCUGAAUGCAAAAGAUAAGGCUUGCAAGAAAAAUCAGGUUUAUUACUUAGCAAGAGAUUGGAUUCUUGGCGUCUUGACCCAUGAUCAACAAUGACCACAGCAUCCUUAUCCCCCACAGCAAAAUCCUCCCUCCCAGAUGUUUCGGACCCAGGGGCAGGUUUCGAUAUGGAAUUCAUAGCCAGGUUUCCACUAGACUUUCCAGCUCUCCGCAGGUUGACAAAAUGGAUGGCCUUCCUCAAAGCAUUGCUGCUGAUGCCAAGAAAUAACAGAUACCAUUAUGAGAAGCAGCGACACAGGAGCAGUAGCAGACCACACAAUUUGCUAAGAGCCUAAGAGGUUAGAUAAAUGGAUUACCUUGACACAACUUGUUUUGCAGGAGUUGCUGUAAAGGGCUGGGAGGGGACUGAAACAGGGUGCAUAGGGGAGCAGUUCAGGUAAAGAACCACCAAGAUUCAGUGGGGUGAAAACUGGUAUGACCUCUCAAGCCAGUGCAACCCUCCAAACCUAGCUGCACGAAUUCAGUGGCAGACCCAGACAUGAGACAAAUGGGGGGUUAAUAUUUUAAAUCUAGAAAAUUUCCUAGCGGUAUGCUAAAACAUAUAAUAGAUAUAACAGACAAUACUGGUGAAACGCAGUCAGAUUUUGCAACAAAGUGGAAGAAAAUAGCUGGAUUCUAGACAUUAGUUCAGUAUGUAUUAGCCCAACACCUCGAACGCAAACAAUGCGCACUGAAGGACCAAGGUUCAAGAGCCAGUUUACUGAAACCUUGUUUUACAUCAAACUCGUACUUCGCACUGUUGCAUUCAUUGAACCCAUGCGACUAUUAGAAUCUAGACAUUGGCAUUUAUCGAAGAAAAUAUUAUGAAUGGAAAUCAGAAAUCAACACACCCUUACUCAGUGGCUCAGUGUGAUCUCUGGGCCGUGCUGUGCAGCAAUCUAGCAGGAGGCGAGGGCAUGGGGCUGGCCAGUAGGGGCGACCUGCACAUGCGCUGAUCUCAGUGGCGAGCCCAGGGUUUUUGGCCUGGGUAUUCAAAAUGUAGAAGGGUGUCAAAAAAAAUUUUGACCGCCUAGACUCCUAAAUCCUAAUGUUUGGCAUGUAUAACACCACAGAGUUCUAAUUUUAUAAUACAUAGCAAGUAUAUAACACACAAUUGAGAAUGAUUUCAUAAAUUCAUAAAAUUUGAGCAUAACUUGAAAUUGUUUAACAAUUUCACAUAAAGAAAUGCCAACACUUCAACAUACCAAAGUAGAAACAUGCAGAAUAUAUGAAGGCUAUGAAACAACAAAAUAGUAAGAAAACUUACAAAAUAUUAAUAAAACUUUCCAAUAUUAAAAUUAAAUUAGGGAAUAUUAAAUUAAACCAGGUAACUGUAAAUUGGGGACUGAAUAAUUUGCACACAAACUCAAUCUCUCUUCAUUCCAAUCUCUCCUCAUUCCAAUUUAGAAGUGAUUCACAAAUCACAGUUGAUAUCCCUCUCUUCUGGAUUGCAAUUUGUAAGGUCAAGUUUAGUACUUCAUUAUCUUGGCUUCUCAAUCUCCCCAUUCUACGCAUUCUGUAUAUUAGGGAUAGCGGUUCCCUGCUGCGCCAGCGCAGCGCCUCGCCGGAGGACGACCAGCGCAGGGGGCCCGGGCGAUGCAGCACAAUAUAGAGAGAGAGGCGGCGGUGGAGCUUGGGAGACGCAACGACGGCGCGGGGAGGGGCAGCACGCCAUGCCGGGCCGGGGUCGGCCGCGCGCCAGGACCCACGGCCAGAGGCCGCCGUGUUCGGGGCCGACCAGAGAGCGCCACCGCUUCGGGGGGGGGGGGGGGGGGGGGGGGGGGGGGANNNNNNNNNNNNNNNNNNNNNNNNNNNNNNNNNNNNNNNNNNNNNNNNNNNNNNNNNNNNNNNNNNNNNNNNNNNNNNNNNNNNNNNNNNNNNNNNNNNNGUGCGACUAUUACACAAUACUUCGUUCCGCCCAACGAGAUCUUUUCGACUAACCGUACCCGUUCAGAAUAACCGACCUCCACAGGAAGGACCCUAAAACGCUUCCGGAUAGCAGGGAGGGAGAGGCUGCGAGGGCGAGGGAAACGGGAACGGGAGAGAGGAGGAGCAGGUGCGCUCGAUGGGAGGGAGUGGGGAGGGGCCGCGGCUAUCGACGCCGGCCACCGAGCCGUGCCGGUGUGUGCAGCCGCGCGUGGAGCUGCAGCGUAGGGACGAGGAGCGAGGGAGAGAAAGAGGUACUGGAAAGUUCACCCAGCCCCUCUAGUCACCCUUUCCCUGCUAUCCGCAAACUUUAUUGGGUUAUACUAGCGCCCACACGUCGGACUGAACUGAUACGCGCGUCCGGACCGACGCCGCCUUGCAUCUUUUCUAUUGAUCUCUGCACUUACUACUCGUUCUGGUUACAUCUACACUAGCACAUGCGUAGGACCUAUUCGACUGCAGAAAGCGAGAGAGCAUUGGGCGCUUUACGAUGCUAUAUCCAUGUAUUGACCUGAUUGUAGGGAUGAAAGCGGAUCGGAUACGGACGGAUAUCACUGAUAUCAUAUUUGUUUUCAUAUUUCUGGUCAGAUUCAGAUUUGAAUACGGAUAAUGUCAAUUAUAUCGGAUAAGAUAUGAUUAGAUGUCGAUAUCAUAAAUAUACGACUUAAGUAUUCGGAUACGGAUACGGUAUCAGAUACGGACAGAUCUGAACCCCUCUAAACGAAUUCGGUCUCGAAUACGGUCGAAAAAUAUCCGUACCGUUUCCAUCCCUACAUAAUAGAGGGCCAUCCUUUGGUUCUAUGUCCCUUGCGCGGAUAUCCAAGUAUAUUGGAGCUGGCUCGCAUGAUAGAGAUAGGUAGUACUAGCUAGAUGCCUGUAGCAUGUGCUUGUCCGCGAGUUAUAGCACUUAGACCUUGUUUAGUUCCUAAUCUUUUUUAAGAUUUCCCGUCACAUCAAAUCUUACGGCACAUGCAUGAAACAUUAAAUAAAGAUAAAAAAUAUAACUAAUUACACAGUUUAUCUGUAAUUUGUGAGAUGAAUCUUUUGAACCUAGUAAGUCUAUAAUUGAAUAAUAAUUAUCAAAUAAAGCGGAAAGUGCUACAAUAGCGAAACCCGAAAUUUUUCACGAACUAAACAAGGCCUUAGAGAGAGUAGUACUUGUUAUUGCAACAUGCUGAAACAAAUUAAAAUAAAAUACCUGUAACAUUCGGAGUAUGCAUAGCCACUGCAACAUACUCUGAAGAGGUGAAACAUUUGGAACAACGCAAUUACAAUAUACGCAUAUAGUCACUGAUUCAGAUAAAACACUUAUAACAUACGUCUAAAACAGGUAAAAAUAUUUGGAACAAACGCUUAUAAGAUACGCGUAUAGUCAAACAUGCAUCUAAAACAUGUGAAACAUUCGGAACAAACACCUGCAACAUACGCGUAUAAUUAUUGCAACAUAUGCAAAAUCUAGCUAAACACACUUAACACAUUCGAACAUACAUUUGCAACAUACGUAUAUAGGCACUGCAACAUAUGCAAUAUCUAGAUAAAAAAGUGCAACAUCUAAAUAAAACAGCUGAAACAUUUGGAAGCUAUAACUACAACAUACAAAUAUAGCCAUUGAAACAUACUCCCUCCGUCUAAAAAUAAGUAUUAUUUGUGUUUCUCGAGAAAUAACUUUAACUAAAUAUAUAUAAAAAAUAUUAAUAUUUAUAGUACAUAAUUAGUAUCAUUGGAAAGAUUUUUAAGUCUAGUUUUUUAACAAAUUUAUUUAAAGAUACAAAUAUUGCACGUAUUAUCUAUGAAUCGAGUUAAACUUAUACCACGUUUAAAACGACACUUUUUUUUAGAACGGAGAGAGUAGAGUAUGCACAACAUCCACAUAAAACAUCAAACACAUAGACCGGUACGAAGCUCGAUGCCUACGAUCAUGAGGAAGCAUCGGAGCAGCAAAUGGCGUUGCAGAUGUAAGUGCUCCUCUCACGAACUCUAUUCUCUCCCUAUUACGGCAUAUGCAUGGCAUCACUCUCAGUUGCAUAUGAACAGGACACACCAUUGAAAGGUCCAAAUGGCUAGAGGGGGGUGAAUAGCCUAUUUAAAAAUUCUACAAACUUCAACUAGACAAGUUGAUUAGUAAAGUAAGUGGCGAAGCUAUUCUAGCACUAGCACAACUAAGCUAUGCAAGCCACCUACACAAGUCUAGCAAGAAGGCUAAACACUAAACCACAACAACUAGGCUAAACAAGCUAAACUAACAAGGUAUGGCAAGUAUGUAAAGAGAAGAGAGUGAUUGUUAUACCGACGUUGUAGAGAUGAGAUAUAUCCAAUCAAUCACGUGCACAAUCACAAGACUCGGCAAGAGAUGACACAAGAUUUUUACCAAGGUUCACUUGCUUCCCGGCAAGCUACUCCUCGUUGUGGCGAUACACCCACUUGAUGGAUCACGAGCUAAUUGGCAAUCAAAAGCCAAACCCUCAGCGGAUGCCGCACAUCCACUCACAAGAUGGGGAUCCUCUAAGCUACGAGCAAUCCACUAGAGUAGCCAAUUGCGAUCUCCCGCGGGGAAGGCUCAAGAACCCCUCACAAAUCACCUGGUGAGGCUCGAAACAAUCUCCAAUCACGAGCUCAACACCACCGCUGCUCCAAGCCAUCUAGGGCGUCGGGAAACACCCAAGAGUAACAAGAAAUCCGCAGCAAACUCAAGACAAGUGCCACUAAAUGCAACUCUCAAAGCAAUGCACUUGAAUCUCACUCAAUCACUAGGAUGAGCAAUCAAGCAAGGAGAUGAGUGGAGGGAGUGUUCUCUAGCUCAAUGUAUGUCUCAAGUAAUCAAAUAUGCAAGAGUGAACCUCCCAAAGCCGGCCACCUUCUAUUUAUACGCCCCCUCAAAGAACUAGCCAUUGGCCACUUUCACUGGGCUGAAAACGGAGGCACCGGACGCUACCAAGUGAUCACCGGACGCUCGACCCCCAGCGUCCGGUGCUCAGGGGUUGGCCACGUGUCCUUCUUGAAUCUCGCGUGUCAGUCUCUAACGGCUACCUGCAAAGCACCGGACGCUCUGCAGGUCCACACCUGACGCGUCUGGUGCACACCGGACUAAAACUCAGGGAGGUAUGCAAAACCUCGGGGUCACCGGACGCUUAGCACUGAACCGUCCGGUGCUCACCGGACUCAUACCUAGAGAGGUUUGCAAAACGCACGCACACCGGACGCUGAGCACUAGGGAUGAAAACGGUACGGAUAUUUUCCGACCGUAUCGGUGUCGACAAUACACCAGACGAGAAACACUCCCGCGACUUCUCCAAAUUUCCCACCGGCGCAAUAGAAAAUAAACACUUAUUUUUCUCAAAAGCGCCAAACACAAACCCCUCUCUACCCUAGGAACUCCGCCUCCUUUGCAAAUGUGCUAACACCAACAAGUGUCCACCACCAAAGUGCAUGUGUGUUAGCUUUUCACAAACAUUUUCCCAAAAGAGUUAAGUUAGCACUUUACUAGAUCCUAAUGCAUAUGCUCAAGAUGUAGACCUAGUAGCACUUGAUUCGAGAGAUGACCGUGAUUUACCCUCUUGAUAGUCGGCUAUUUAUUCUAAACCCAGUCAAUCACUUCUCUACUCAUUUUUGACCGGCAAAAGUAAAACCCUAUGUUUAUACCUUUGCCUUGAUAACUUUGAUCCUUGUCUGUCACCAUGAUCUUCACUUCAUGCUUCAUUUCUUUGUGAUCAUCUGGCCACCUUUCCAUGCCACCAUGCACUUUCAUCACAUGUGUUGCUAUGCCUAACUCAAAUCACUUAAACACAAGGCAUUAGCAACUUGGUGUCAUUAAUUACCAAAACCAAACUUAGGCUUUCAACCAUGCACAACACUGUCAGCAUAGCCUACGUGGUGGACUAUUGUUGUGCUCCUGAGAGAUUAUUAUAGUAUGGGGACUAAGGAAAAAGACAGAGACCACAAAUGAGAUGUGAUGUAGACAAGACACCAGCAACAAAUUCUGGGGACGCGAGUGGUGAGAGGAUUAAUUAAUAAUUGGAAAUAAAUUAAUUAAAAAAGAUCACGAUAAUUAAGAAAAAAUCAUGGCAUGGGACACGGGAACGCGCAGCACGCAGUAUGCAUUGCUGACGGAUCCGUCUGGAUGGACGGACGCCCUAUGGUAAGUAUUACCUACCGUUUCUGUCGAGGUUCUGUGUUUAAAUUCAUGGUUUGGUAGGUGGGCCUAGGCUAAUAAAAUGUCGUUGUUGCCCUCUGGUGAGUGCCGCGUACAGCUCGACCUCCAGACCGCACCCGCCGUAGCAAAAAUGCAAAAGGUAUUUGACAUGUUCUACCUCUGUGUUUUUUAAAAGUGUUGUAUUUGGUCUGUGUACAAAGACCAGGAAGAAAAUUAACUUUAAGUAUUACUCUUCGUCUCUCGAUGCAUGGCUGCAUGCAAUCCAACUCCUCACUUCCCGUGUUACUAAGGGUCCCUCUGGUUGGGCUUUUGGCUGUGGCUUUUGCCCCUCAAAAGCCAAAAGCCAACCAAAGGAGUUAGCUUUCAUCUAAAGUCAAAGUCAAAAGCAGCUUUUACGUAGUACAAAUUUCACAGCACCUCCACCCCUACUUUCAUCUGCUUUUGGUCACAAAAAUUACCCACCUUGCCACUGGUUACACACGUACUGUUUCGAUCUCUCGUCUUCGUCCGCGAGUUCUCCCAUCGGCGCUGCCCUCAAGUGGCCUCCCUCCCUCCAGCGUGCACUGCUCCACCCCGGUCCCCUCCUUCCCCGGCCUCCAUCCCUCCCUCCGGCGUGCUCUGCUCCGCCCCGGUCCUCUCCUCUCCUCCCUCCGGCGUGCGUCGCUCGGCGACCUCCCUCCCUCCAGCGCGUUGUGGCCUCCCGGGACGCAAGCCACACGACGGACGCAGGCCGGAGCGGCUCCGCCCUGCAGCCUCGCUCCCUCUGGCGCGGCAGGCGGCUCCUUGUGCAUCUCCAGGCGCGCCCCGACCUCCCUCCCUCCGGCGUGGGUGGGGGCUACUCCGGCACAUGGCCUCGCUUCUACAGUUGUUAUGAACAAAAAUCAUGUCUUGCUUCUACAGUAGUUAGUUGGAUCAGAUUAGUAAACCAUACAACCUACUGUCUCUAUGGGGUACAUAAAAUGGUUUCGAAUUUCUAAAUUGCUUUCAUCAGGGCCUAGAAAGUAUUGUCAGUGGGGAGGUUCCCUAAUUGAAUCUAUGGUUGGUACUUUCCUUACAUAGGAUUCUGCUGAUAAUUUAUCAAGAUAAAAUGAGGAUCCAUAAAACAAGAUCGAGAUGGAAGGGAGGGAAGAGUGUAUGAAGGUUGUACUCACACGAAUGGACGGACGAUGAAGGACCUGUCCUCGGAGCAGUUGCAAAUCGUGAGGGCAAGCUGCCUGAUGUGUGAGGACUCCUCCGGGAUGUGGCUUCUGCUCGACGGGAUGUGGCUCUCCUCGCUGCUAGCCACCCCUAAAGCUCCUGUCGAGCAGGCAGAGGCUCGAUGCUGAGCAGGCCCUAUGGUUCUGUCGGAGGCCUGACAUGAGUCAAAAGGUUCAGAUGAAACGAUAAAACUGAUAUAGCUGAAACCCAAAUAUCUAUGCCAAGCAAACUCACUUAAAGUUACAUGCCAAAGAGAAGGUGCUUUACAUGCAAUCCAAAAUUGUAUAUAUUCAAAUAGGGCAAAGAAACAUAAGCACUGACAGCUAAUGCUCAUGAUUUUUUUAAUGUAUACAGUUUCAAAAGGAUAACUCCACCUUUCUCUCUCAGUUUUGACCGGACACAAUGCCUCUUGUAGAGCAUAUUUGUGAAAAUAUUUUUAUACAACUAAUGCACACAUGAAAUCGACCAUGAAUAAAAAAUCAGCUAGAGACUUCAUAGGACUGAAAAUGAUACAUCGUGUCAUUAAAUGUGAAAGGUGUGUGGUAUUCAUUAAUUGACCAAAAAUUCUCAAAUAAUCACACAAGAUUCAGAAUGGAUCAGAAGACCUGCAUAUGCAAUCUGCACUAUGAAGUAACAUCGACAAAAACGAUGAAAUUGCCACAACUGUGUAUGGAGGAAUAUCAUAUCCUUUAAUUUCUGACAUACUUAUUUGAACAUGUGUAUUUCUGAAUUUAUGCCUAACAACAAAAGUUUAAAGAAGACACAUCUGUAGACCCUUGGAAAGAAUGCAAUUGAUCAAUGCAAUAAUCCAGAAAGAUCAAUAGAGCGCAGAUUAAUGCCAAAGAACUUGCAGGACAGAGAGGACGAUGGAGAGCUACCUGUAGAUGUGGUUCGGGCUUGCAGGCCAGAAUCUCAUGCAACGGAGGCUCCAUCACUGGCGCUGCUUCUGCCGCGUCAUCAUAGCCUAAGUGUCGCUUCCCCUUUGCUAUGUGCGUCCUCAGCUGCAGCCGCUUAGUUCCACCGGGAUUCGCAACAAAGGAAGGCCAUGGGAUUUGGACCUGGGCGAGGAGCGAUGGGGAUGGUGUUGCAGUGACAUGGGUGCGGGGACGGGGAACGGCGGCAUAUGCGGCCGCAGGGAGCGCGGACGGGGAGCGGUGGCGUACGUGGCCGAGCUAGUGACUGCAGGGAUGGAGAGCGCGGUGGUGUACGCGGCCGCAGGAAGUGAGGACGGGGAGCUUAGGGGUUAUCGCAGGGAAGGGGAGGAGUAGAUGUGGGCGCAAGGAUGGAGAAAGCGUGUGGGAGAUGGUCGCAGGGCGUGAUUGGCGGAGCAGAAGGAGGGAGCGAGCGUCGCAGACCCGGUAGACGGACGGACGAAGAUGAAUUGUUGCACGAAAAAAUGCUCACUCUUUAGUCUUUUUAAUUGUAUAUAUGAGACUUGUGACUUUCUUUCUAACUAAAUAUUAUGACACUUAAAAAAAUCGGAGGGAGUACAAUUAUUAGGUGAAGCCACAAACUUUUAUAAGCCACGUGAUUUUAAAAUAUUUAUCUACUGCGUCUUGUUUGCUUGAGCUUAUCAUCUGAAUCAGCUAGCCACUCAGCAAUAUUUUUCUUUCACAACAAAUCAGCUAACAAUACUUUCUCUUUUUACGUCUUGUUCGCUUGAGCUUAUCAUCCGAAUGAGCCAGCCACUAAGCAGUAUUUUUCUCUCACAACAAAUCAGCCAACAAUACUUUCUAUCCCUAAAAGCUUUAACUUCUAGAAUUAUUCUAAGUCAAACUUUUAAAAGUUUUUCUAAAUUUCUAGAAAAAAGAUUAAGAUUUAUAGUACCAAAUUAAUAUCAUUGAAUUUAUCAUAAAAAUAUUUUUAUGAAGCUGUUUAGAAAUAAGUGUUUGAUAAAAAAACAACUCACACUAAAUAGUUCUAUAAAAUAUUUUAUUUUUUUAAAUUUUUUAAAAUAACUUAUAAUUUAUAAUUUAGGAUAGAGAAACUGUUCGAAAAUUUUCUUUUUUGAAUUUAUCGAAACCCCAGGCGGCUAUAGGGUGGCUGGCGGUCGCUCCGCCACUGCUCAGAUGUAAAGAUGACAUUUUUUACCCGAAAUCCGAUGAGUAAUUACCUCAUCAGGAUAAGAGUAUGACUAUUUUUUGUGCCCAUGUGUAAGAUAAUAGGAAAAAAUCUUUACCCAGCGGGUAAAGCGGUUAAGGGUAUGAGACUGCAUUGCUCAUACCCGUUAACCCAUGGGUAAAUUGAACCCGAUAAAUUAUACUAGAAUCAUGGAACUUGUGGAUUUUAUGACUUGUUAUCUAGUAAUGAUGGAUUUAUCCAUUAGAUCAUUUGAUUGUGUGUUCAUGUAGCUUGUAUAUUUGAAGAGUUUAUUAAUGAUUUAUGAUAUCUUGGCUAAAUUUGGGAGCCUGAUAUAUUAAAACAUGUAUUUUUUCAUAGCAAAUAUUCUUAAAAUCAUGGGUAAAGAUAACACAUGGGUUAUCCGUUACCCGCAUGGAAAAGGGUAUGAGAAAAAACUUUUACCCAUGCACGGGUAUAGGUAAAUUAGCAAGUAAAAUAUUUUCUCGUGGAUAAAGGCAGCGGGUAGUUACCCAUUGCCAUCCCUAAUCAGAUGACACACUUUUGUUCUGUCAUCCUAGGCCUUGUUUAUUCCCCAAAAAUUUUGCAAAAAUUUUCAGAUUCUCCAUCACAUCGAAUCUUUAGACGUAUGCAUGGAGUAUUAAAUAUAGAUGAAAAUAAAAACUAAUUGCACAGUUUGGUUGGAAUUGACGAGACGAAUCUUUUAAGCCUAGUUAGUCCAUAAUUGGACAAUAUUUGUCAAAUACAAACGAAAAUAUUACUAUUCCUAUUUUGCAAAAAAUUUUGGAAGUAAACAACUAAAGUACUUAUUGUNNNNNNNNNNNNNNNNNNNNNNNNNNNNNNNNNNNNNNNNNNNNNNNNNNNNNNNNNNNNNNNNNNNNNNNNNNNNNNNNNNNNNNNNNNNNNNNNNNNNACCUUGGUAAAAAAUCUUGUGUCAUCUCUUGCCGAGUCUUGUGAUUGUGCACGUGAUGGAUGGGAUAUAUCUCAUCUCUACAACGUCGGUAUAACAAUCACUCUCUUCUCUUUACAUACUGCCCAUACCUUGUUAGUUUAGCUUGUUUAGCCUAGUUGUUGUGGUUUAGUGUUUAGCCUUCUUGCUAGACUUGUGUAGGUGGCUUGCAUAGCUUAGUUGUGCUAGUGCUAGAAUAGCUUCGCCACUUACUUUACUAAUCAACUUGUCUAGUUGAAGUUUGUAGAAUUUUUAAAUAGGCUAUUCACCCCCCUCUAGCCAUUUGGACCUUUCAAUGGUGUGUCCUGUUCAUAUGCAACUGAGAGUGAUGCCAUGCAUAUGCCGUAAUAGGGAGAGAAUAGAGUUCGUGAGAGGAGCACUUACAUCUGCAACGCCAUUUGCUGCUCCGAUGCUUCCUCAUGAUCGUAGGCAUCGAGCUUCGUACCGGUCUAUGUGUUUGAUGUUUUAUGUGGAUGUUGUGCAUACUCUACUCUCUCCGUUCUAAAAAAAAGUGUCGUUUUAAACGUGGUAUAAGUUUAACUCGAUUCAUAGAUAAUACGUGCAAUAUUUGUAUCUUUAAAUAAAUUUGUUAAAAAACUAGACUUAAAAAUCUUUCCAAUGAUACUAAUUAUGUACUAUAAAUAUUAAUAUUUUUUAUAUAUCAAACUGUGCAAUUAGUUUUUAUUUUCGUCUAUAUUUAGUACUCUAUGCAUUCGUCUAAAGACUCGAUGUACAGAGAAUCUGAAGAAUUUUGUAAUUUUUUUUGAAACUAAACAAGCACUUAGCGUUAUUGCGUGAUGGUGGCCGUGGCAGGCGCAGCAGCAGCAUGGCGCCAACAGGAUGGUAUUUGGCGCCAACAGCCUGGUCUUUACCCUCAACUUAAUAAGGCCAGUCUCAGUGGAGGUUUCACUAGAAUGUCAUGCACAUUUAUUAGUGCGUCAUGUUAGCAAAACUGCACUUUUUGCAUGAAACGAAGAGGAGAGAGAAGGAAGUAGUUUCACCAUGGUGAAACUCCACGAGCGUUGUUUCCCACGCGGUGAAACGGGAUGAAAUCCCCACUGAGGACCAAAUCGUUUCACCAUCUUGCAUGUGAUCCAAUCAUUUUGCAGUAAUUAAAUGCUUUGCUUAGCCUUGGAAACAACAAAGUGAAAUGCUCCAUUGCUAGUAUUAUUUCAUAGAUAGUUUCAUUUCAAUCUCGAUGACGUGUUGGUAUCUGAAACCGUGCAGUGAUACUGUCCAUUGAGGCUGGCCUAAUAGUAACCACGAAAUGGUAUAGAGGAAAGAAAUAAAUUUCAUUAUGCUAAUAUACACAAAGGGCAGGCAGGUUAUUUGAAACAGCCGUUAACUACCAUUAGUACCAAAACCUGACGGAAUGGUAUGGAAGGCACGAAAAAAGUUCGCGGAUAGCACAGAAGGGGCGACUAACUUGACCGUGGCAGAGGCGUCGAGGUCGAGGGAUCUGCCUCGAUGCUUCUGGGGCCUUGUUUAGUUCUUUCUCAAAACUCAAAAUUAUUUUUAAGUUCUGUCACAUUGAAUCUUUAGACAUAUGCAUAAAGCAUUAAAUAUAGACAAAAACAAAAACUAAUUGUACAGCUUAUCUGUAAUUUACGAGACGAAUCUUUUAAACCUAAUUAGUCUAUAAUUAGACAAUAUUUGUCAUAUAUUAAAGUGUUUUUUUAGAACUAAACAAGUCCCGACGAAGGAAGGUAGUGGACAGACGCGUUUGCUUCGAUGCUUCUGGAGGAAGGAAAGGGAACUAACACAUGACAAAUCAGGCUGAGGUGGACCAACGGGAAGAGGAGGAGGCGAGGAGGCACCGAGAUGGACCAAUGGUAGAAUUUCGGCUGACGUGUAUGGCUUCUCUAUGGAGGAAGCAUCUUGCGUUUGUAGAGGUAAAUAUAAUAUGGUACUAUAAUUUUUUUAUAGUUUUAGAUAUAUGUUUUUCUAUAAUUAAUUGAAAUACUUCAUAGCUGUAACUUCUAUAAUUUUUUUGUUGGACUAAGGCAUAUCAUAUUAUAUAUUCACUAUGCAUAUCAACGCAUGUGGAGUCUAACAAAAUUGAAUUUUAUAUUUUAUGAUUUUCUUGUGAUUCACUAUGAUUUUUAAAAGUUUAGCCAAAAUAAAUAAAAAAUAAAAAGACAAAACCAUUGUCGCUGUAGCAAACUGCCAUUCACUGUAGCAAAACCACCUUCAAAACUGCUUCAGGGAGGUAAAAUGCACGGUUUGAAAACUUGAGGGGGUAGUUUGUCCGGUUUUGAAGUUGGGACGGAAAAAUAUAUUUUUGUCAAAGUUGGGGGAGAAAAAAAAGAUUUUUCCACCGUAGAAACAUGUGUGUUGAGCUAAUUGUUGAUUAGGACACCUAGGGCCUUUUUGGUUCCACUUGCUAAAUUUUAACUAGUUAAACUUUAGUCACUUUAGUAGUUAAACUUCUAAGUACACCGACUAAAACGGAGCUCAAAUAGUUUAGUCCUACUAGUCACGCACUGCUGCAUGUUUGGGCAUUAGCACCGGGCGGGAAGGGCCUGUUGCCCCGGUUCCUAAGUCGGUGCUGCCCUUCCGGGACUAAUUGAUAGGUUACCGAUAUGAAUCGGUACGAGGGUGGCCCGAUCUUCACGACUGUAGAUCAAAAGAACAAGCAUAACUUGCUGCGAACAGCGGGUAACUAGCUUUAUACCUGACAAAGGUUGGAUGCGACCAAGCGACGGGGAGAGAGGCACCGAAACCACGAAGACUUCGACUCGAUCUCCAAACGACCGCAGAACCACAAUCCGGAACUAAUCCACACAAUAUGGCGCAGCCGAACGGAAGCCGUAGAGCACGAAGUAGGGGAACCCAGAGGAUUCACUUCACAAGUCCAAGAAGAACAAGGAAGAACAAAGGUUGAGUAAGGCACUCAGCAGCACGGCUGCAAUAUCAUAGUUUAUCAAAUCAUCAAAGGUUGCUGAUAGCUUACAGGUAGGGGAUAUUUAUACUAGGAACAACCCUCCUAGAUAGGUAUGAAAACGAAAUAGAGUUUCUGAGGGAAGGCAAUGUGAAAGGACCCCUCGGGAUGGAUUCCCGAACUGGCUUCGCGUGACUGUUGGCCUCCAGAGCAGUUUCCAAUAAACUGACCAUAACUUUUUAUUGGGAAGUCCAAAUGACGAACCGUUUCUUGGGUGUGAAACUAGACUCCAAGAGCUUUCCAGCAAUGUAUGCCAUGUACCACGAAACGUUGGAGAUUGAUACGGUUUUGCACGGCAAGUUGUACCAACUUUCUGUCACGACAGACCAUUGAUCUUCUGAGCAGUCUGUACUAAUUUUAGUCUGCAGGUAAUAUGGAGUAUCCAAACUGGUCGCCACUAGAUCCAUUGGAAAGUAGACUCGACAUGCUUUCCAACAAGUCCUCAUGGGCCUUCAUAGCUUUUGUGAUUAAAAAGUUAUGAGGAUUUCUUUGCACUGGUCUGUUUUUGACUUCCACUGGUCCGUUUUUGACUCUCUGAUCCGUUUUGUAGUGUCUUCUGGAACUUGCACUGGUUCGUUCUUCAGGGUCCGAAUCAUCCCUCUCUUCUUCUAUAUACCUAAGUAAAAUCAAGGUAGAACACUUAGGUAGUAUAUAAUUCUCAUUGAUGUUAAAAUGAAUCUCACAAAGUAGCGUGUGGACCUCUUGUUGUAGCUUCUUUACACGACUACGUGUAACCGGUCCAUCGAUGACUUGGGCUGGUGUCGGUGUAGGUAAAACUUGAGUGGUUGUAGCUUGACUUGGAGCUUGUGACAUCUUACUUGUUGGCAUGAUCAUAUCAUCCUCCCCCUCUUGAAAAGGAGUCGUCCUCGACUCUAACUCUUCUGAUCCAAAGAGUUGUGCUAGGCCAUCGGUUUGUAAUGUUGUGAUAACAUCGCAAUCUUCUUGUUCCAUGAUAGAAAGGUGUUUGAAUCUAUAGUCAUAUAAACCAAGUAGUAGCCUUGUAUGUGGAAACCUAAAUGAUUUGGAAUUAAGUUUAGCUUUCACCUUGAGUGGAUGCUUGAAUGUUGAUUGUCCUAGUAUGGUCUCAUCAUCCUCCCUCUCUUCAAGAAAAGUCAUCCACGACUUUUGUUUACCUGAAAACAGCUUAGACAAAAUAGAGGGUGGACGUACUUGAUAAUUCCAAUAAUCAUUCCUUUUGUUCUGUUCAUUUGUUUCAUUUUGAAUUAUUUUUGCAUUAUUUCCUUUUCCCUGUAAAAAACAUUCUCUCAACUUUGGUGCACCUGCAAACAGUUUAGAGGAUGGUAGCACAAAAAUUUCUUCCAAUCCAAUCAUUUGAUUCAUGUUGUCAUGUUUUAUCUUUAGAAGAUCAAACUUUUCAUUAAAUGGAUGUUGAGAACUAAUGUUAUUCCAAAAAUUAUUGUGGCAGCAAAAUUUAUUGAAGGGUUUAGAAGUAUAAUUUUUAAACUCAAUGCUCCAAGGUGUGGAUGAACAACUUUUCAGUGUAUAGGCUUUGCUUUGCACAAGAUUUCUAUCUUUAAGUGGAUGGUACGAACAUGCUGACAACAUGAAUUGAUUGAAACCAUAAGCACCAAGUAUUUGUUGCAUCUUAAAAGCUUUCACCUUGAGUGGAUGCUUGAAUGUUGAUUGUCCUAGUAUGGUCUCAUCACUAAUGGCCCACCCUUUAGUCCCAGUUCAGGGCACCGGGGCUAAAGCCUGGUAUAACCAACCGGUGUUAAAGGGCUCCUUUUUUUUUCCUUUUUUCGGUUCAUUUAUUUGUUUUUGUUUAUUGUUUAUAUAUAAUAAUAAUAGGUUUGUCAAUACGUAUUUUAUGCUGAUAUAAUCAUAUAUAUAUUACACGCAUAUUAAGCAUAAAUAUUAUUAUAGGCUUAGCUUUAUAAUUAAGCUUUGCCUAUAAUAAAAUGAAUAGGUGUAACACCCUAAAAUGUGUUUUGUGGGAAAUAGAGCUAAAAUAAUUUAAUUAUGAAUUUUUGUGCUCAUGAGAAUAUAGAAAAAUAAUAUUUUUCAUUAAAAUAAAAUUUAUCAUAGAGCUUAGCAACUUGUUUGUGCAUUCAUGUAGGAGAAUUAAUUUUAUUGUGCUAAAGUUCAAAAAUAUUUCAAAGUGAUUUUAAAAUGAAUUGGAAAAUGGCUUUGGAAUACAAGAAAGGAAAAUAGAAAAAAAACAAAACCUUUCCCCCCCCUCAUUCUGGCCCGAAGGCCCAAACCCUCCUCUCCCCCUUCUUUUCGCCCGCGGCCCGCUCCCCUCUUCGGCCUAGUAUGCGCAACCGGCCCAGUUCCUGGCCUGCCCCGCGCCUCCCCUUUCCCCUGGUCCUCGUUGACAAGGUGAACCCACCCGACAGCCGGCCUUCUUCAACCCCCAAGUCGGAGCCGAGCAGGACUCUCGACCGGGUGUCAAAUCCCGAUUUGCCCGGGAUUCCCUACCAAAAUUCGCUAAACCGAGCCCUUUUAAACCCCGAGGAUCAUCCCCGCACCCCUUUUCCUCGUCUAGCGAUGUUGGAGAAGCCCUAGCCGCCUUUGAAGCCGAUUUAAAUCUCGCCGAGUUUCUCCCUCGCCAAACUCACGCGGCCGACCCUCUUCCAAGCCUCCUCGGGUCCCGAAAGAAACAGUAGUGAGUUCGCAAGGAGCCCCGCGUCAUUCCCAUGCUCUCGGUUCGCAAGAUGGUGCCCUAAAUCGCCGAGGCCAUGAACUCCGGCAACCUCGGCCUCCCAGCAAUGGCGCGCCGCCGUGGAGGCUUGCCGCCGGUGUCAAACAGUUUGGCCGGAUCACGCCCAGAUGUCUUCAACCGUUGGAUUGGAGAUCGAUGGCCCCGAUUAGAAGGUAACCCUUCGGGGUAACUUUUGCUUAAGAGUCCCUAUAGGUUUUUAUAUAUUAACCCGCCAUCCUUUGCGCCUCCGAGGUUUUACGUUUUCCGAAUUUGAAAACGUAUUCUCCAUCGGUUUAGUCAGAAUACGCUUUCCAAUAUUCACAAGUCUGCCACUGAUUUUAAAAUGCUUAUAAAAUAUUCAUUUUAAUUCCGUUUUGACCCAUUCAAAUUGCGUUGGACUCGUCUUUGAAAUGUCUACAUGUUAAUAAUAUUGUUUACUCAGUUUGAAACUUUUUAUUUUCGUGACUUAAUUAAUUAAUUUCUUUUUAUAUAAAAUCUUAGAAAAUUUAUAUUUUCUCUGUUUUAACUCCGAUUUUCGUGAUCUUUACGUCUGUGAGAUCGUAGCAAUACGUAGGAUCAUUUUAUAAACUUUUCAUACUGUUUUUACAUGUUUGGUGUACUGUUCUAAUUGUAGCUUUGUUUGCUUCGUGUAUGUUUGGUUCCGAUUGUUGUGUGUUGGUGAUCGAUGAUCGAGUUUAGAUGGAGAGCAAUUUUUGGUGAUCAAGAUAAGAGCUUUGGCAACAAGUAAAGACCAGCAGAACCAAAAGGAUAAGCCAGAGCAUUUGGAUCAAGGCAAGUAUAGCAUCUGGAUUUUAUUUCUGUGACCCGUGAUCCUGUGACUAGAUUAAUGUUAAGUAAUAAACAAUAAAAAUGACUUUUUAGCCACUUGAUGAUUUAUCUGUAAGUGAUAACCGGGACAACAGUGCAAUCAUGAGGGCUAUAAUGGCUCUGGCUUUAGCCCAGUAUGAAGACCUUUUCUAGCUUGUUAGAGGUUACCCGAAAGGGCGGAGGGGCUGAACCGUUUUGGGUAUAGUGUCGCCUCUGUCUGUAUGUGUAUAGGCUGCGAGUCAUUGUGCCAUCGGAAGGUGGCUCUAUAUCUGCGCGCAAAGGAAACCUUGCGGCCCUAACAUGUUAGACGAACUUUUGAAAGGCUUCAUAGUAAUCCCUGCCGACCUUCCUUAGUAGUGGGUUAAGAGGCUGAUCACCUCGGGCGAAAGGAUAAAUCAUGACUCAUGGGUAAAGAUGUACAACCUUUGCAGAGUGUUAAAAACUGAUAUACUAGCCGUGCUCAUGGUCAAGAGCGGCCUUGGGAAUUCUUGCAUCGACGAUGAUGAUUCUUGUGUGUUAAAUAUGCCCAUUAUUUAUUAUUUAAUGCUCUACAUUAUUUAUGUCACAUUGAUCAUGAGAUUGUGGGAGCUUUACAAUCUAGUUGCUAUACUUGUGGAGUUCGACAUGGACUCACUCUUGCAAUUUCUCCCACACCUCAGGAGAAGUUUUGGGCUUGUGAUCAACGAGUCAGUUGGAUCUUGUAGAGAGAACUUAAUACCCGAAGUUUGGAGCUGUCGAUCCGCUGUUUGCUAUUAAAGGUUAUCUCUUUUAUACUAAGUACGUUAUAUAUUUAUGCAUUGUCUUUUGAUAUUACCCCUUAUUUGUAGCUAUUUGUGAGUCUUGGCUUCUAAAACUCACAUAUGGUGCAUAUCUGAUUUUGUCCUUAAAAUCGGGUAUUACAAGAUUUGUAACACCCUAAAAUGUGUUUUCUGGGAAAUAGAGCUAAAAUGAUUUAAUUAUGAAUUUUUAUGCUCUUGAGAAUAUAGAAAAAUAAUAUUUUUCAUUAAAAUAAAAUUUAUCAUAGAGCUUAGCAACUUGUUUGUGCAUUCAUGCAGGAGAAUUAAUUUUAUUGUGCUAAAGUUCAAAAAUAUUUCAAAGUGAUUUUAAAAUGAAUUGGAAAAUGGCUUUGGAAUAAAAGAAAGGAAAAUAGAAAAAAAAAACCUUUCCCCCCCUCGUUCUGGCUCGAAGGCCCAAACCCUCCUCUCCCCCUUCUUUUCCCCCGCGGCCCGCUCCCCUCUUCGGCCCAAUACGCGCAACCGGCCCAGUUCCUGGCCUGCCCCGCGCCUCCCCUUUCCCCUGGUCCUCGCUGACAAGGUGACCCCACCCGACAGCCGGCCUUCUUCAACCCCCAAGUCGGAGCCGAGCAGGACUCUCGACCGGGUGUCAAAUCCCGAUUUGCCUGGGAUUCCCUACCAAAAUUCGCUAAACCGAGCCCUUUUAAACCCCGAGGAUCAUCCCCGCACCCCUUUUCCCUGUCUAGCGAUGUUGGAGAAGCCCUAGCCGCCUUUGAAGCUGAUUUAAAUCUCGCUGAGUUUCUCCCUCGCCAAACUCGCGCGGCCGACCCUCUUCCAAGCCUCCUCGGGUCGCGAAAGGAACACUAGUGAGUUCGCAAGGAGCCCCGCGUCAUUCCCAUGCUCUCGGUUCGCAAGAUGGUGCCCUAAAUCGCCGAGGCCAUGAACUCCGGCGACCUCGGCCUCCCAGCAAUGGCGCACCGCCGUGGAGGCUCGCCGCCGGUGUCAAACAGUGUGGCCGGAUCACGCCCAGAUGUCUUCAACCGUUGGAUUGGAGAUCGAUGGCCCCGAUUAGAAGGUAACCCUUCAGGGUAAUUUUUGCUUAAGAGUCCCUAUAGGUUUUUAUAUAUUAACCCGCCAUCCUUUGCGCCUUCGAGGUUUUACGUUUUCCGAAUUUGAAAACGUAUUCUCCAUCGGUUUAGUCAGAAUACGCUUUCCAGUAUUCACAGGUCUGACACUGAUUUUAAAAUGCUUAUAAAAUAUUCAUUUUAAUUCCGUUUUGACCCAUUCAAAUUGCGUUGGACUCGUCUUUGAAAUGUCUACAUGUUAAUAAUAUUGUUUACUCAGUUUGAAACUUUUUAUUUUCGUGACUUAAUUAAUUAAUUUCUUUUUUAUAUAAAAUCUUAGAAAAUUCAUAUUUUCUGCGUUUUAACUCCGAUUUUCAUGAUCUUUACGUCUGUGAGAUCGUAGCAAUGCGUAGAAUCAUUUUAUAAACUUUUCAUACUGUUUUUACAUGUUUGGUGUACUGUUCUAAUUGUAUCUUUGUUUGCUUCGUGUAUGUUUGGUUCCGAUUGUUGUGUGUUGGUGAUCGAUGAUCGAGUUUAGAUGGAGAGCAGUUUUUGGUGAUCAAGAUAAGAGCUUUGGCAACAAGUAAAGACCAGCAGAACCAAAAGGAUAAGCAAGAGCAUUUGGAUCAAGGCAAGUAUAGCAUCUGGAUUUUAUUUCUGUGACCCGUGAUCCUGUGACUAGAUUAAUGUUAAGUAAUAAACAAUAAAAAUGACUUUUUAGCCACUUGAUGAUUUAUCUGUAAGUGAUAACCGGGACAACAAUGCAACUAUGAGGGCUAUAAUGGCUCUGGCUUUAGCCCAGUAUGAGGACCUUUUUCUAGCUUGUUAGCGGUUACCUUAAAUGGCGUAAGAAUGGCUAGACACGUUGGAUAUAGUGUGGCCUCUGUACGUGUGUAUAUGCUGCGGGUUAUGUGCCAUGGAAGCGGGGCUCUAUAUCUGCCUGCCGAGUGAAUCUAAUGGCCCUAACUUGUUAGACAAAACCUUUGAAAGGCUUCAUAGUGAUCCCUGUCGACCUUCCUUAGAAGUGGGUUAAAAGGCUGAACACCUCGGGCGGAAGGGUAAAUCAUGACUCAUGGGUAAAGAUGUACAACCUCUGCAGAGUGUAAAACUGGUAUACUAGCCGUGCUCACGGUCACGAGCGGCCUUGGGGAUUCUUGCAUCGACGAUGAUGAUUCUUGUGUGUUAAAUAUGCCCAUUAUUUAUUAUUUAAUGCUCUACAUUAUUUAUGUCACAUUGAUCAUGAGAUUGUGGGAGCUAUACAAUCUAGUUGCUAUACUUGUGGAGUUCGACAUGGACUCAUUCUUGCUAUUUCCCCCAAACCUCAGGAGAAGUUUAGGCUUGUGAUCAACCAGUUAGUUGGAUCCUGUAGAGUGGAGUUAAUACCCGAAGUUGGAGUUAUCUUCCGUUGUUUGCUGCUUAAGGUUAUCUCUAAUUUAUUAUGUACGUUAUAUAAUUUAAGCAUUGUCUUUUGAUAUUAUCCCUCAUUUGUAGCUAUAUGUGAGAUUUGACUCCUAAAACUCACAUAUGGUGCAUAUCUGGUUUUGUUCUUAAAAUCGGGUAUUACAAUAGGCCACAUUAAUAAUUAAAUAGAUGAAUAUGUAACAAGCUUUAUAUAUAGUUUUAUAAGUAGAACAUUUCUAACAUAUAUAUACAUAGAAUUUUUUUCUCCGAAUCUCUACAGUCGAUACAAAUGAUCAUCGUUGUUUGGAAUAAGAGUUUCGUUGCCGUUGAAGUGAAACUCGCCGUUUGGAUUGAUCACUUGCUCGCGGAGGAAUCCUGAUAUCGUCUCUUGAAUAGGUUUGAUGCGGUCUUCUUGCAUGACCUUUUUGAAGGGUUGAGAUGGCGGACUAGAGGGGGGUGAAUAGUUCUUUCUAAAACUUAAAGCGUCGGGUAACCGAAUUAAGUGCGGAAUGAAAACUAUCGGUCUAGCCAAGACUGUACCCCUCUAUCUAAGUUCUCUAGUACCUUGUAAAAGAUCCUAAACAAGCAAACAAGGUACUACCUUAGCAAGAGCUCACCUAACCAAUUCUAGAAGGAAGGUCACAAACCUAUGCUACUAGUACUUUUGCAAACUGGGGAGCUCCUACACAACUAGUAAGCAAAAGCACAAAGCUCCUAGGCUCACUAGCAAUGCUCAAUAACAAAGCAACCAAUGCCAAAUUAGAGAGCACAAAUUACUUAGCUACCACAAACUAAGCAAUGUGACUAACAAGCUUACACAAACCAAAUUAGUCAUGCAAGGGGAACUACUUAUAGCUACACAAGCAAGAAGGUAACUAGCAAGCUACACAAGCUAACUAAUUACAAAAGCAACUACACAAGCGCAAGUAUAUGAAUGUAAUAACAAGCUUGUGUUAGGGACUUGCAAACCAACGGGAAAAACAAAGUUGACACGAUGAUUUUCUCCCGAGGUUCACUUGGUUGCCACCAAGCUACGUCCCCGUUGUGUCGACCAACACUUGGUGGUUCGACGGCUAAGAGGUGUUACACAAACCUUGUACCCACUAGGACACCGCAAGAAUCUACCCACAAGUGAGGUAGCUCAAUGACAUGCACGAUCCAAUAGAGUUGCUCUUCGCGAUCCCCGCGAUGUGAGCACCGUACCUCUCACAAUCUCUUCUCCGGAGCGCCGCACAAUCUCCUAGCGUGCUUUGACAGAGUCCCAAGCCACCAAGCCGUCUAGGAGGUGGCAACCUCCAAGAGUAACAAGCACCACAGGCUUGCAACACGAACACCUAGUGCCACUCGAAGCAAUCUCUCAAUGCAACGCACUAGAAUCACUCACUCGAUAUUGAUUCACACUCUUGCAAGCACAAGUGAGUCAGAGGCUAUCCUAGCACUCCCUAAGCAUGGACACUAAGUCCCAAGGGUGCUCAGCGCCAGCCAUGGCCGGCCACCACUUCUAUUUAUAGCCCCAAGGGCUAAACUAGCCGUUGCCCCAUCACUAGGCAAAAGUCGGGGGGCACCGGACUCACUGCAGGGAGCCAUCGGAUGCUCAACCCCAGCGUCCGGUGCUCAGGCGACAGCCACAUGUCACUAGCCGUUUGAACUCGACCGUUGCCGCUAACGGCUACCAUGCGCGCGCGCCUGCAGCAGCCACACCGGACGCUCGGCGGCUUCACACCAGACGCGUCCGGUGCACACCGGACCCAUGCGCAGAGAGUACCGCAAACUCGCAGGGUCACCGGACGCAAACCACGAGACGCACCCUGAGCGUCCGGUGCUCUCCAGUCAGAAACACUCACUGUCGUCACGCAGCACCGGACGCGCGAAUAGUGUCCUGUCCGCGUCCGGUGCCAGCGUCCGGUGCGCACUCUACGCCUACACUAAGAGCAGACAAUGCACCGGACGCUUUGGUCCAGCGUCUGGUGCUACCAACACCAGCGUCCGGUGCUCGUGACUUCUCCAAACUUCCCACCGGUGUAAUAGAAAAUAAGCACUUAAUUUUCUCAAAAGUGCCGAAUCCUGCCUCGCAAGCUCGGCGGGAGGGAGAGAGGUCCCAAACCCCUCUCUACCCUAGGAACUCCACCUCCUUUGCAAAUGUGCCAACACCACCAAGUGUACACCACCAUGUGCAAGUGUGUUAGUAUUUUCAUAAACAUUUUCCCAAAGGAGUUAGCCUCUCAACUUGCAACGCCACUCUAUCCUAACACGUAUGCAGGGUUAGAUCACUCAAGUGGCACUAGAUGGCCGAGAUGCAAACAAGUUUGCCCCUCUUGAUAGUACGGCCAUCUAUCCUGAAUCCGGUCAUAAACUUCUCUACACACCUAUGACCGGUGAAAUGGAAAUGCCCUAGGUUAUACCUUUGCCUUGCGCUUUCCAUUCCAUCUCCUCCAAUGUUGAUGCAACACAUGACCAACCAAUCACCAAAUGAUAUGAUCCACUUCAUAUCAUCACGUGACCGUAUUGGUUCAUCGAUCUUGACCUCACUUGCUCUUCACCGUUGCCUCGGUCCAUCGGCGCCAGUCUUGCUCGAGCUUCACCGUCGCACAUGGUCUCUCGCUUCAAAGCCUCCAACUUGCCCUUCAGUUUUGCAACCGGUCCAUCGAGCCAAGCCUCAUAUUGAUCUUCUCCACCUUGGUCACAUGACUCCAUGUCAUGUCUCAUAUGCAAUGAGCUCCUCCAUCAUCACAUAAUCACCUGUGGACUAAUCUCCUAUGUAUCUCACAUAAACACUAUUAGUCCACCUAAGUUGUCACUCAAUUACCAAAACCAAACAAGGACCUUUCAAUCACCCCCUUUUUGGUAAUUGAUGACAACUCUACAAAGAUGUGGAAAUUAAGCUUUUUCAAGCUAGCACUUCACACAAGUAUAAAUUGCUAACUUAUUUUGGAUUUUAUGCUACUUAUCCAACAUUUAAGCUCUAUGUCAAGAUUUGGAUAAGGACCAUGAAACCCUACUAAGUGCUAAGGUGUAUAGAAUAAACCUUUGUAGCUUGAUACCAAAUUCGAUAUCAUUUGAAGUAUUCAAUGUACACCAUCCUUAGCACCAUGAGCAGCUAGACAACAAAAAUACUAGAAACCCCAUGAGAUCAACAUUAUAAGCAAGGGUCUAGUCUUUACUUGAAGAACACAAGUCUAGCUACCAACCUAUGCAUGCUAGUUAUCAUAUCAUCAAUCAAGUUCUAUAACUAGCAUACACCACACAAGCAUGCAUAUUGAAUUUAAAAACUUAUGCAAUGCAAGCAAGCACAUGAAUAUGCACAUAUCAAAUGCAAACAAACAAGGUUCAUGAGCUUGCUCCCCCUACUUGUGUGCUUGUCUUGUUCAAGAAUCUUGAUCCUUCUUGAUCCAUCUUAAUGUUGCUCCCUCUGUCUAUGUCCAUCUUUGAUAUCUCCCUCUUGAAAUAUAUCUUUUGUUGUCCAACUUAUCCCAAUCAUAUCUUUGUUCCAAUUUCUCCCCCUUUGUCAUCAAUUUCCAUAAAAGGUAUGUCAUACCAAUUAAAUCACUUGAUACCAAUUUGAAAAAGUGUGCAUCUCAUUGUGACAAAGGAUCGCAUAUGGGAUAGAUGGUUGAGGCUUGAAUCUUGCAUUUUUGAUGGACAUCACCAUAUGUGUUGGAAUGACAUUACUUGAAUUGCUCUUGAGAUACCACAUAGGAUCUUUGACCUUGAUAUCAUUUGGUGGGGCACUCCCCCUAUGUCAUAGCAUGGGUCAUUCUCUUGUCAAUAUUAUUGGUGAGGGAACUUUCUUUGCUUGAUGAUCACUUAAAGUUGAGGAUCACUUGUGGAACCACCUCCUUGUAUGAUAGAUACCAUAUGUAUAAAUGUGAUAUUUUAAAUAUCUUGUCUGAUACCAUAUGGGAUUCUUCUACCAAUUAAGUCUCUAGUAUGGAACCACUUGUUUGCUAUCUUGAACAUUUGCUAUCAUCAUCAUGAGUACCAUUUGUUGGAUACCAAUUGAAGAAACAUUUAAAUCUAGAUAUCCACUUGCAUUGUUGUCUUGUUCUUGUACUCUAAUCACUAUGAGCUUCUAAUUGUUGACUUGAACUAAGUUGAUUUGCUAAAGCUUCCAAGUCCGGUUUGAACCAAUGACAAGCUUUUUCACACCUCACAUUAAGGGUUAUCUUGCCAAUGCUGUACUUGUCAUUUGUUAACAAUCCAAAAUAGAUCAGGUACAUGGGUUCACUAGCUCAUGAACAAACUCAUAUACAUACCACUAGAUCAACUAAACAUUCAAGCAAUAGUGGUAGGUUAUGAAUUUAAAACUUUUUAUUUGUCAUGCAUGAUCCUAUUAAGCAUGUACUAUAUGCACUAUCUGCAUACUAGUAAGGGAUGAAAUGAUCAUGCACAUUACAAUGAUACCUUUGCUAUGUUGGAGAAGAGGAUAGCAUGAGAUUCCAAUGUAGCUCCAAAUAGCAAUGUGAAGUCCAAUUAUAAGCUUGGUGUAGACAAAUUAUAAAUGCCAAUUGAUAGAUCAAAUCUUCACCCAUAUGAAUUGAGAACCACUUAUGAUCAAGUGCACUAUCUUGUUGUGGUUGUCUUGCUUCAUCAUCAUUGCUUGCAUGAGAGAGCUAAUAAGAAUACUACUUGAACAUCAUGACUAGCUCUCUUUUGGGUGUUGCUUGCUCUCUUGAUCAAUCCUUUUGAUUGCUUCAACUAAGCAUCUGAAGUGUCCUUAGAAUCACCACUUCCAUGUUAGCCUUCCAAGCACUACACUUGGUUUACCCACUCCUCAGGCGGCAAGCUCCUCACAUAGGGAGAAGUGACCUCUCUCCAAAGAACUAUUCUUGACACUUACUUGAAUUGCCUUUGAUUGAUUGAUUCAAGUGAUGGACUUAAUAUGAUGAGUAACCGUGAAUCCUUCUUUAUGUCCUUUUCUUUCUACUUGUUUAAGUCCUUUUCUUUCUACCAAAUAUUUUCCAAUAGUCACUAUAACUUAAACAUUACCUUCAUCUUGAGUUUGAUCUUGAUUUUCAACUAGAGUACCAAAUGUGUACACCAAGUACACUCCACAAUCAAAUAGCCUUGUACUCAAUACUUGUCAUGCUUCUAGAUCAAUUCAAAGCCAAACUUAGUGCCUCAAAUACUUAUAAUCAUGUUUCCAACUUAAGGACCUUUCAAUUGAAGUGACUCUAGAUCAAACUAAUAUUUGUCACUUUUAUGGCAGAUUCUGGACCUUUCAAAGAUAAAUACAUAUCUCAUGAUGUACAGAUCCAAAUAGCACGAAAUUUGGUGGACAUGUGCUUCACUAAGUCAUCUAGCAGCUGUAAAAAUUUGAGCUUCAUUUCACUUCUAGAUUCCUACUAGAUUUUAAUUCUUCCACCACUGCUAUAUGCUGAAAACUGCUGCACUAUAGCUGAUAAGAUCCACUCUAAAACCGAAGUAUCCUUUUCAUGAAAUUUCUACAGCCUCUUCUAUGAUAAGUGUACAGCAUGCAUACUAAAUUUCAAACCAUUCCAAUUAGAUUUUAUCACUCAAACUCAGACUUGAUCUUAGCUAGCUCAGGUUUUCAAUAUUUGGCAGAUUUCAAGUAAUUGAGCUAUACUUGUUCAAAUUGAACCAAACUUGAAAUCAACUUGAUUGAAUACUUUCACAAGACAUAAAUCCAUUCAAUCCACUUACUAAAAGUCAUCCUAUGAACUUAUCCAACUCAAAUUAAUUCAAACUUGAUUACUAAGCAUUUAAUCCAUUCAAUCAUCUUAUAGCAAGCAACAUUGCAUAUAUAUCCAAUUCAAUCAAGUCAUAUGCACCCCAAUGAAUGUGAUCAACAAAGAUAUACCUUGAUUAGCUCAUGAUCAUCCAAUUUGCAAGCUUCAACUCAUGUAUUUGCAAGCCAUCAAAUAAUCCAAUAAAUCACCACAACUUGAAUAUGACACUUGUGUGUUGUAGCACAUUUGGACUUCACUAUCUUGUCAUGGCAUUGGGUUUGGAUGUGCACUAGGCUUCAUUACUUGACUCAAUCAUAUGAUGAACAAUGUAGGAUCAAUUGAAUCAAGCCUCCAAUGCUGAUGGUACCUACACAUAUUCAUCCACUUUUUGAUCGUACCCAAACUAGUUUGGGUCCUCUCAAGUUAGGAGCAACAUACUUAGGCGAUGCCUUAGUAUGAGUAGCGGGAUGUUUUGCAAUAGUAACCAUAGAGGUACCAUCACCAUACUUUCUAAGCAUAUUAUGAUUGUCAAUUGAAAUAGGCUUAGAAUUAUUACCUAGGGGACAUGAAUGAGCCAUGUGUCCCCUUUCCCGGCAUAAGUAGCAACUUCUCUUUGAUUGAGCCUUUUCUUCCUUGCUCAUGUGUUGCUUCUCAUUGCCUUGCCUCUUGAGAGUUGCUUGAGCCUUAUUCUCAAGCUUGGUAGGACACUUCGAGGCAAAGUGUCCAUCAUUCUUGCACUCAAAGCACAUGAUGUGAGCAUAACCUUUCUUUUUGUCUUCAUUCUUGCUCAUCAUCUUGGCAUAUUGGAUUUGCAUUGGAUGCCUUGCUCUUCCACCCCUUCUUGUUUUGUUUUUGUUCAUUAUCAAGUCAUCAUCAUGAUGGUUGAUCUUGACUUGAGCUUGGGGUGACUUCUCUUGCUCAACUUGUGGCUUUGGUUGAGGCUUCACUUGAUGCUUCACCAAUUGAUUGGUUGGGCACAUUGAGGUAAGAUGACCCCAAGUGUGACACUUGAAGCAUUUGCCAUGCUUGAGCCUCUCUUAUUCUUUCAUAUUCUUCUUGAAGCCAAGGCCACACUUAUCACCAAGGUUUCUUUGAGUUUUCAAUAUGUGCUCAAAGGUGACUUUUGAAUUAUAGCACCUCUCUAGCUUGUUGCUCAAAUUAUUCACUUGUUCAUUGAGCUUAUUGUUCUCCUUCAAAAGGUUAGUCUCGCAAGACAUGGAAGUAGAACAUGACAUAGAUAAUAAAUCAUCAAAAGAGGUGGACACAUGCUUCUUUCCUACAUCACAAGGGUUAGUAAUAUCACAUGAUUGAUCAUUUGACCUAAAUGAUGAGCUCUCACUAGUUUUAGUUUCUUCAUUAGAAAGCUUAUUAGUAAGUAAAGCAUGAUCUUUUACCAAGUUAUCAUGAGUAACACAAAGUUUCUCAUGAACCAAUUUUAGCUCCUCAUGUGAACAAGUAGUAACAUAAAGUAGAUGCUUUUGUUGUUCACAUGUGGUCUUUAGAAAUGAGUUUUCAUUUUUCAAUUUACUUGUUUUAGCCAUCUCAUUUCUUAAAGCUUUGGUGAGUCUACAUACAAGCUCAAAAUUUGGAUCAUCACAGUCAACAAUCACACCUCCAAUAGAUACCUUGCCGUCACCGUGAGACAUGGAGGAAUGUGAUGAAGUGGAUGAGCUUGUAGAAGCAUCACUUUCAUAGCCAUCAUCUUCAUCCUCACUUGACCAUGAGGUGGAGCAAUCCUCCACAACCGCCAUGUUGUGGUCAUGCUCAACAUCCUCACGUGCAUCCACCUUUGGUGCACAUCAUCUUCUUUGGUGAUCACCCCAUAUUUCUCAUUGAGAUAACUCCAAAUCUCAUGAGCAGACUUCAUAUCCAUGAUCUCACCAAAUAUGUUAUCUUUCAUGGAUGAAUAGAAGAUGUUAGUAGCUUGGUAGUCAAGAUGUAGACAUUUCUCUUGUGCUUGAGUUAGAUUCUCUUCAUCCAACACAUGAGAAAAGCCUACAUCUACCAUCCACCAUAUUUGAGGAGAAAUAAACUUAAAAUUGCAUGUCAUCCAAUUUCUCUAUUGUGCAAAGUGUGUGACAUCAAAAAUGUAUGGACACUCAACAUCUAGCCCAUAAGCCGCCAUCCUCUCAGGUCGGUGAAGACCACAAAUGAGAGACAUCGCUCUGAUACCACUUGAAGGGUCGAGAUGGCGGACUAGAGGGGGGUGAAUAGUCCUUUCUAAAACUUAAAGCAUCGGCUAACCAAAUUAAGUGUAGAAUUAAAACUAUCGGUCUAGCCAAGACUAUACCCCUCUAUCUAAGUUCUCAAGUACCUUAUAAAAGAUCCUAAAGAAGCAAACAAGGUGCUACCAUAGCAAGAGCUCACCUAACCAAUUCUAGAAGCAAGGUCACAAACCUAUGCCACUAGUACUUUUGCAAACCGGGGAGCUCCUACACAACUAGUAAGCAAAAGCACAAAGCUCCUAGGCUCACUAGCAAUGCUCAAUAACAAGGCAACCAAUGCCAAAUUAGAGAGCGCAAAUUACUUAGCUACACAAACUAAGCAUUGUGACUAACAAGGUUACACAAACCAAAUUAGCCACACAAGGGAGCUACUUCUAGCUAUACAAGCAAGAAGGUAACUAGUAAGCUACACAAGUAAAACUAGUUAUCGGAGCAACUACACAAGCACAAGUAUAUAGAAUGUAAAUACAAGCUUGUGUAUGGCGAAUGCAAACCACCGAGAAGAGUAGAUAAUUUUGACAUAGUGAUUUUUUACCGAGGUUCACUUGGUUGGCGCUAAGCUAUGUCCUCAUUGAGAUAAGCUGCAAGGUUGAUCCGGUCCUCUUGCUAGUGGUGACCCAUAGGUCACAUAGAGUGCUUACCAAAAGCUCUAACACUUGACCAAAUUAGUUAUGCAUGGGGAGCUACUUCUAGCUACACAAGCAAGAAGGUAACUAGCAAGCUACACAAGCUAACAAAUUACAAGAGCAACUACACAAGCACAAUAUAUGAAUGUAAUAACAAGCUUGUGUUAGGGACUUGCAAACCAACGGGAAGAACAAAGUUGACACGAUGAUUUUCUCUAGAGGUUCACUUGGUUGCCACCAAGCUACGUCCCCGUUGUGUCGACCAACACUUGGUGGUUCGGCGGCUAAGAGGUGUUACAUGAACCUCGUCCCCACUAGGACACCGCAAGAACCUACCCACAAGUGAGCUAGCUCAAUGACACACACGAUCCAAUAGAGUUGCACUUCGCGAUCCCCACGGGGUGAGCACCGUACCUCUCACAAUCUCUUCUCUGGAGCACCGCACAAUCUCCUAGCAUGCUUCGAUGGAGUCCCAAGCCACCAAGCCGUCUAGGAGGUGGCAACCUCCAAGAGUAACAAGCACCACCGGCUUGCAACACGAACACCUAGUGCCACUCGAUGCAAUCUCUCAAUGCAACGCACUAGAAUCACUCACUCGCUAUUGAUUCGCACUCUUGCAAGCACAAGUGAGUUAGAGGCUUUCCUAGCACUCCCCAAGCAUGGACACUAAGUCCCAAGGGUGCUCAGCGCCAGCCAAGGCUGGCCACCACUUCUAUUUAUAGCCCCAAGGGCUAAACUAGCCGUUGCCCCUUCACUGGGCAAAAGUCGGGGGGCACCAGACUCACUGUAGGGAGCCACCGGACGCUCAACCCCAGCGUUCGGUGCUCAGGUGACAACCAUAUGUCACUAGCCGUUUGAACUCGACCGUUGCCACCAACGGCUACCACACGCGCGCACCAACAACAGCCACACCGGACGCUCGACAGCUUCACACCGGACGCGUCCGGUGCACACUGGACCCGUGCGCAGAGAGUACCACAAACUCACAGGGUCACCAGACACGAGCCACCAUACGCACCCUGAGCGUCCAAUGCUCUCCAGUCAGAAACACUCAUUGACAUCACGCAGCACCAGACGCGCGAACAGUGUGGUGUCCGCGUCCGGUGCCAGCAUCCGGUGCGCACUCUACGCCUACACCAGCAGCAGACAGUGCACCGGUUGCUCUGGUCCAGCGUCCGGUGCUACCAACACCAGUGUCCAGUGAGUGUUUCUCACUCUCGUGACUUCUCCAAACUUCCCACCAGCACAAUAGAAAAUAAGCACUUCAUUUUCUCAAAAGCGUCGAAUCCUGCCUUGCAAGCUCGGCGGGAGGGAGAGAGGUCCCAAACCCCUCUCUACCCUAGGAACUCCACCUCCUUUGCAAAUGUGCCAACACCAGCAAGUGUACACCACCAUGUGCAAGUGUGUUAGAAUUUUCACAAACAUUUUCCCAAAGGAGUUAGCCUCUCAACUUGCCACGCCACUCGAUCCUAUCACGUAUGCAGGGUUAGAUCACUCAAGUGGCACUAGAUGACCGAUAUGCAAACUAGUUUGCCCCUCUUGAUAGUACGGCCAUCUAUUCUAAAUCCGGUCAUAAACUUCUCUACACACCUGUGACCGGUGAAAUGGAAAUGCACUGGGUUAUACCUUUGCCUUGCGCUUUCCAUUCCUUCUCCUCCAAUGUUGAUGCAACACAUGCACCAACCAAUCACCAAAUGAUAUGAUUCACUUCAUAUCAUCACGUGACCAUAUUGGUUCGUCGAUCUGGACCUCACUUGGUCUUCACCGUUGCCUCGGUCCAUCGGCGCCAAGUCUUGCUCGUGCUUCACCGUCGCACGCGGUCCCUCGCUUCAAAGCCUCCGACUUGUCCUUCACUCUUGCAACCGGUCCAUCGAGCCAAGCCUCAUCUUGAUCUUCUCCACCUUGGUCACAUGACUCCAUGUCAUAUCUCAUAUGAAAUGAGUUCCUCCAUCAUCACAUAAUCACCUAUGGACUAAUCUCCUGUGUAUCUCACAUAAACACUAUUAGUCCACCUAAGUUGUCACUCAAUUACAAAAACCAAACAAGGACCUUUCACUUUUCCCUCAACCAUUCCGUCUUCAAUUUGAAAUAAAAUAAAAAGGUAUUAGUUAUCUAAGUUAUUGAAUUUAAUUCAGGAGAUAAUGAAAAGAGACAUGUAACGUACUCUAAGGGUCUCUGUGGGUGUUUGAUUGACGUGUACCAUCAAGAAUUUGCAGACGUAAUAUCCACAUGAGUUGUUCCCCCUUCUUGUCUUAGACACCACUAUACGAUAUAUAAAAAAGAUUCACGACCACGACAAUAAGAAAGCUAAAAGUUAGCAAAAGUUUGCUAGCUAGUACAACUUACUUGUGGAUGAAUUAUAUUAAGUGGCGCUUUACAAACAAUGAGAUGUUCACGGUCAAUAAAUCUUACCCAAACCCUACACACAGCAAUUGUGGAUCAUCAACUAAUAAUUGCAGAGUCAUAUCAUGAUAUUCUUUUAGCUGAGAUCGACAUUACGUACCUUUGAAUAAUGUUUACCAUUUGUUGGUAAUUUUCUUGCGGUUUUCUUAGUGAGUCAUAGAUUGUCAACCGGUUCUUGGGAAUUUCAAUGACCAUAGUAUCCAGUGAAAGCUGUUUAUUACACACAUAUAUAUAGUUAGGCCUAUAACUAUAUAAAACCCGAAUCGAGUAAUAUUAAGUAAAAUAAAAUGUGCAUGCACUUAAUAACUAUAUAACUCACUCGAAGUUGUAGGGGAAGAGUAUUUUUUGUUUUUCUUUUUGGUUCACGAAGAACCUCAUAAGAUUGGUGCAGACUUCUGUCUUAUAAGAUGCUGUCCACACUACCUGUGGAGCCUUGAAAACAAUAUAAGGGUCAACAAACCCAAUACUAUUGUCAUUUUUUAUUCUAAGCCCUCUCAUUUGGUGUCUGCAUAUAUACAUACAAAUCUUAAGUGUGUAAGGAUUAUAUACAUAUAAUUAAAGAAGGUAGAAGUUUAAUAAAAAAUAAAAAAAUACUUACAGACAAAAGCAGCUGACGAGAGAUUUGUCGAGAGCGUCGAGGUGACAUAAUUGGUGUAAUUCUUCUAACUGGGCGUAUAUGAGGUCAUCUCCACAAAAGUAGUGAUGUUGUCGAAUACGAACAGAAAUCCAAUUACCUCCUCUAUUAGACGCCUCCAUGCACCACUUGUUUAUUGUUUGUAUAAAUUAACUGCACCCUAAAUAUUGAUUAUAAUCAGAUUAUCCGCAAGCGCACAGAUAUAUACUGAUCAGUACUUCACCAAGAUCAACCCAGUUUUAAUAUCGAUUCCAAAGGAAGAGUAGAUGAUUUAUAACCUAGUCUAUAAUUCUUAAUGUAAGAGAGGUACAAUCAAUUUAGAAAACUAUUGAGAAUGAAGAAAUAGCUAAUAUACUCUGGUUCUAAUAACCGGUAAACUUUGUAUAAUAUCGUCUUAUCGGGUAAUUAAAUAACCCGAAUAGGAGAAGAAACAGAGUAAUCUCCUAUCAGGCACCUAUAAGCCUAUCGGUCCUAUCAACGGGAAGUGGACUACAGAGAGUUCAACAUAGCUAUAAAGUCACCUACGCGAGCUACCACUAUCCGGCUGAUCAAGGGAUAUCUACAAGCAACCAUAGCCUAGACACCAUGUCUAUGCUACGAAUCACUACUCCGACUUAGGAGCUACCCAAAUCGAAGUACUCAAUAUAAUAUGAGUUGCAAACCAAAGAACGAAUAAAAACAAGUUGCUUACUUGAAUCAGAAUGGUAAAUACAAAAGUACAUCAGAACGCAGCUCUGGGCGAGGGAACCGAAUCCAGGCAGAUACAGCUCCUGAGAAAGCUCCGACAGGCCGGGACUCCUUCAAAUCUCUACACUUCUACUCUAUCUCUCUAAUCUCUAUCUUGAUUGCUAGCCUAGAUCUAGUGGAUCUCUAUCUAAUGCUCUGACUCUUCAUCUCUUGAUAUGCCCUCCUCUAAGGGGUCUAGCCUUCUAUUUAUAGCCCGGUGGGAUGGAUAUGUGCCGUUGGAUCAAACCGACUUAACAAGCGGCCAAGAUGGCUCCUCAGAGGCGAUGGAGGAUGGUUCCAGAAGGGGGGCCAAAACCCUAACAAGGGGUGCGCUGGCCGAUGCUAGGGUGGGGCUGGCUGGCCCCACCUGUCCGCCUCUCCCCCUGUCACACCCUAGUUUUAAAAAAACAAGACCAGAGUCGUCAUAUGUGUGCUCAGGAAGUCCACACAUACAACAAAAGAAUAGAAAUAUUAGAAACAAUAUUAUAUAUAUAGCAGAAUAUAUAUAUAAUAACACUUACAACUAUCAGAGUAUGCAGAAACAAUAGCUAAACUUUUUAGGCUCCAUUCUUCUAAGGGACGGCUCACUAGGGGCUCUGUACGCCAAGCACUUCUGAUAAGCUUCUAGAAAACUCCACAUCAUCUCUAUCCUUCUUCUGAGCAGCACUUUACUACACACUAGGGUGUGGGGGGGGGGAAUAACAAGGGUGAGUUCAUGUCAAACUCAACAAGUACAGGCGGAAAGUAUAAUGACAUGCAAGGCUUAAUCAAAGGAAAAGCUAACACGGUUUAACUGCAGGUGAGCCUUUUAAGUUGACAAACUUUUAUUAUAAUCUCUUUUAUUUAAACAACCUAUUACUAAAUAUGAGUAAAGCAUCCCAACCCUUAAUUAGAUGAAAGUACAUUAACAAUAUUAUUAGUCAACAUUAUUAUUAUUAUUAAGAUAUCUGAGGUAGCAACCUUUGAUAAUAACUCGGGGUAGCAACCUCAUUAAGGUCAUGGGAUAGCAAUCCCAAUUAAGAACACAAGAUAGCAAUCCUGUCAACACGGAAUAGCCAUUCCUCCAAAGCACAAUGUAGCAACCUCAACCAAGUUCCACCUCCAAGUUCCAUGUGAUUCCAAUUUGCUCAUCAUGUGAGAGUCUGGGCCGCUUGUGACCGUGAGCACGGCUGAUAUAUCAGUUUUACAUUCUGCAGAGGUGUGCACUUUCACUCCAAGUCAUGAUUCCCAUUUGCCCGGGGUUGAGACUCCCCAAAACACUACCAAGGUGAGCAGGCAGGGUUUCACUACGAGACCUUUCACAGGGUCCAACUAAUAGGAUGCCACUCCUACAUUUUUGCCGGGGCACGCGACAGCCAUGCCCAUAGUAAUGGGACCUCGAACUGACCGACCUCUUAAUAUGAAUACCCAAGCUACUUUCUUACGCCUACCCGGAAAGUAACACCCUACUAGUGGAGGUCCUCAUAAUUAGUCAAGCUAGAGCCAUAGGGCUUGGAGCUGCACUGUAUGUCCCAGGGAGCCGCUCCAUGACUAAGUCCUUACGGAGAGCAGAGACGGGUAUGCCCGGCAACUGGGCCAACCAACAGUACCCGCUCCCCCUUUCCUCAACAAACCAUGAUGCUCGCAAGCACCACAACAUCUCCAUCACCGAAGUGACCAUUGUCCACCAUUGAAGCAUUAGUCAUCAUUGAAGAAUUCAUUAGGCAAGAUUAUUACUUUUAUUAUUAUAUAGAUUAGAUGAGUCGAGCAGCUAAGCAUGUAUACUGUUCACUAAACUACCCAUGUAUAAAACCUAGGGGUACAAGGAAUACAAUAGAAGGCUAGUCAGGUCUUUGGGGUUUGCAGUAUUAAGACACAUGCAAUAAAAGUAAAUGCGUUUUAAGUUCAUAGGUACAAUAUGAUCAAAAGGUGCCUGCACUUGCCUUUAUUCCCAGUGUAUAUCUACUCAGAAUUCUUUGGCUUCUAUCUUCUCAUCUUUAGCUUCUACUGCAACUAUCGGUCCUCAGCUCCUGGUCUUCGGUGCUAACGAACCACGCUUCUUCUACUCAAAGCAAACAAACAACACAAACAGACAAACAAACAAUCAUGACUAAGAACAAACGAUAAUUCAAAAGAAAAGCUUUAAAAGAGAGCGCAAUAAACGACAUGGCUUAUUGCUACGAUCGUGACAACGCAAGAACGAUUGAGAACAGAGCUAUAGUUAAUCGAACACGACUUUCGAGGCUUACAACAUAACGGAGAAGACAAACUAUACACUUAUGGUAUUUUAUUUGAUGAAAUAAGAUGAUAGACAUUUCGGAGAACUAUGCUAAAGUAGGAUUAACCAAAUUAUGUUAAGUCAUAAAAGUCAAAGUUAAACUUUAGUCAUAUUUUAUUUAUAAAUAAUUAUAUACCACGGAAGCCAAUUAAGCCUUUGUAGUUUUGAAAUAUAGAUUAUAUGAAAGCAACUAAUCGAGUGAUUAUAUAUCAUGUUUAAACUAAUCAAGUUAUAAUUAAUAAAGAAACAUUAAAGUUGAUAUUAAUUACGUGAGUCUUUAUUUAUUUAUAAAAGAUCAAAAUUAUAAACAUAAUUUACUUUUAAUUCAAAAAGACUUUAGAUAAAUAUUACUAAAUUAUUUAUGUGCUUCAUGUUUAAAUAAUCAAAUUAUAAUUAAGAAGUAUUUAAGUUCACAUUUGAUUAUAAAGAUACCGAAGUGUAAUCCUAAGUUGUUUUUAAAUUAAUUCAAUAGAAAUGCAUUCAAAACAUUAAUCAGAUUAAUUAUACUUAUAAACACGAGACAAUGAAAAUAGCAUUGCUAAUAUGUAGAUUACAUCGACAUAGUCAGAACGCAACAAGAACCGAAUUACAACCCUAGAUUAUUUUCUAAUUUAAAAGCUAUUCAAUAAAUAUUAAUAAAAUUAUAUUUAAAUCAAUAAAUCUAAGAAUAAGUUACAUGAUAAAUAUUUAUACUACUGUGUAGAGCACGGCGAUACGAAAAUAACGCAACCAGAACAGGAUCGAUCGGAGUUAAAACGUGGAUUCUAUGGCCAAAACUACGUCAAUGGCAAAACUAUGAAUUAACAGAACUAUUUUCGUAUUUUAAAUAAUUAAAAAUGAUUUUCAAAAGCAUUUUGGACUUAAUCUAUAAAUACCAAUGGAUCCAGGGGCUAGAUUGCUAAAAAUAGGACUUAAAUCUAAUUAUUUCUGAACUACUCAGGACUGCGGGUUAAUUUAGAAAAACCGCAGGGGCUUUUUCACAAGAUGGCUAGGGGCGGCGCGUGUGGGGGGUGGUGGCCGGUGUGGCCGGGCACGUGGCGGCUCGGGACUGGCCGGUCUACGGUGGACCGGGUGCGGGCGUGGGGGUGCACCAAUCCACUUUGGACCGGGCCGGUGCGCGGCGGCGCGGUGCGCACGAGCAACGGCGCCAUGGCCGGCACCGGCGAGGUGGGAGCGGCGGCGCUACGGGGCACUACAGGCCGUGGCGAGUGCACGGGCGCGUAGCGCUCGAUGCGGCGAGCUCAGUGCGUGCGGUGGCAGGGGCUAGAUGCGAUUGAGCGGCGCGGGCCACGUGGCGGUGUUUGAUAGAGGCGGCGGCUCUUCUCCAGCGAGCCCGUGUGCACAUAAGGGAGGGAGAGAGAUCAAUCCGAGAGCACCUACGCGUUCGUCACACCUUCGCGAGUUCAGAGAGCGUGUCACCUUGGCGGAUGAGGCAGCGAUGGGGCGAGCUCGUCUACGGCCGGCUUCGGGGACAGAGCGAUGGGGCUUCAAGCUCGCUCUAGGGCUUCUUGGUGGCGUUUGGAGGCGACUAGGUUUCCUAGGGAGGUGUGCGGCGGCUGCAGGGUGCCCUUAUAUACGUGGAGGCGAACCUCAAUUCGCGUGCGCAUGGAAACCGAGGCGGUGGCGUCGUCCGCGUCCGAGUCGGGCGGGAGGUUAGGGGUGACCCCCCGUGACGGGUAGGCCUUGCCUAUCGGUGGCAAAGCGCGGGCGCAAGGGGGGCGGGUGGAGCUGGGCCGUGGGGCUGUAGGCCAGCUGUGGGGGCACGAGAUGGGCCACGGCCCACGCGGGUGGUGCGCGCGCGGAGGGGGAAAAGGAUGGGGGCUAGGCUGCUGCUGCUGCAGGGUUGGGCUGAAAGAAAAGGGUGACGGCCCAAAUGAAAGGAAAAGCUUUUUUCUUUUUAUUCAAAAGGGUUUAAAUCAAAAUUUUCAACACCUUUAUAAACCAAAAUUUGAUUUAUGAAUUUAAGAUUAUUUUAGGAAUUGUUGUGUUUACUACUUUUGGAAACAAAGCAUAUGUUCUUAAUAACACUUUUUUGAGUUGUUUUUUUAAACCCAAAUCAGAAAUAGUUUUCAAAUAGGACUUUUAGUGUUUUAUUUUAUUUUUUUUCAAAAACCGAAAAGGGUCUAAUUAUAGUUGCUUGAAUUUUAGAAAUUUAUUUUUCACACACAUGCUAAACAAAGCUAGGGCACAAAACUCAAAACAACAAAACCAAUGUUGACGGUCCUUAAGUACUAAAUUUAACCGUCAACUAAACAUGGAAAAGGAUCAAUAUGCACCAAACACCUAGAAUUAGGGUUUUAUCUGAUAGAAUUCCACGAGCUUUGGUGUUUGUCUAUUUUUGCAGGGGGUUAUCAGAAAAUAUGUAGAGAAGACCCACAUGUCUGGUUUACAACGAGAUAAUUACGUGACGCGCAAUUUUCCUUAAUCUAGAAGAGUCCAGAAGCCACGGGAACGAACUGGAGGUCGAUCGGGCCCAGGGGCAGGGCGCCCGCCCUCCCCCCUUGGGCGCCCGCCCUGCUCUGGUGGCCAAUCAGAGUAGGUCUUGCGGAUCGUGCUCCACCGCCUCUAAUCUUCAAGAAUAACCGUGCCAUUUAUGUCGGUUUGAUCCGACGGCCCACAUUCACUUGAGGGGGCUAUAUAAACAAGGCCUCUCCACCCCACGGGAGGAGGAGAAAUCAUUAUCAGAGGAAGCCAUCAAAGUUAGGGUUUAGAACUUCUCUCUCACAGAGAAUUAGAAUUAGCUACUCCCAAUUCCUUCAAGUUCUAUAGGAUUGAUUAGAUAGAAUUAGAGAAGUAGAGCCUAGCGCUCUGGGUUUCGGAUCUUCGUUAAUAAAGAUUGGUAUUAUUUCAUAUAUUUCUCUACUACUUUAUUCUAAUUGCAUUAUGUCUCUAUUUAUUAUGUUCUUAGUUUGCUCUAGUUCUAUAUUUGAUGUAGUUAUGAUUGAUAAUGAGUUUAUGUAUAAGUUUGCAAAGCGCUUAGCUCUUGACGCGCGGGAGUUAAGUGGUAGAUCACAUGUGGGCGUGGUGCUUAGAUGUUAUUUACCUGCAAAUGUAUCCUAUUGGCCGGGUCUUGUGGUAGUUCGUGAUGGUGACAGCUUCGUUGAUUCUUAUAUAGUCCACCCUCCGUUGAUAGGACAGGCAGAAUUUGUAUUGCGGAGUAAGUCUUGUGAUGUUCUGAUUUACUUUAGCAAUGUUCCUUAUACAUGAAUGAAGAGUCUUUUAUGCUAUAUAUGAUCUUAUAGAUAACUAGAGUAGAUUGUGACUUAGUAGAUAGUAGAUAACUCAGAAUCCAUUCUCUAGCUAAUCCGACGUCACCUUACAUAUAUGAGGAGUAGUCUAUUUUCUGAUCGCUGUGUUAUUUACCCAUGAGCUUAUAUUUCAUUAUCAUUAUUAUUAUGGCUUACCCCCUGCCAAAGUAAGUGAUUGUGUGAUGAGUUUCUCAUUAGUAAUCAUGUUCUUGCAAGUUUAUCUCUAGUCUAUGCCUUGAUAGGUUUUAUUUACCUCCACCGUUCUCUUAAGCAAAAUUAUAAAUAACGAUACCCGGAAUACUUUCCUGGUGAAAUGCUACAAUGAGGUAUUUGAUCUGUGCGCUUGUGGAUAGAAUAUAUUAUUUUCUAGAGAGCCUUUACAUUUAUAAAUACCUUUGUACACUCUGGCACCAUGCUGGGGAUGACAACCUAGUAUUCAAGUAGUGUUAGCUAGUGUCAACAAGCAUUUCUGGCGCCGUUGCUGGGGAACGGUAAGGAAAGUCAGGAAGUCAGUCUUCACAUAAAAUAUUAGACUAGACUAUGGAGAAAUAAUUGCAUAAAACAACUACUAAGUGAGAAAUGAUAACAAGGCACCUCUGCUUUGGCAGGUUCACCCUGUUGUUUUUCUAUGUUUAUAUUUUUAUACAGGGUAUAUCAGGAUUGACUUUGGUACAUUCAACUCUUCAUCAUCAGAACCAAAGCAAUCAAGAAAGAAAGAAGAAGCUACCUACCAAUUGCUGAAGCUAUGGCACAAAAGACCUUGCAAUAAUUCUCUGCUCCAAGUCUUGAGAACAUUCCAACUGGUCCAAGAUUUGCAGUAGAAGAAGGAGUACCCGAGUUUGAGCUCAAGUCAAGCCUCAUCAAUUUGGUACAAGCUACACAAUUCAGUGGAAAGGCACAUGAAGAUGCUAGUGCACACUUGCAGAAUUUCAUAGAGAUUGGAAGUACAAUCUGCAUCAACGGACUGGACAAAGACGUCAUACUGCUUCGCCUCUUUCCAUUCUCACUAGAAGCGAAAGCAAGGAAGUGGUUCUACACUCAUCAAGAUAACAUCAACAACUGGACGAACUUGUCAGACGCCUUUCUAUCAAAGUUUUUCCCUAUAGGCAAAACAACUACCUUAAGAGGAAAUAUUGUCAGUUUCCAACAACAGAAGACAGAAACCAUUCUAGAAGUAUGGGAGUGUUUUCAAGGAUACAUAUCAGAUUGUCCUCACCUGGGAAUGGCCAGAUGGUUACUUAUGUAGACCUUCUACCAUGGAUUAACCCAGAAGGCUCAUGAGUGCCUAGAUGCAUCUGCUAAAGGAUCAUUCUUGGAGCUUACAAUUGGAAAAGCAGAGAUACUUUUAGAUAAGAUAGCAGAAAACCAAAGCUGGUUCCAAGAUAAAGCUCAACAAUGUCAUCAAACUGAAGAAAUACUAGAAGAAGUAAAUGCAUUAUCAACCAAGAUGGAAAAUUUGCUCCAUUGGAUUGACCAGAGGGCCAAGUUCAAAGAAGAUCAGAGGGCCAUUGAGACACCAUACAAAUAUCAACCUACUUCGAGUCAGCCCAAUAGCAAAGGUACGAAUUCAGGUAACACUUUAAAGCAACUGUCAUUAAAAGAGAUAAUUGCUCAACAAACCAAAACUAAUGAUGAAGUUAAACAAAGGCUAGAUACAAAUGAAUCAUCUCUAAAAGGUAUACACAAUAAAAUGGAUUUUCUAUUAACUGCCUUUGAUGAGCAGAACACUCUCAAUAAAAGGGUAGAGCUUAAAUUAAUAAAGCUAGCUGCUGCAUUGCGUGUUGCCACUAACAUUGAGCAGGUAAAGAACAUAACUACUAGAGGGGGCAAAGCCACCAGGGACCCCCCAUACCCAAAAGAGAAACAGAGAACAUCCGCACCAGUGCAACCAGCAGUGAUAGAAGAAGAAAGCCCAGUUGAAGCACAAGAUCUGCUACAACCACCAAGUACUGGAGAAAUGAGGAAAGAUUUUUACGACACCAACUAUUUGCCAUUUCCCUGAAGAAAUAGAGGACUGCAGUCGGAUGAGCAGUUUGGUAAGUUUGUAGAGGUCAUUCAGAAAUUAUAUGACAACAUACCUCUGCUUGAUGCCAUACAGGUACCCACAUAUGCAAAGUACAUCAGAGAUAUUCUUAACAAGAAGAGACCACUGCCCACCACUGAGGUUAUCAAGCUGACAGAAGAAUGCAGUGCGGCCAUCCUCAACAAACCACUAAGGAAGAAGAAGGAUCCCGGAUGUCCCACCAUUGAUUGCUCGAUCGAAAAACAACACUUCAACAAUGCACUUUGUGAUCUUGGAGCAAGUGUCAGUGUGAUGCCAGCAUCAGUCUUUGAGAAGCUUGAGCAUAUGACCCUAGAACCAACAUCAAUGUGCCUGCAACUAGCAGAUCAAUCAGUUCGACACCCGAUAGGCAUCGCUAAAAACAUCCCAGUCAAGAUCAGAGAUUUCCUCGUGCCAGUAGACUUCGUGGUACUAGACAUGAAUCCCGACUCAAAAGUGUCUAUCAUCCUUGGAAGGCCAAUUCUGAGCACUGCCAAUGCCCACAUCAAUGUUGGAAAGGGAGAAAUCAAGUUCAACAUAAACGGACAAGAAGAACACUUCACAUUCAAGCCCAGACCAGAGAGAGACUCUACAGUAAAGGAAGUUCAUGAAGAAGAACCACUAGAGACACCAUCUCUGGAGGAAGGUAAUUCGGAAGAUUAAAAGAUUUGGAGGUCCAGCUUGGGGGACCUAAAAAUCCCAAACCCUCGCCGGGAGCUAAAUCGGUAUUUAUCUGCAUCAUUAAUUCUCUCAUAGUUAAUUCCUGCAUUAUCCAUAUUUAUUCAUAGCAUUAUUACAAUAAUCAAAAGCCCCAUAUAAAUAAUAUUUAUGGUGUGUGACAACCCAUAUUUAUUAAUUAUUGUGGAGGCACAAAAAAAAUAAUUUUCAUUAUCAUUUCAAUAAGUUUCAAUUCUCAUAGAUUUUCCUGCAUUAUAGUUAAUUAUAGCAACCUUCUAGAAGCAUGACCCACACUCCUUGGGUCCCACAUGUCGUACACCACAUUUUGUGAAUCCACCAACAUGUUUCCACUCACCAGCAUUUUUCUACCGUCCAACCACCAACCACUCAACAUUAUUCUGCGUAAGAGCUAAGCAACGGAGGGAGUGGAGAAAAGGCAGCCAGGAUGGCCACCAAAGGUGGGCGCCCGCCCACCUACAGAGGGCGCCCGCCCUGUCCCUCCAUCAGCCUAUAAAAAGCCACCUCCUGCCUCCAACUUCUUCACACAAGCAUUCCAGAAAACCACGCAAGUUUCAGUUUCUAGAGAAGGAGCUCUUGUAGUGAAGUGAGAAGGAGAGUAGAGGGGAAGAGAAGAGUGAAAGAGAGUUUGGUAGCCCUAGAGUAAGAGAGUAAGGUUCAUUAGUAAGUAGUGAUCCCGCUGUCCAAAGCGGAAUUGAAAGUUGUUUAGGGGGAGGUGCUACCAAAAUAAAAAACUUGUCUUAAACGACUAACCCCUGGACUGCUGACAUUUCAGACAGCUGACCACUAACAUUUUUCUCUCUCACAUUUUCGACUAGUUGUGUUUGUGUCAACUUUUGUCUAUAGGAUGUUCAAGAAGGUAAAGAACGUAGGGAAGGCCGUCAAGAACAUUAGUACGAGGAGCUCGUCCCGACACUCCUCGCACCAGUCAGAGAUGAGCGUCGACCCGACGCCCCCGCAAGCUUCGACAUCUUCAUCUGAUCCGCAAGUCAAGGUCCUCCUUAAGACAGGAGACCUUGGACUGAAGACCCGCAGGGAGAAGGAAGUUUUCCAGCAGCUAAAGAACAAGAAUUUCAUUCACACCCCCACUCUUGAUCCUAUCCUGCUACAAGAAGCAGGUAUGGAUACUGAAUUUGACUUGAUUUUCCAGAUGGUGGGAUGGACAAAUUUUUGGGACAUAACUGAGCUGGGUUCCCAUCUCCUCACCAUUGAAUUUCUUUGCACUUUGCAAUAUUAUGAGGGGGGAAUCGCUUUUUGGAUGUUCAAACAGGACAUUAUGUUGUCUUGGAGAGAACUGAGUGACCAUCUCGGUUUCUCUUCAAGAUGCAUCCUGGACAUUGACUCCGACUUGCCCAAUUUUGAGAGACACCAGUUCUGGAGAGAGAUAUCUAGAGAUGAGUUUUAUAGUCAACCCCGUACUAGCGACAUGGAACACCCCACUCUUAGGAUGUUCCACAAAUGGCUCGGGUACAAUCUUUUCCAUCGUGAUGAUAUUAGAAAAGUAAGAGUAGGAGAUUUAAAACUUCUAUAUGCUGCUAUAAAUAAAAUACCCACUUCACCUGUUACUCUUUUGGUUUCUUAUUGGCUUAGUAUACCUAGUCUUCAAGGACCUGUCUGUUGUACUUCACUCGUCACUCGUCUAGCCUCUAAUCUUAAUUUGCUAGAAAACUCAUCAUUUGAAUUCGUUGACGAGUUACGAAUUUAUCAUGGCUAUGACACAUUUAGGCAAGCUCGGAUGUUGAAAAAAAGAGGGGAACAUAAUGUAUAUUUUAUACGAUAAUAAAGGCAAGAUUCGGUUACCUAACCCGAACCUUGGUCUCUAUGUCAUUCAAAAUUAUUUGAUUGAGAUUGCAGUGACACCGGUAAACCAGAGAGCUCCACAACGAGUGGCAUCUGAAAGGAUGACCACCCAUCAAGAACGCACCUGGUAUGGAGCUGAUCCCGGGCCGGAAGAAGCAGCGCACCUGCAUUAUUGCGACUACAACCCCCGAGUCCUUCGGGACCCAUGGGUUCGACAUGCUCAACCACAAGAGCCAACACAGGAUACAUGCCCGGAGGGCCAAGAUCACCAGUGGACAAACCCGCCUUUCCAUACGGGUAGGUACUCCACUGAUCCAUAUGGAGCUUCAGGGUCUAGAUCCCAGCCCCAAUUCGAUGCAGGACGGUACUCCGACGACUCUUAUGCUUUCACGAACGACUACUACCAAGAGGCCAGCGCUUUCUUCACCCGUACCGACAACACCCUCCUCGACAUCUAGAAUACGCAAGCAGAACAUGGACGACUCCUGGAACAGCAACAAAAAUGGAACCAGGACCACACCACUAUAGUACAAGAACUGAGGCAAGACACCACGACAAUGAAUGACAACAUCACCACCAUGAUGAGAUUCUGGAACAUUGGGUAAGACCGACAACCACAUCCAGCUUGGAGGAGUUCCUCCCCAUUUUAUCAAGUAAGUUUUAUUUUGCUCUUCUUAUUUAUUCUUUUCAGUUUUAGUGUUUUAUUUAUCCUAAAGAGAAAAACUUAGAAAACCCAAUAAAUAUUUUCUUGCUUUAAUUUACCGCAUUCUAUAACAUGAAAACAAAAUAAAAAGUGUGUAGAUAAGUGUGCUUUAUUUUCCCUACUAAGUGUUAAUCUGUAGAAAAAUAAAAGACCAAAAAGAUGCAUGAUGAAAAUGAUGAACAGUUGCUCUGUUUGCUUACUUUCAAGUACCUAGCUUUUAUAUUAGAGUUCUUCCAGGAAUUACUAAAACUGAAAUUUACUAUCUAUAGGAAGCAUGAGCCUAAAACUAAAGUCUAGGUAAGAGAAAGGCAUGAUAUAAAGUUUGAGCUACUGUUUAUCUUGUUCUUACAACACUGAGUUCUGGAGAUUUAUUUUGAAAACUUGCAAAUCACUUGAUGAUUUCCUAGCAUGACAAAAUUCCUACCAUAGCCAUACUUGCUAUAACAUCUUUUGCUACUUAUAUUCACAUUGAGUUUGAUCGAGCUGUGUAGACCCUUAGGAGCUUUUCAUGUGGUUAAAUUAAGAUAUUCACCUGCACACAUCUACUACACCAUCCACCACCAUUCAUUAAAAUUGUCAAAAAUAUUAUCACUCACUGUCCCAAGUAUUGUUAUUCUCUCUCUCCAAAAAGAUUCAAUGCAGAAGAGGCAUGGGUUAUGCAAAAAUGUGCGAGGAAAUAAAAAGGGGCAAGUGCCCGGAACCUCAAAAAAUAAAGAAAAAAAAGAGUGAGAUGAGAGGUAAAAAUGGACAAGUGUUCGGAGUAGAAUUGGGGGUACAAAGAUGCCCACUUGAGCGAAAAAAAUGGACAAGUGUCCAAUAGUAGAAUUAGGGGUAUCUACUACCCACCUGAAAAAAAGAGAGAAAAGAAAAAGAUAGCCCAUGUUCUCCCAAAGCAAAGAUCAAAGAGGAGAGAUAGCAAUAUGAGGAGCAAUGAGAAGUAAGCUUUAUCAUUACUUAUAUUUCCACCAUUACUAUCAUUUACUCCACCACACAUGCACAUCUUGAUUUAAUUAUAUGCUGAGUUCCUUUGGAUCCAUGGCUCGAUUAGACAACAUAUGUAUGAGCUGUUUUUCACUCCUAUGAGCUCUAAACAUUCUCUUAGUUAUAGGUAAGUGACAUUUUUGGUGAGGAUCCACAAAUACCAUAUAUAGAGAGACUUGAGAUAAUCAUUGCUAGGAACUCUGAGUUUUAUUUUUGAAAAACUUAUGCAAAACUCCGGAACAAAGGUGAAGUAUAAAUAGGAGGAAUAGUGCUUGACUUAAUUAUUUUGUCUUUCAAUUACUUAAGACUUAAGUGUAGGUACUAAGCCCCUUGACACUUCACUCUAAUCUGGGAAAAUUUUAUAUGAAAGCAUGUGUGCCUGUCAGGAAAGAAAACAUCGAGGCAACUCCUGAUCCAUUUGAGUUUAGCUGUUUGCUUAGGGACGAGCAAAGGGUAAGCUUGGGGGAGUUUGUUGACGGUCCUUAAGUACUAAAUUUAACCGUCAACUAAACAUGGAAAAGGAUCAAUAUGCACCAAACACGUAGAAUUCGGGUUUUAUCUGACAGAAUUCCACGAGCUUUGGUGUUUGUCUAUUUCUGUAUGGGGUUAUCAGAAAAUAUGGAGAGAAGGCCCACAUGUCAGGUUUACAACGAGAUAAUUACGUGCCGCGCAAUUUUCCUUAAUCUAGAAGAGUCCAGAAGCCACGGGAACGAACAGGAGGUCGAUCGGGCCCGGGGGCAGUGCACCCGCCCUGCUCUGGUGGCCAAUCAGAGCAGGUCUCGUGGAUUGUGCUCCACCGCCUCUAAUCUUUAAGAAUAACCGUGCGAUUUAUGUCGGUUUGAUCUGACGGCCCACAUUCACUUGAGGGGGCUAUAUAGACAAGGCCUCUCCACCCCAGGGGAGGAGGAGAAAUCAUUAUCAGAGGAAGCCAUCAAAGUUAGGGUUUAGACCUUCUCUCCCACAGAGAAUUAGAAUUAGCUACUCCCAAUUCCUUCAAGUUCUAUAGGAUUGAUUAGAUAGAAUUAGAGAAGUAGAGCCUAGCGCUCUGGAUUUCGGAUCUUCGUUAAUAAAGAUUGGUAUUAUUUCAUAUCUUUCUCUACUACUUUAUUCUAAUUGCAUUAUGUCUCUAUUUAUUAUGUUCUUAGUUUGCUUUUGUUCUAUAUUUGAUAUAGUUAUGAUUGAUAAUGAGUUUAUGUAUAAGUUUGCAAAGCGCUUAGCUCUUGACGCGCGGGAGUUAAGUGGUAGAUCACAUGUGGGCGUGGUGCUUAUAUAAAGAAAGGGCAAAAGUUGACAAAAAAUUAUAUAUUUUUUUAGUUUUCACGCUUAAUCAUUUGUAAUCCUAUGAGACAUAGGAUCAAAGAUCACAUGGUAGAAAAAUUGAUAAGGGUUCAUCGCAAGAUAGGGAUCAGUCUGAAGUUCUUCAUAUCUUCUGUUUUGAGAUCCUCGAGAGUGAUGAUCGUAACUGCCGCUACCCUACUUAAACCAAGUGUUAUCUUAUCUUCAAAACUCCUAUUUAAGAACUUCAUCUUGCCAGAUCAGAACGAUCUUUAGAGAUUUCCUUCAGAAAUUACCAGUCCAAUCACACUGCACUUCUUGGGAUUUCCGAGAAACAGGGAGAGAAACAACAUCAUGAUGGGAAAGGAUAGAUUAAGAUUAUCUUAAUUUCCUUGGUGAUGGUGUGCGACUAAGCCAAAAGAUGAAGAGUGUAUUCAGGAUAAAGCUCUCAGGCACUACCCAAAAAAGCAAUCCAAGGCGUGUGGUGAAAUUGGCCAUUAAUGGUAUGGUUGUACAUCUGACCUUCGGGUUCUGCAUUUUGUCACGUGAUAAUCCAUCAAACAUUCCAGAGUGAAAAAUACAUCUUAUCUUGGGACUUUUGUAACUUAUACCUUGCUUUGACAAGGUUAACUAGCAUCAUACUUCCUAGGUCACUUAGUGCUUCUUUGUGGUCUCCAUAGGUGAAUUCUAAGAAUAUUUCUCCUACUUGAAGUGUUUGGAAAAUAUUGUGAGGGAGAACUACACAAAGGAUCUUGAGUCAUUCUAUAUGAAAUACUUAAAACUGCUUCACUGGCAAUCACUACCACUUGAUGUUGGGACAACACUAGGCGCUUUGCUUAAGAUUCCUUCGGUAAACAUCUUGUCAAACAACCCAUAACUCGUACUAGGAGAUUAAGAAUGAUAAAGUCCAAUGAAAAAUACAUCUCUUUUCACAAAGAAGAUUACAAGCGGAUUGAAUGAAAAACAUUAAGCUAAAAGGCAUAACUGACUUCAGAUUUCAUAGACCAUUAUUAACUAGCUCAAAUCCAUCUAGGUCCCUUAAUAUAACUUGCUUCACAUCAGAUGUUGAGAAUAUAUCGCCUCUGUAUAAGGUCCACAUUUCUUUCAAACUGCCUCGUUGUCAGUACAAUCCUCAUUACUCCUUUAUUCCUUGGGGUGAGGUUAAGUGCCUUCAUACACAAACCUGUCUCCUGAUGGGGUGGUUAGGGAUACUGAGUGUUGGGUAGAAUCACUCUUUCCAAGCAGUUAACCAUCCUCUUGCAAGAACGACAUCAAUAUCCAAUGAUUCUAGGACUAUAAGAUUUACCUCAAGAUUUACACCUUUUAUACCAAGACUAACUUUUGGGCACAUGUGUGUUGCUUUUAUCUUCCCUCUUGGUGAUUUGACCAGUAUGGGUUUCUUCAUUUCAAACAUAAGCAUCUUAUGAUCGGCAACACAUUUGUUUGAGAUGAAAGAAUGUGAAGAACUAGAGUCAAACUAAAUAGUGGUAGGAGUUGAGUUGACUAAAAUCGAUCCAAACACCACAUUUUGUGCUUCGCGAGCAGUACACGAAUCCACAUGGUUCAAUGUGUUGAUAUUUGGUAACGCAAUAAGGAAAUGAUCCGCAAGCACAUGGAUAUCGGUGAGCAUUUCACCCAGGAGGUUAUCCAGAGUUAUCGUAUUUAUAUUUUUACCACUAGGAGAAAGGGUGCAUCUGACUAACCAAAUCUAUUGGUACUAUCCCUUUAGGCUACAAAGAAUGUUUCUCGAUGUGAGUGAUGUAUAGAGAAGACUGCAACCGUAGUCUCGUUCUAACCUUGGUAAGGAUGAUCUACUGUUCUAUUGGGGAAGCUUACGGAAUCUAGACACCACAAAGGAUGUUCGACCCGCACCUAUAAACCUACCCGUCCUGCUAACGAGAUGUGGGCUACAAAGGUAACUCGGAAUUGUCACGUUCCUCGCUACUACCACGGUCCAGCUAGUCAGGGGAUAUCUAUGAGUACCCUAGCCUAAACACCUCGUUUAUGCUAGCAAUGAUUACUCUAAUACUCAACCGGAAGAGAUUAAAGUAAACUCAUAAACCAAAGAACAAUAAAACAAGAACUUACUAGAAUUAGAAGUCGAAUUACUGAAGAAUCCUAGGAGCAAGCCUCGGGUUAGGAGACUUGAUCCCGCAGGUACAACUCGGAGUAGACACCGACAGGCCGGGCUUCCUCCGAUCUACACCUCCACUCUAUCUCUCUCAAUCUAGUAGAAACUAGAAGAUCUAACUCUACUCACAUUGGAUGCUAAGCCUAAAAGAAAUUUUAUUUAGAGGAGAGGUAUUCCUUCGACGGCUCCUCUCAACUCUAUGAAAAACUUGUCUCCUCCAGGGGCCAGGGGGUCUGGUUUUAUAGUCCCCUCAAGUGAACGUGAGCCAUUGGAUCAAACCGACAUUGAUUGGACGGUUAUCCUUGAUCCUUUAGGUCGGUGGAACAUCGUUCGCGAAAAGAGUCCUGAUCCAACUCCAAGUCAGGGCGGGCGCCCAGGUCAACUGGGCGGGCGCCCAGUACCUGGCCCCGUUCGGCCUCCGCUUCCUUCCCGUGGCUUCUGGAGUCUUCUAGAUGGUAGAAAAUUGCGCGGUGCGUUGAUAUCUCUAUGUAAUCCCGACAUGUGGGCCUUUCUUCCGUAUUUCCUGAUAACCCCCUACAGAAAUAGACAAACACCAAAACUCGUGGAAUUCUGUGAGAUAAAACCCUAAGUCUGGGUGUUGGUUGCAUUUGGAUCCUUUUCUUUAUUUAUUUGAUGAUUAUAUUUGGUACUUAAGGACCGUCAACAACUCCCCCAAGCUUACCUCUUGCUCGUCUGCAGUGGUUUCAUGCCUUAAAAGUACACACGCAUUCAAGCAAGAUCUCAUCUCUGAGUUAGAAUAAACUGUUAAAACUUAAAACUUACUCAUUUUACCUUUCACUAUGGGGCUUGUAACCGUCACUUGUGUCUUGAGCAGUUAAAAGAUAGAACGGUCAAAUCAAGCGCCAUGUCUCUUAUUCUUGAUCAGCUAUAGCUCUGGAGUUUUUGCAGAUUUUCAAAUAAAACUCAGAGAUUCCUUGUAUGAUUUUGUCAAAUCUCUCUUUUGUGGUAUUUCUAGAUCCUUACCAAGGCAGUAAUGGUAUAUGCCUUCUCUCAAAGUAUGUGGUAUUUUUGGUAUAAUGCAUAGUGAUAUUGCCUUCUCUCUCACCUUACUCUAAUAAGGUUUUGAUAUCUGGAGCUCAUAGGUGGGAGACAGCUAAUACAUACUUACAAGACAUUUAUUGCAUAGUCAAACCAUGGAUCCAGAAGAACAAGCCAAUAAGUCAAAUCAAGAUGUGCAUGUGUGGCGAGUGAAUGGUGUAUGGUGAUGAUGGUGAUAAUUGUGAAAUCAAUGGUGAAAGUCUAGGGGAUACAUACCUUUGUUGCACUUUGAAGCUUUUUGAGGAGAAUGAGAUGCUCUAUAUUUUUUUUCAGGUGGGUAGCUUUGUACCCCUAAUUCUACUGUCGGACACUUGUCCAUUUUUACCUCUCGUCUCACUUUUUCUUUUCUUCGAGGUUCCGGGCACUUGCCCCUUUUUAUUUCCUCAUAUUCUUUUUCUUGUUUUUUAGAGCACUCAUCACCUGAAAUAAUGUGGCAAAUGGUCGUAACCAAAAUAUCUUGAGCAUUUAUUUCAUGGGGAAUAACAGGGAUAGGAUAAUGGUUUUGGCUAUUCUCUCCUGGAUAGGAGUAGAAUAAUUUUGGGUGAAUCUGGAGAUGGAAAUGAGUGGAUGUAUGUGGAUGCGUACUUCCGGAGUAGAAGCAGCAUGUGUGAGUGAACGUGCAAGUGAAUCUUGAUUUUAACCGCAUGACAAGCUCCUAAGGGUCUAUACAGCUUGACCACACUCAAUGCUCAUAAGCAGUAAAAAGUAAAUAUGUGGCUUAAAGUCUAGCAAGCAUGUAUAUAUGGCUGUGGUAGGAAUUUAAACUCUCAUCAUACAGGAACUCAUCAUGUGUCAUUUUAAAGAUUUUUCAAAGAUAAAAUUUUCCAGAAUUCUAGCAUCUCUAGGAAUAGAAAAACAGCAGCUCAACCUUCCCAUAUCAUAUCCGUUAACGACUUAGACUUUAGAUCAAGUACUCUUCCCACAAGUUUAGGUUUAGAGUAGGUUUAAAUUAUAAAAGUUAUGCCUAAACUUGAGAUAGAGCUCAAACUUGAAAACUAGGUACAUGGCAAAGCAACUAUUUAUCAUUUCUAUGUGAGAGCUUAUCAUGAGGUUUCAUAGCAAACUUUGUUUAUUUAUUUAUUUAGCAAACUAAGCAAAGAUAUAUAAAAGCACAAAAUUUUUAUUUGGGUUUUUUUAUGAUUAUGCAUCUUUUUAUUAUUUGAGUAAAGUAUAAACGCGAGUAGAAACACUUAGCUCGAUAAAUGGGGGUGCUCUCCCCCAAGCUGGAUUUUGACGUAAUUUCUUCUGAUGUAGCUAGCAGGUGGUGGAGGUGUAUUCGAAAGUCGGCAGCACCCAGACAACAAUUAGGAUGUCCUCCGUCUGCUAGUCUUCUUUGAUCCUUUAAUUCUGUGGAGCUCAAAUAGACAACAAAGCUUUGUGAAUCGGGUUAAGUGUUAGCAUAAAUAUCUAGCCUUUAUCAUGUCGAGCCUCCUCAAUAAAUGUUAUUUAUUUAGCAGGAUCAUGCACUUAUUAUUUUUAUAUCUUUAUUGUAAGAUGAAAACAUAUUUAUUUUAUGCCACCACAGUGAAUGUACCUAUGGGUUUUAUGCCAUGAGCAUACUCACAUGGGGCUUACUAUUUUUAACAUUUUUAUUUUCUUUUCGAGAUGAUAUGAACUUGAUUAACUAAGCAAACUAUUUUAAAUAGCUGAAAGGAAAAAGGAUAACUACCAAGUUUACCUCUUGGCACGACGUUCGGUGUUUUUAAGUCCUCCGAACAGGACUCUUUGUUUUCUUAGUCGUCCUGGGAUUCGCUGGAUGGAGUAGUCAGUGGUUCCGGCGGCGCCUCCUCUUCGUGUAUAACUAUCUUCUCUCUCCACACCUGACUCGGUGCUACGGUCUCCUCAGGACAGUUUUGUUCAAGAUGUAUAUCUUUGGACCUUAUUACAUCUCCUUCGUAGUCUACCCAUCCGUCCUUGAUGAUUUGCCUCCGCUGGUUGCGGUUGCGUUGUCUUCUUCUUGUCCUGACCUGCUUAGAGUUUUCAACUAUAUAGUUAGGGUCAGUAAAACAGUGGCAUACCUUCUUAGAGGGGAAGUGGAUGUGGUCUUUUCCGGUUCCAAUGUAGAUGAUGGCUUUAACGGUGCUGAGGAACGGUCUUCCAAGGAUGGUGGGUGGAUCAUACUCGUCUUCUCCCAUGUCAAUGACCUGAAAAUCAUCUGGAGCUGAAUGUAUAUUGGUUGUAGGGGCAUGGUUCCAUGCAGGAGCUGAUAAGUGACUGCGGCCAUUAUGUUGUCGUUAGAUCCGGUGUCGUAGAGUAUCUUCUGAAAAGAGUAUCCAUUGAUUGUGCACUCGAUGCUUGGAACACCAGGGUCGUCCUUCUUGAUGAGGAAAUGUGACUUGAGUCGACGAUCUUGACCUCUUCCGGCAAGGAUCCAAUGUUCUAAGUCUUUUAGACAAGACUUCUCACCGUGUUCAUCCUUUAGGUGCAUCAUUUGAUUAGUUGUGGACCUUGACGUCUGCACCUCUUGACACAGUGUCACCCAUGUUCUUCGUUUGCCUAGCAGUUCGAAGUGUGGUGUUGGCAACAUCCUGCUCAGUUUGUUUGUGCUCGUAGAUUCAGGUCCUUCACUUGGUGGAGUCUGGGAGUUGUAAAACUCCUUCAUGUUUUGCUUGAAGUGUACCUGUUCAUAGAGACAAGGCAGAGAUCAAGUGCAUGGGCCCUGUUGGUGGAAAACACCAACAGAACCAAAAGUGUAUUUGUUCUUCUCUAACCUUAAGCAUAGUGAGCAAGAUAAAGUUGAUGGAUCAUGAGUGUAGCAUUUGGAAUAUUUGUCAGAUCAGCUGGCUCAACCUAAUGGAAAGAUAAUCUAUCUAUGUAUAUGUCUUUUUCUUUAUAUCUUCCCAAAGAUUGAAUGUGCAACAUUUUAGCUUAUAUGAUUAGGAGUGUGGGAUCACGAAGGUAGUACUAAGAACAAAGAUUAAAGGACUAAACAUGUUUAAUUAAUUGAGUUGGUUAAUCUGGAGUUAUAAAUCAUACAUGUUUGUCUCUUUAUUUAUGUGUAUGCCAGAACCAAAGAGAUGCUUAUAAAAGUGAUAGUUAAGUACCUUAAGGUGUUACCUUAAUUGAAGAGUGAUGAUAUAGUAUCACCUUGUGGAAGCUUUCCUUUCUUAGCGGUUGUGCAUCAUGUUUGUGGCACCCUCCAUAGAUCAUCUGAAUGAGCUAUGUCUUUCUUGUACAAAUUGUUAAACUUCAUGUGUCUCCUUUAUCUCCAAUGAGCUUGUAGCUUAGGACUUCCCAGGUUAAUAUUGAAAGUUUUCCUGCAGGGAUUAGUCCAACAAAAUAUCCCGUAUCUACUAUAGCAUACUAUCGGCUCAAAAAUCAACCUAGACACCAUGUCUAAUUUGAUUUAGGAGGGCAUUUUAACCUAAGCACCAUGCUUAAUUUAAAAAUCCUUUGGAAGUAAGAUCAUCAUUCCUAAACUAAGCACCAUGCUUGAUUUAAGAGAUAAAUGAAACUACUCCAAACCUAGACAUAUACUAAAGCAAAUAAAGGUAGCAUGAGAGCAUUUAUAGAGAUCUACUCAAGUGGAGGUGAAGUAGUGUAAUUAGUAUUUAAUAAAUUGAGCAUGUCUCAAAGGUAGGGACAACGAGCAUAGCAAUAUGGCAAAUGAUGUUUUUAUGUAAAGUACUCCCCCAAGCUUGAAUUUUGCAAAAUUCAAUGUUGGAUGAAUUUAAUUCAAUGUUGUGUGAUGGUUGGUUGGACAUACCUUGUGCUUGUCAUUCCUCGGAUCUUCUUGCUCCAAUCCUAGAAAGGUUAGUGACAAGAAUACCCGAAAGAAUAUUUCUACAAUUAUCUUUAUAUGCUCAAUACACAAGGCAAUGUUGCAAAUAAUUAGAAGUUCAUGUUACGAUCUGAUCAGUGCUUGUUUUAGGACACUAAGCUUGUCCUUGGGAAACCAUCAAUUUAUAUCAGCAAAGUGGUUUCUCCUCCGAUGCUGACCUAUAUCAAGAUCAACUCGACGAGAUCUGCAAUAUUUAUUAUAGACAUAUGCAUCGACAACCACCCUUUUAAAGUUUUUAUAAAUAGAAAUAAAGAGGGGGUUGGAGAUCUUAAAUGUGGUGAUGUUGGAGAGACCAAUAGAUUCGGAAGAUGUUUUAUAUGGGCAAGGAUUGGGAGAGGUAUUUAUGAAAUAACUUCCAUGCUCACUGUUGUUUCUCUCAUUCUCAAACUCCAAGGAUGAUUCUUCAUGAAUGCUUAAAAUUCCUCUAGGAUUGUCUCUCAAGUUUGUUUUAUCCAUCCAUUUAAUGGUGAUAGCACAUGGAUUUUAAAUGCCCUCUAGCCAUUGAUAUUGCUCUUCUCGAUCCUCCUUGUGGUCUUGGUGACUCUUAUGCAUGGCAUGUCUAGAGAGAUUCAUAGGAUCAUCUGGAGGUUCAAGAGAAAGAGCAUAGUAGAAAUUAUUAAGCUCAAGGAUGGGUUGGAUAGCCGAAUCAUGGAGUUGAAAUGUUUGGAAAUCGGCUAUUGAAACUUCCUUUUCUUGUCUGGGAGAUGAUUCCUUCUCUAUCUCUAAGAUUUUUCUAUGAAGACUAGUACAAGAAGGAUGUCCACAAAUGAAGACAUACCUUCCUUUACUAAUAGAUAAAGAAAGAAAGACUAUACCAAAGGUUAUAUGAUUAAAACCAAUAUGAAAAUAUCGAGAAAAAACAUGGUCUUGUAGGGCUAGGUUUAAACCAGAAUUUAUAGAAAGAUUAACAGAUUCUCUAGGUGUAGUUAAAAGUGUAUUAUCUUCUUUAUUAAAAGAUAGGACCUCGGCUAUAGAAAAGGGUUGGUUUUGACCUAUUGCAAUCAACUCCAGACACAGAUCAUAAUUAGGUGCAGGACUUCUUGACUCCCAUGGUCUAUGGCUGGUCUCCGAAGGUGCAAAGAAUUCAAUAAUAGGUAUGGAAUUUAAGUUAUCCAUAAAGAUAAAAAUAAAAAGAUAAAAGAAUAAAAGUAUAAAAGUAUAAUACAAGUGUCGAGGGUAUCAACAAGGGGUACCCUCACCAACGCGAAUAACGAAACCAUCCGUACGUAAAACUAGCGCCUCGAUUCGACGCUCCGUCCGCACACACGCACGACCAUCGAUGACCGUAGCCUUGAAGACGGAAAUAGCGUCGAGCGAAUCAGUCAGGCGUCGAGCUCUGGUCAACGUCGAAUACGGAACCGGCUCUCGCAAAUCGGGAGGCGUUGGGCGCAAGGACGCUGCCGCCGCCUAACGCGCGCACGCGGGCCGGGGCAUUAAAUGCGCCUGGUGCCUCCCCACCUAACACAUGGGUCACGGGGGGCGUGAUAGAAGAACAGGCACUUGUCCCAUCGAUCUUUUUGCAGCCUUCCCCACCAAACGGCCCAAGGCGUGUCAAGACGUGGGAAACAGAGACGGAGUGUCUAAUCAAGACCCCCUCGAGAUGGCCAAAGUCAGCGCUUCAACAUCAGGACGUCGUACGGCGUCCGACCCUCGACCAGAUAGAGACCCAUCCAGGAGACAAGUCGGGCGUCGACUGACCACAUCCCAACUACACCGCCGGAUUUGCCGUCGGGUCGUACGAGCGUACAUCAGGCAAACGAAUCCAGGACGGCGUGCAGAACGGAAUGCAAGGGCACGCGUAAUCAUCACCAGGCUAUUAAGACGGGACGACUCGAGGCCAUGACGGUACGGAAGCCUCGAGUAGGUCAGCGCUCCAUACUGCUAUCGACUCCUAUUCUGAUGCCUAUACAUGUACCCUGGGUCUCUCCUUGGGACUAUAAAAGGAGGAACUCAGGAAUAGAACAAAAAAAACAAGACCACGCUCACACAUAGUAGAGCACGACACUUCACACCACGCUUGUAUUCACCCCUGUACAAGCACCUAGGUGCAAGAUAAUACAAACUCUCUCCCCCCCGCUGGACGUAGGGCCUUCUCUUGCCCGAACCAGGAUAAAUCUCUGUGUCUUCUUGCAUCACCAUCCGAGAAAGGGAGCACGCAUACAAAUUUACUCGUUGGUGUGACCCCCCGGGGGAAAACGCCGACAGUUGGCGCGCCAGGUAGGGGUCCUGCGUGUUUUUCAUCGAUUUCCCACUCCUUUCCGGAUGGCUACUCUUGCCUCGCCGUUUCCGCGCUCCACGGUGAUUUGGUUUGGGAGUCUCGAGUUCAUGUCUACGGGCUCCGACUACGACAUGAUCUUGCUCUCAGUCAAAGGACCAGGAGGAGCCCGCGUUACGCCAGCACGGUUGAAGGCCCCGAGACGCCCUCACCACCACGCCUCCCCGCCUAAGAAGAGGCGCGGACAGCACCACCGCGGCCCCUCUGCUUCAGCACGACCAACAACUCGUGCGAGGCAGGACGUAGGCCACAAGUCGGCAGCACCGUGUGACGGAGCAACAAACGCGACGACUCAGCACCGCGCGACGACGGGAGGGGACGCGUCUCGCGCGCUCUCCCCCACCGCUGCUAGGCUACUUCCACACGGGUUGUUCACUCCAAGAGCGGCACUGCCGUUUGGAUUGGACAACGUCGCGGCGUCGCUCGCCAGGGCGAUAUGCCCAAACGCCCAGACGUACGUAGAAAGACCAAUGGUCCUCCCACGUAGCUCUGAAGCGCGGCGGCCGGCGUCCGAGCUGCCGGACCUUUCCCGAGUACGAGGCCUCCGUCGUCGAGGCCCCGGACGAUACUCGAUCACCUCCCUCAGGCAACGAUUGCUGGAGGAAGGACGUGGGUGUUUCUACGCCGCCAAACCGGACUCCGACUCCGAGACAGAUAGCUAUGACCCUACGAGGGAAUGCUAUCACAUCGAUGGGGCGGUAGAAACUACUGACGAGACACGGGAUGCUACUACGGGUGGUCGAGCCCCCGCGACGCGAGAAGACCCCAGGACGCCUGGGAACGACGGACAGGUCGACCCCCCUCCUCAGGAAGACAGAACCGCGCAGCUCGCGCAGCUGCGGGAGCUCAAGAUGAAGCUCGACGAAGACCACGAGCGCCUCGUCCUGCUCGAGCAAAUCCUCGAGCAAGACCUGCCCUACCCGCCGGGCGGAAGUGUCCGCAGACGCGCUCGAGAGGUACAUCGACAGAUCGUCGGCGACGCAGAGCCAGAGCAACCUGUCAACCGUUUCCCUCGAGCAGGCCAGAAUGUAGUAGCAGCGACGAUGCUGCUACGUAACAUGCCAGAGCCAUCGAAUUCCCAGGCCCGACGCAUUCGAGAUGAGGUACAGACAUUGCUCCAGGUGGCGGCGGUUCAACAAGCCGAAAGUUCGGCAUCUCGACGACGAGGAGCUGCCACAGAGAAGCGCGACGAACAGCCUCUAAACGAAGAGGAGGUGUCGGUCCAUCAACAACCUCCCCCUCGAGGUAGAAAGACCGCUCUCAUCCUCCCCGUCGACAAUCAACGUCGACACGACGCGCGGCACGACAUCAAAGAAAAUCGACGCCGCCGGCACGGAGACGCGGAAGAGCGCGGUUACAGCGCGCAUCGCGGUGGGAGAUACGACAGCGACGAGGACCGGGUGGCCCCCGAGCCACCAGGCCCACGGGUGUUCAGCAGGGCGAUCCGCAGCACGCCCCUGCCCAAUCCAUUUCGACCCCCGACCAGCAUCGCGAAGUACAAUGGAGAGACCAAACCAGAGUUGUGGCUGGCCGACUUCAGGCUGGCCUGUCAGCUAGGUGGCGCUCGAGGUGAUGAUCGAGCCAUCAUCAGACAGCUACCCCUUUUCCUCUCCGACACCGCCCAUCGAUGGCUCGAGGAACUCCCUGCCAAUCAGAUCCACAACUGGGUUGAUCUGGUCAGAGUCUUCGAGGGUAACUUCAAAGGGACCUACAUACGGCCAGGGAACUCGUGGGACCUCAGCAAGUGCAAGCAGAAGUCAGGAGAAACUCUUCGGGAGUAUGCUCGACGCUUCUCGAAGCAGCGCACUGAGCUGCCGCACAUCCCUGACCACGACGUCAUCUUGGCGUUUGUCUCGGGCACCACCAGUCGAGACUUGGUGCGGGAAUUAGGUCGCAAUCGACCUCAGACCGUCGACGAGCUGAUGGACGUAGUAGCCAACUAUGCGGCAGGGGAGGAGGCAGUCGGCGCCUUCUUUAGCUCAGAAGGAAGAAAAGGCAAGCAGCCCGUCGACGAAGAUGGGACCCCCAGUCGAGGCCUCAAGAAAAAUAAAAAGAAGCAGAAAGUGCGGCAGUUCCACCGGGAAGAUUCCGAUGACAACCUUGUCGCCGCCAUGGAUCGAAAGAAGCCUCGAGGCCCUCCGGAUGGAGGCAUCUUUGACAAGAUGUUGGAGGAGCCGUGCCGUUACCAUAAGGGAGGCGCCAACCACAAGCUCAAGGACUGUCGUAUGUUGAGAAAGCAUUUCGACGGUCUGGGGUUCAAAAAAGAUACGCGUGAUGACUCCAAGAAAGAGAAGGGUGGCAGCAAGGAGGACAACAAAGAUGACGACGGCUUCCGCGCCGUCCACGACUGCUACAUGAUCUAUGGCGGGCCCUCGACUCAAUUAACCAUGAGGCAGCGCAAAAGGGAGCGUCGCGAAGUCUUUGCGGCAAGAAUGGCGGUGCCCCAGUACCUUAGCUGGUCAAGCACUCCUAUCACUUUCGACCGAGAGGACCACCCCGACAAGGUAGUCGCACCAGGCGUCUACCCGCUCGUCGUCGACCCCAUCAUCGUCAACACCCGACUCUCGAAAGUGCUGAUGGAUGGUGGCAGCAGCCUCAACAUCAUCUACCUCGAGACCCUCGACCUCCUCGGCAUCGAUAGAGGACGCCUCCAGCCAAGCGCCGGCAGUUUCCAUGGCGUCAUGCCAGGGAAAAAGGCACUGCCAGUAGGUCGAAUUGACCUACCGGUCUGCUUCGGCACAGCGGCCAACUUCAGGAAGGAGACCCUCACCUUUGAGGUGGUUGGGUUCCGAGGCACGUACCACGCCAUCAUCGGGCGCCCGGGCUACGCCAAGUUCAUGGCUAUACCCAACUACACCUACUUGAAGCUGAAGAUGCCCGGUCCCAAAGGCGUCAUCACUGUCAGUUCCUCCUUCGAGCACGCGUACGAGUGCGACGUCGAGUGCGUCGAGUACGGGGAGGCGGUCGAGAGCUCCACCGAGCUCGUUGCAAAGCUCGAGGCCAUGGCCGCUGAGGCUCCAGAGCCUAAGCGUCAUGCGGGCAGCUUCGAGGCGGCGGAAGGAACCAAGAAGAUCCCGCUCGACCCCAACAACUCCGACGGCAAAGUGCUGACGAUCAGCACCGACCUCGACCCCAAAUAGGAAGCCGUGCUCGUCGACUUUCUCCGUGCAAAUGCUGAUAUGUUUGCAUGGAGUCCCUCGGACAUGCCAGGCAUACCGAGGGAAGUCGCCGAGCACUCCUUGGAGAUUCGAGCCGGUUCCAAGCCAGUGAAACAGCGGUUGCGCCGAUUCGAUGUGGAGAAGCGCAAGAUCAUUGGCGAGGAAGUCCACAAGCUUUUGACGGCCGGAUUCAUCAAGGAGGUUCAUCAUCCUGACUGGUUAGCAAACCCUGUAUUAGUUAAGAAAAAGAAUGGGAAAAUGAGGAUGUGUGUCGAUUAUACUAGUCUGAAUAAAGCAUGUCCAAAAGUUCCCUUUCCAUUGCCACGCAUUGAUCAGAUUGUCGAUUCUACCGCGGGAUGUGAAACCCUUUCUUUCCUUGAUGCAUAUUCUGGUUACCACCAAAUAAAAAUGAAGGAGUCCGACCAGCUCGCGACCUCUUUCAUCACGCCUUUUGGGAUGUAUUGCUACGUGACCAUGCCAUUUGGGCUUCGAAACGUGGGAGCCACGUAACAACGUUGCAUGCUCCACGUAUUUGGCGAACAUAUAGGGUCAACGGUCGAGGCCUACGUCGACGACAUUGUCGUCAAGUCAAAGCGACGAGGAGACCUGAUCCAGGACCUCGAGAUUGCCUUUAGCUGUCUACGCACCAGCCGGAUCAAGCUCAAUCCCGAGAAGUGCGUUUUCGGUGUGCCUCGAGGCAUGCUCCUAGGAUACAUCGUUUCGCAGCGCGGCAUCGAGGCCAACCCCGAGAAAGUCUCGGCUAUCACGAAAAUGGGGCCGAUCCGAGACAUCAAGGGUGUACAGAGAGUCACGGGGUGCCUGGCGGCUCUGAGCCGUUUCAUCUCGAGACUAGGAGAAAAGGCAUUACCAUUAUAUCGACUCCUAAAGAAGGUCGAGCGCUUUUCUUGGACCCCCGAGGCCGAGGAAGCACUCGAAAGGCUGAAGAAGACGCUGACCUCGGCACUAGUCCUGGUUCCACCUGAACCUGCAGAGCCGCUGCUCCUCUACGUCGCGUCGAUGACCCAGGUCGUCAGCGAGGCGGUGGUGGUCGAGAGGCAGGAGGAGGGACAUGCGCUACCAGUUCAGAGGCCAGUAUAUUUCAUCAGCGAGGUGCUUUCGGAGACCAAAGCACGUUAUCCCCAAAUCCAGAAGCUGAUUUAUGCCGUAAUCCUUGCCCGUCGCAAGCUGCAGCAUUACUUCCUUGGCCACCCCAUCACGGUGGUCUCGUCUUUUCCUUUAGGCGAAAUAAUCCAGAGCAAAGAAGCCACGGGAAGAAUAGCAAAAUGGUCGGUCGAGCUCAUGAGUGAGACUCUCACUUAUGCGCCUCGCAAGGCCAUCAAAUCGCAGGCCCUGGUAGACUUCAUCGCAGAAUGGACGGACACCCAGCUCCCCCCGACCCAGGUCCAGGCGGAACUAUGGACGAUGUAUUUCGAUGGGUCACUCAUGAAAACUGGAGCCGGAGCCGGCCUGCUGUUCAUCUCACCCUUGGGCGUCCACAUGAGGUACGUAAUCAGGAUUCAUUUUGCCGCAUCUAACAAUGUCGCAGAAUAUGAGGCCCUCGUCAACGGUCUCAAGAUCGCUAUCGAGUUAGGAGUCCGACGCCUCGACGUCCGAGGUGACUCCCAACUCGUCAUCGACCAAGUAAUGAAAACCUCGAGCUGCCACGACCCAAAAAUGGAAGCGUACUGCAAAGAGGUCCGUCGACUCGAGGACAGGUUCCACGGUCUCGAGCUUGUCCAUAUCGCUCGACGCUACAACGAGGCAGCCGACGAACUCGCCAAGAUCGCAUCGACCAGAGGCACGGUGCCGCCUGAUGCAUUCUCAAAAGAUCUUCACGAGCCAUCCGUCGACCUAGGCAUGGGGGCUGGCGUCGACGCCACCACCGCCCAACCAACCAAUGCUGUCGAUACGCUCUUGAUGGUGGAAGAGAUGAUGGAGGUUGAACGACGACCAGGUCGACCAUUCGAUUGGCGCACACCGUUCCUCGACUGCCUUAUCCGCGGCGAGUUGCUAGAAGACAGGUCAGAAGCUCGUCGUAUCGCUCGACGGGCCAAAUCAUAUGUGAUCUAUGGCGAAGACAACGAGCUAUAUCGACGGAGCCCGACGGGGGUCUUACAACGUUGCAUCACCGUGGAAGAAGGCCGAAAACUCCUCGAUGACCUGCACUCGGGGGCUUGCGGUCACCACGCCGCUCCACGGACCCUUGUAGGGAAUGCUUUUCGACAAGGCUUCUACUGGCCAACGGCCGUGGCGGACGCCAUCGAGCUCGUACGAUCAUGUCACGGGUGUCAGUUCUACGCCAAGCAGACGCAUCUGCCUGCCCACGCUCUUCAGAUGAUCCCCAUUACCUGGUCGUUUGCGGUGUGGGGGCUCGAUUUAGUAGGACCUCUACAAAAGGCGAAAGGAGGAUUCACCCAUUUGCUGGUGGCCAUUGACAAGUUCUCCAAAUGGAUCGAGGCUCGACCCAUCACCAACAUCCGCUCCGAGCAGGCCGUCCUUUUCUUCACCGACAUCAUCCAUCGGUUUGGGAUCCCCAAUGUCAUCAUCACCGACAACGGCACCCAGUUCACCGGCAAAAAGUUCUUGGACUUCUGCGAUCGGCAUCGCAUCCGUGUGAACUGGUCUGCAGUAGCCCACCCUCGAACUAACGGCCAAGUCGAGCGUGCCAACGGCAUGAUUUUGCAAGGACUCAAGCCAAGGAUCUACAAUCGAUUGAAGAAAUUCGGCAAGAAAUGGGUCGAGGAGCUUUCCUCAGUCCUAUGGAGCCUUAGGACAACACCAAGCAGGGCCACAAAAUACACCCCGUUCUUCAUGAUCUAUGGCUCUGAGGCUAUCCUCCCCACAGACCUCGAGUAUGGGUCACCUCGACUCAAGGCCUACAACGAGCAAUCGAACAAAGAGACUCAAGAAAACGCGGUCGACCAACAUGAGGAGGCUAGAGACAUGGCCCUCCUCAACUCUGCCAGAUAUCAGCAAAGGCUUCGACGCUACCACGACAAGCAUGUGCGCAAGAGGGACCUCAACGUGGGCGACCUAGUCCUACGAUGCCGGCAAAGCAAUCAGGGACGCCACAAGCUGACUCCGCCUUGGGAAGGUCCGUACGUGGUGGCCGAGGUCCUGAAGCCGGGAACGUACAAGCUGGCGGACGAAAACGGGGCAAUCUUCACCAACGCAUGGAACAUCGAACAGCUACGUCGAUUCUACCCCUAGAAGUUCUAAACUUAUGUUCCUGCUUAUGUUUUGUACCAAGACUUUGUAAACGAAUGAAUGAAUAAAUAAAGUCCUUCCCUCGAAACAAUUCUUCUUUCUUUGUGCCGAGAAGAUUAAUAAGUCACGAUCUCGACGUUAAAAGGGGGCACCGACUAUGACCCAUCAUAGUCAGCACCCCCUCGGGGGCUACCAGGGGGACGACCCCCCCCCCCGAGUAUCGAAAAAACCAAGAAGUUUUAUUUUCUUACGUAGCAAACCUUGCACGGUUCAAGUAGCUAAGGCGCCUCGAGCCCCUCAAAGGCCGAGGGACAACGAGCUGGAGAACUCCUACGCCCCCGGGCUAUGGAAACUCUACUCACUUCCCCACCAUUGAAGUGAUCGAGGUGGUCUUUUAUGAAAAAUCGAGUAAGGGAUACAAACGUAGGCGCAAAGAGAAACGAAAGCAUCAAGCGGAAAGACAAAAUAAGCAUUUAACAAUUACGAAAGUGAUACAGCAUCAGUUACCCACAGAAUUAACAAAGUAUCGUACAAGGGGCCUCAGGCGCCCUGAGCAGGCUCGCAGGCCUCAGUCCGCGGCACGAUCCUCACCGCCCUCGCCUCCGCCCGAGCUAGCCUCAGGAGGGAGCACCUCAGGCUCGAAAAGCUUGGCCAACCUUUCCCCAGGAGCCUCCGCGUCGUCGAUCAAGGCAUGGUGCCUCUCCUCGUUCUCCGCGUCGGUCUUGGAGAUGUCGGUGACGAAGCCAUGGGACACCACCUCCAUGUCGUAGGAGAAGCCCGAGCAGACAACCGCCAUCGCCCGCUUCACCCCGAUGUGGAGGGCGUCCCGCACCCGAUCUCGCAGCGUCGCGCCUAUGUAGCACAACUGGUCGACCAGGGCGUCGCCUCGAGCGCCCUCCCUCGACUCAUCCAUAGGCUCGACCUCCCAAGAGGUCGAGAGAUCACUUAUCGCCGUCCGCACUCGACGGUUCAAAGCAACCUCCGCUUCGAGCUGAGCCUUGGCGUUGCGAGCCUCGGCUUGGGCGGCCAGGAGUUCGUCCUUGAGCCCUGUAAAGGGCAAUACAAGGCACUUUAGCAAAAACCAAACACGCCUUGAAGAAGAAAUCUAGCGACAGGAACAUACCACGAACGCUCUCCUCCAGGGCCGUGUUCUCGCCGACCAGUCUGGUGUUGGCACGCUCGAUCUCCCUGUUGGAGCGCGCCAGCUCAGUAUUGGCGACGCGGAGAUCUUCGAUCACCUUGCCAGCCUGAACAAUGGCCCCACUCUUCUCCAGCAAUUCUCCCUUCAGACGCUCGACGUCGUUAGAGAGACUGCGGGAUUGAGCCCGCUCCGCCUCGAGAUCUUCGAGGGCCUUCUUCCUGGCUUCCUCUGCGGCGCCCCUGGCGACUUCGCCGUUCACAUGCUCCACCUUCAUCUUUUGGAAAGACUCUCGGAGAGAGUCCAGGUCGGAUUUAAGGAGGCCCUUCUCCUUGUCCAAAUCCGCGAUGACGUUCUUGUAGGACAGGACCUCCUCCCUGGCCUUAGACGCGGCCUCCUCGACCGUAAGGGCGCGCUCCCGCAGCAGCACUGUCUCCUCCUCCGACUUCUUCGAGGCCUCUCGAGCCUCGGCCAAAGCAGCCUCCCUUACCUUUUUCUCCUCCUCAAGCGCUAUGAGAUCUUUAUAAGCUUUCAGGAGCUUUUCCUGCGACUCGAGGAGCUGGUCCUUGAGGAGGGGGAGCUGCUCCCAACCACCCCUCGUGGCGUGUAUGAAGCUGGACUUGAUGCGGGAGGUCUCUUUCAUAUCCUGCGAAUCAAGGGGUGUACGGAUUAGAACACAGAAACCAGAAAGCACCGUGGGAAUUGAAGUUCGAGAAACACUUACGAAAUAAGCCGGGCCGAGCCCGUUGUUAACAACGUCUGAGAGGAGCCCCACCACAUGCUUCAUCCAAAGGCGGAGCUCCUCGACGUGUUCCCACUUCUCCGCCUCCUUCCGAUCGUCGAGGAAGAUAUCGGGCUCAGACGGGUCGUGGGAGGCCCGGAUACGGAUGCGAUCGGGGCACCAGUGCUCUAUCUCCCGGUCGGCCCGCGCCUUAACGCCGCGGAUGAGGCCCUCGACGGUCUCGAGAGAGCCCCCAUGGCGCAGGAAUAGGUUGACGAGGCAUGGGAACCGCCCGUCGUCGUCCACCGUCUUCCAGGUCCCGUCCUUGGUCCCUGAUGUCCCGAUUUCGUCCUCUUCGGAAGGAAAGAGGUCCUCCCACGCCCGACGUUCCCGGAGGAACCCUGGGGCGAUCCCAUCCAUGCCGUAAAUUGUCCUCUUGAUCUCGGACUCGGGGUCGGGGGGGGGUGCGCUUCAGGCACGCAAGCGCCACCACUCCAUCCGCUCGCCCCGGCUCCGCCCGGAUCGCGGCAGGCGCCCCCGGGAGGAGCCACGCCGGAGUUGGGGGGCCGUACGCCGGCAGAUUCUCCUCCUACUCGCCGGGCUCUUGCGGCUUCGAUGGUACUGGCUGGGCCAGACCUUGGGGCGGAGGCUCGAGCAGUCCCUCCUCUUGGCCCCCCUGCUGCUGCUGCUGUUGCUGCUGCGGUUGUUGCUGCUGUUGCUGUUGCUGCUGCGGUGUUUGCUGUUGCUGCUGCUGCUGUUGCUGCUGCUGCUGUUGUUGUUGCUGCUGUUGCUGCUGCUGCGGUUGUUGUUGUUGUUGCUGCUGCUGCUGCUGUGCCUCGUGCUCCUGCGGCUGCCGCGCCGCCUCGCGCUCCCGCUGUUCAUCCUCCUCCCUCUUCUUUUUCUGCUCCUCGAGGGUACGGAGGCCGGCGGGCCAGGGAGUUGACCCCGCAACACGAGGGCUCGACGUUUCCUCCUCCAUAGGGCAGGCACCCCCAGACGCUCUGUCACCAUCAGACGUGUCGCUGAUGGUGAUGGGUUCCCCCUCGACCCCCAAUCGAGGGGGCUCGGGGGCUCCCUCUAACGCUUGCGUCUGGGACGCCUCGCCACAAGUCGGCGGCGACGAGGCAGGCACGGGAUGAGGCGGACUCCUCUCGACACCGGCUGGAGGUUGGGAGUCGGAGGAGCCUACAAAACAAGGGAUAAAGGUUAGACGCUGUAAUAACCGACGCGAGAACAUCACAGGGCCCAUAAACAAGCUAUAAACCUGGUUCCUUGGAGGCGGUUCCUGUUUUGAGCCUCUUUGCCAUGGACGGCUGGGCCCGCUCGAGGGUCCGCUUUAGCCUGAGAAAAGAUCGGCAUAUGAGCAAACACAGAGGAGCAGGAAGACAAAGGCCACAGCAUCGAAAGGGCUUCCCCUACAGGAAGAAUAGCUCGCCUCCCGCCGCCCCGACCGGCGGGCCUCGAGCCUCCCCGCGUCAGGGUUCUAGGCCCCUCGAGGGCAGGCACGGGCCUAGGCGCAUCAGUUCCCGCAUGGCGGGCGCCGGGACUGGCACUCCUGCGGCCGGCCUCUCCUUUCUCGGAGGCCGCGGCACGACCGCGGGUCAGUGGCCCCGUCGCCUGGGGCCUAGCAUGACCACUCUCCCUGGGUGCCGGGGGAGGGCGCGGCGCAACUUGACCAACCUUGGGCGCGGGAGGGGUAUCGGCGCGAGGACGGAGGGAUCCGCCUGGGCCCUCCGACGAAGCUUCCGCCCGAGGAGCGUCGGCCUCGCCUUGAGAUGGACCCCCGAGGAUCCGGUCAAGGCGAGACGCCAUCCCCUCGGAGUCCUCACUAUCCUCAUCGUCGUCAUCAUCUUUCUCGCUGGGGGACUCUUCCUCAGGCUCUCCCCUCUGCCUGGAUUUUGACCGGCGCGCCUCUAAAGCUUGCCGGUCAAGGUUUUUCUUCUUCUCCCCUUUCUUCUUAGAGUCCUUGACGGACUUCGACUUCUCGGCGGAACGGCGCCGCGCGUCGCGAUCGACUUCGUCCUCCUUCACCGGGGGCCUCGAGGAUCGAACGUCGAUCCGCCCCUGCCAUAGUAAAAGUAGAAUCAGAAAAAAGGGGUGGAAAAGGAACCCAGAGUCAAGGCUACCACGAGGAAGAAGACAUACCAGAUCGACCGAGCCUUCAUCAGGCCUCAUAGGGAAGCCAUUAACGUGCGACGGCUUGAAAUCGCCGGCGAUGGCCGCCCUGACCCGGGCGGCGACCUCAUCGUCCGCCAGAGCCACGUUGGACAUCCGGCAAGCCUCGAGAUCCCGGGACGAGACGCCCGGCCCCAUUUCGUCCAUCCUCAAUGGCCGAGACAUCAGGGGAAGGACCCUCCGACGAUGGACGGCCGAGAGGACGAGAGCGGCGGACAGGCCCUCCAAGCGCAGCCUCUUCAUAGCGUCGAGGAGGGGGUCGAGCCGUGACUGGUGCUCCUGGACGACGCCGUAUGUCCAGUUGUCUGGGCGCUCCGAGAUCAGACGGCCUGUGUAGACGGGGAAGAGACCGUCGUCGUUCCUCAGAUAGAACCACUUGAGUCCCACCCAGCAUGGUUCGACGACAGCCCCACCGGGAUGUACUCGCGCGGCCUCUCCGUCUUCUUCGUCUUCAACACCAGGUUGAGGCAUCCGGCCCGCACGGGUUUCCUCACACCGGUGGUCCUGGUGGGGGCGUUGAAAAGUUCGCCCCUGUAGAGGUGAAGCCAUAGAUCCCAAUGGGGCAUCAUCCCCAGAUAACCCUCGCACACCACGGCGAAGACCGCCGCGACGGUGAUGGCGUUCGGGGAAAAAUGCUGGAGCUCCACCCCGUAGUGGAAGCAGAGAGCCCGCAUAAAGCGGCUCGGGGGAGCGCCCAGGCCAUGGCGGUGGAAUUUGGCGAAUGACACAACAUAGCCCUCGGGUGGCUGGGGCUCCCUGUGACUCGCCGGCAGCGCGAUCCACUCCGGCGAAGACUGCAAGGUGCGGCGGCGCAAGAGCCCUUCAUUCUCGAGCUCUAGCAGGCGGCGGUCCGUCAUCAACGACGGACGCCAGUCGUCGGCGGCAACAAGCCUCACAGGCAUCUUGGUUGGAAUACGGUGGAUUCGCUAACCGCUCGAGGGGGUGCACGCGCGUGUGAAGGAAGCAAGAGAGCAAAGGCAGCAAGAAGACGGAGGCGAGAGAACGGAAGAG